rnacentral:lncRNA from 1 species
UCUUUGUUUGUGUCUCUCUUUAUAUUCCACUAAGGUCGGUGAUCUUGAUGCCACACACACUCAGAUGUGUGUUCAUCUCCAGAUACUACUCCAUGCUACCUGCCCUUUUUGUUUUGUUCAAUAACUGGGUAUCAUAUCCCGGCCAGUGUGCCAUCUAUUUUGUGUUUGUUUCCUUCUAGUUCCAAAGGGGUCAUCAUGAUGUUACCUUCUUUCGAUAUGGUGCUUUGCAUGACAACUGUUGUAUGGUACCAUCUUGUUGGCCAAUAAAUACAUCUUAUCCUAUGACCCUUUGCUAUGACCCUUUGCAAAUAAGUACAAGAUUGUUAUAAGCGUCAAUACUCAGUAUAAUUGAUCGCUGCUGUGAGUUCCCUUUCAGCUUAUCGUAGGCACACAUUAUUGCUAGCACGGUAAAGACAACCAACACGAAUGAUGAAGUAAACGUAGCGGUACUUUUGUAUACCAACACCCUUACUUAAAUGUACUGGUGUCAUUCCCUACUGGCACAUAUAUUCUUAUAUGCUAGCCAGAUUGGAAAAUUAACCAAUUAAAAUAAUUAUUUCAAGAUAGAAAUAACUUAUCGGCUUCUCGAAGCAUGUGUAAUUUUAAUUCAAGGACUCAAUGGAAGUUGAAUCACUUCAUCUAGAUUGCCUUCUGGAUUUUGGUUAACUAAAUUUAACAUUUGUGUCGGGGGGAAAUAUUAACGAUUUUCUUACGCUCUCUAAUUAACGGAUACAAGGGCUAGGGCCCACCCCUAAUACCCAUAAUCUCCGCUAACAACACAUCCCAGAGGCACUCCGCUCCGCCUCGCCCGACUUCAGGGUCGCAGGGUCGGACGUGCCCGACCCCCCAAGGCCUCGCCUCGUCUCAGCCGAUGGAGUUCCGCCUCGCCCGACCCUGAGCCCAACGGAUCGGACGCGCCCGACCCCUCGAAGCAGGACUCCGCCUCGCCCGACCCUGAGCGCAAGCGGUCGGACGUGUCCGGUCCCACCUGACAGAGCUCCGCCUACCCGAAGGUACGAGCAGGUCAUCAGACGGAAGCGCGGGCUCUGUGAGUCCCCCUGGGCUCACCCAACCGAUGGGACCGCGCAAGCUUCCAGAUACAGUUCUGACACAUGGAGAGGCGCCCGCGUUCCUCGACAUGACCUGUCAAAAUGUUGGUCUGCGCACUGCUGCCACGACUGCACAGGGCUACACCUGCACCGUCCUACCCCACUGUGACAUCUGUCAUAGGGCACUCAUCGCUCAUACCAUCUAAUGGAGGAGGGAAAACCGCCUAGUUUUCCACGUGGGCUAGCAAGAAGAGCACGUCAGCCACGCCGCCCCGUCAGGGUGCAUGGCUACAGUGGUUGACCAUCACCCGCGACGUGCACAGUCACAGUGGCCAGUCGUCACCACCAACUUGCACAGCUACAGUGGUCGGCCGCCAUGCACGACUCGCGUGUCCGGCUACAGUGACCGACCGCCGAGUCACCGAUGGGACCCAACGGCAACCCCUAUCCCUUAGUAGCAGUACCGACAAGACGCAGAGACAAGAAGGGAAGACGACGUCUCUAGUAGCCCCACUUGCUUCCCUUUUUACCUUUCUACCUGUUUACCUUCCUUACUCCCGGCUCAUUUGUAACCUCUGUAUCCUCCUUGCACUAUAAAAGGAGACCAGGGGGUCUGAGGGCAAGGGACCCUCGGAGACCGAACCCCGAAUUCACCCAAGUACAAACCAACCGAACCACCAGACGAGAAAGACUCACAGAGAUCUGGGAACCAGCUUCCCUCUCUCACCUAUUUGUAGCCUCUACUCCAGACUUGGUACGAGUAACACGAGCAGCCACCCGCACUGGACUCCUCCGCCAGAAACUGGUCCAACCAGUCGGGUCCCUCCCCCUGCUCUUCGUCCUCAUCAUCCUCAUCAUCGUCGUCCUCAUCCGUUGCCGUGUCUGGCCCCUCCGCAGCCUUCAGAACUCCGCUGCAGCUUUCUUUUUCUUCCUCACCGUCUCCUUGUCCUUCCUCUUCUUCUGUGCUUCGUCGAGGAGGCGGUUCCGCUGCCUCUGCACCACGUCCUCUGGCACCGGUGGACGGGAGGCUGUGACAUGGUUUAAGUUACCCUGCAGAUUCGAAGACUCCGCGUCAGAAUAGCAAACCAGGAAAUGCAGGAAAGAAGAACGAGAGUGCAAAUUUCUAACCAGCAGGACAUAGGCCUCGUCCGGGCGCAUCGGAGGGUGCCCCGGCACCGGGAACACGACAUCCCUGUCACCCAAUGCAUCCCGGACACGCUGCUCGAUCUCGGCGUCGGCAAUUGCACCCGUCGCAAGGACGGUGCUGUGGUACGCCCCAACAACUCCGGCCCCGGUCAGGCCCUCCUCCUUCAGAAGGUUGAUGGCUUCGAGGAGACCCCGGAUAUUCUUCUUCUCCUUCUCAACAGGGCCAUAUGUCCACGUUCCCGGUGCCUCCACGAUGACGCGGCCAGUGAACUCCGUCAAGAGGACAUCGGGGCGGUUCUUCACAUAGAGCCACUGCUGAUGCCACCCUUUGUGGGAUGACGGGGUCUUCAUCGAUGUAUACUCCUUGGGCCGAUGGCCACAGAGGUGGAUGCCGGCACACCCCAUCAGCAUCGGAAUCGUCCGCGUCUGGUUUCCUCUCUUCUCGGUCCUCUGAUGAAGAGUGACAGCGAAGAAGUACUUCCACAGGGCGAAGUUGGGCUCGAUCCCCAGGUAUCCCUCCCAAAGCACGACGAACGCCGCGAUGUGCUGGAUUCCGUUGGGGUUGAGGUGCUCCAGCUCAAUGCUAUAGUAGUGCAGCAGCCCCCGGAAGAAGCGACUUGGGGGAACCGCGAACCCCCUCUCGUGGAAGUGCGCGAAGGAGACGAUGUACCCGUCCUCCGGCUGUAGCACGGCCUUGUUCCCGGGAUACCGCCACUCGUUCUCGGCGAUCCUAUCGCGAAGAAGGCCCUUCUUCACGAGACCGAUCACGCGCGCGGUGUUGAAGAUUGACCAAGACCUUGAAUCCAUCGCCGAGGAAGGGGAAGGCUCGACGGCGGUGGUGGAAAGGUGAAUGCUCUGGCUCGAAAGAGGAUGAAAAGUGAACAAGGAGGCGAGAAAGGCUGAAGACGAGUGCGGAGCGGAGCAAGCAAGGUAAGCUCUCUCGUUUUACAGGGGGCGUGCGAGAAACGAAAGGCGAACCGAACGCAUUUAUUGCGACGUCAGGUAUGCCCCAUCGCCUCCGCCUUUCUUCGGAAACCGUACGCAUGAUUUCUUUUUAACCGCAGGGAACGCUACGCCCCCUCGCCCCACGAGCCCGGUGUUUUUUGCCGCUUCGUCUCCUGGAGGUCAUGCGCACAACUUCCUCCACAAGCGGCCCAGGGCCCGCUUCAGGUAAAAAAGGGAUACAGAGCUGAAAACACUCUAACGGCCCAUUACGGUCCAGGGGUUCGAAGGCUGGCCCUCUAGAGGGUUCGACAUCCACCCCAGGACAUUUCUUGAGCAAGGGGUGAGAAGGGACGGGUCCGCUAGCGACCACUACCCUGGUGAACAAAAGCCAAGGGCGUCCCGACCUCACAUUUGAGUCUCGAUUGGCGUUUAAGUUCAUGGUUUUUCCCCGAAGAAAGGCAAAGUGCCCCCGGAUCCGGUUGAACAGACCUGGGAACUAUAUGAACUGGCCGUCCGAAAUCUGGAGUACGCCACCAGCUUGGCCCAAGCCGGACCCGCCCGAACAGGGACCGGGACUCCACUCGAACUGACCCGUUAGCAGCUCACCGAGCACCAUGGUUCGUCCGAUGAGGAUAACAUGGCACGGCUCACCCCCUCCGUCCCAACGAACGGACGCUGAGGGGUAACGACUAAAAGACGAUCCGACCUCUCGAUCGGUCCCCUGCAAUGCGCGGGGGCUCGAGGGCUGGAAUCACAACGAAACGACCAUGCGCAUGGUUACGACUCGGAAUUUUGAGGCAGGAAUGGUCAUUGAAACAAUAGGGAAUCUUCCCAAACCGUACCAUCCUCAGAACACUCUGGCUACCCAAAACUCCCCGGCCAGGCCAAACAAGCAAAACUUUUCUCCUGAUCAAAUCAAGGUACAUGUUAAACAAGACCCCUGACAAACACUCUGCCGAGAGCCAAUCACAGCCUCUGGAGGAGCACCUUGCUCCACCAAAGGCUCGGGGCCUACUGUCAGGGGGAAAUAUUAACAAUUUUCUUACGCUCCCUAAUUAAUGGACACAAGGGCCAAGGCCCACCCCUGACACCCGUAAUCUCCACCAACAACACAUCCCAGAGGCACUCCGCUCCGCCUCGCCCGACUACAGGGUCACAGGGUCGGACACGCCCGACCCCCCGAGGUCUCGCCUCAUCUCAGCUGAUGGAGUUCCGCCUCACCCGACCCCAGGCGUAAGGGGUUGGACGCGCCCAACCCCUCAAAGCAGGACUCCGCCUCGCCCGACCCCGAGCGCAAGGGGUUGGACACAUCGGAUCCCACUAGACAGAGCUCCGCCUCGCCCGAAGGUAUGAGUAGGUCAUCAGACGGAAGCGCGGGCUUUAUGAGUCCCCCCAGGCUCACCUAACCGAUGGGACGCGCACAAUUCUAGAUACAGUUCUGACACGUGGAGAGGUGCCCGCGUUCCUCGACAUGACCUGUCGGAAUGUUGGUCUGCACACUACUGCCACGACUGCACAGGGCUACAACUGCACCGUCCUACCCCACUGUGACAUCUAUCAUAGGGCACUUAUCGCCCAUGCCGUCUAACGGAGGAGGGCAAACCGCUUGGUUUUCCGCGCAGCCUAGCAACUACAGCACGUCAGCCACGCUGCCCCGUCAGGAUGCAUGGCUACAGUGGUUGACCGUCGUCCGCGACGUGCACAGCUACAAUGGCCAGUCGUCACCACCAACUUGCACAGCUACAGUGGUCGGCCGCCAUGCACGACCCGCGUGUCCGGCUACAGUGGCCGACUGCCGAGUCACCAAUGGGAUCCAACGGCAACCCCCAUCCCUCAGUAGCAGUACCGACAAGACGCAAAGACAAUAAGGGAAGACGGUGUCUCCAGUAGCCCUACUUGCUUCGCUUUUUACCUUUCUACCUUUUUACCUUCCUUACUCCUGGCUCAUUUGUAACCCCUGUGUCCUCCUUGCACUAUAAAAGGAGACCAGGGGGCCCGAGGGCAGGGGACCCCCGGAGACCGAACCCCGAAUUCACCCAAGUACGAACCAACCGGACCACCAGACGAGAAACACUCACAAAGAUCUGGGAACCAGCUUCCCUCUCUUGCCUGUUUGUAGCCCCUACUAUAGACUUGGUACGAGUAACACGAGCAGCCACCCGCACUGGACGUAGGGCUAUUCCUGCCCGAACCAGUAUAAACCUCGCGCCCUCUCGUACAACCAUCCAAGCCUUACGCGUAGAGAAACAAAUUUACUAAGCCGGUAGUCUUGACCCGUGAUUCGUGAGACCGACAAUUUGCACAUACAAAUGUUAAAGUACAAAUGUUAAAUCUAGUUACCAAGCAGAAUACGAAAUAGCGGGCUAUAGUGAGGCUAUAGCGGCGCUAACUGCUGCAACAACAGUGUUGUACUAAUUAGCAGGCUAUAGCGGAGCUAUAGCGGUUGAGCACAGCUCUACGCUAAAUAUCAUAGCCCUCAAUUUUGUACAUUGUAUAUACUAUAUAAAUCUAGUUAACAUUUAGUCUAAAUGUUAAAUCGAGUUACCUAAAAUCCUGAAAGCAAAAUGUAUAAAUAUAUAUCUUUUAGGGUAGUAUAAGCUUCGAUUCCUUUUGCUGCUCUGUUAAAUCUCAUCUUUCGUUGUAGCCCAACACUCUAGUAUUGAUUUUGCACCAAGCUUCUUUGAGCCGCUCUGCCCUCUGAUUUUGCUGCGUAGGGGAAUCUUUAUCAGGUUGGGCUACUUCCAGUCGUGCGAUGUAUACCUUUGUAUCUUCUAGAAGGUAGACAGAAAACCCGCGUUCUCUUAAGGCAACAACCAGAAGAUUCUGCAGCGCACGGGGCAUAUCAUUGUUGUAGAAACGACCUUUAGUAUCGAUCUCCAACCCCUUAUAGUACUGGUUUUGCAACCAGUACCGUUAUGUCGGACCUUUAGUACCAGAUCAAAUAACCGGUUCUAAAGGGACUCCUUUAGUACCGGUUGGUAACCAGUAUCAACUUGUUUUGCGGCCAAAAAAAUAAAGAAAAAAAUAGCCAGAAGGCUAGCACACACACACAUCCCACGAAAUAUGCGCGUGCGCGGUCCAUGGGAUUCGAACCCAUGAAAUCAAGCUGCGCGCAACCCUUCGUUACCAUCUCACCUUCAGUACCGGGUCAUAACACCACCCGGUACUAGUAUCGGAUGCUGUAAUGACUCGAUACUAAAAGGCCUCUAGGGACCCUCAAAUUUGGACCCGAUACUAAUGCUAACAUUAGUACCGGGUCAAAGUGCAGCCAGUACUAAAGCAUGGGACGAAAGGUCAUAUUUCUAGUAGUGUAUAGUUGUUGUGUAGGACUGACUUGGCUGUCCUCUCUCUUCUCCAUCCCAUUGGUCUUACGCCGCCGCUCGCACGCGAGCCGGCACCCAACCAGAGGAGUGAGAGCUAGGGGCGGGUUGGGAGGUGGGGGUAGCGACUGGUGGCUAGGGUGAUGGUUGAUGUUGGCGGGGUUAGGGUUUCAUGGUUUUCAAGCUACCUACGGCCGGCGAACCUAGAGGAGGAGGUCGACAUCAGCUGCAACCCGCGGUGGUGGUGGUUUGGCCGGCGCCCCAGGCGAGGCAGCGUGGGAGUGCUGCUGGCGGGUUGGUGUUGGCGCUCAUUAUUGACACAUUUUUAGUACUAUUUUGUUCAUGGAAUAACACUCAAACGUGCUGGUGCUGCUGCCGCCAUCGCCGCCCUAGCCAUAAUAUAAAGGCAAAAUUUGCUAGAGGACAUGCAAAAUGAUGCUAGUUUGCUGGAGGGCACCGUUGACCAUGUAAUAUGCUACAAGACACUCUAGUUGUUCUAGAGUGUAUCAAUUUGCUGAAAGACAUUGCUACGACUAAAAUAAUGUUUCUGGACUGAGUUGGAGAGAGAGAUGGAGUGAAAUGUCUGUUUUGCCCAUGACCCCACUGAUCAGAUCCUUCUUCUUCCACCCUCCUUUCUUCUUUCUUCAACCAUUACCCAGCUCUAGUGUGUUGCAGAUCUACGAGGGUGGCGGCCCGGGGCGAGGGGCAUCGCUUGCCCUCAGACGAGCGCCGCGAGCGACGGCGCGGGGGCAGCAACGGCGCGUCGGAACCUGACCGUUCGUUAGCUCCUCUCGCUGCUGGGGAAGGAGGGGGAGGGGCCAUGGACGGGGUUCCCUCGAAAACCUUAGCCUCGAGCUCAGGCGGCUACGCGCAGGCAGCACUAGGCUCUUCGCGGGGAGGGGGCGCGGCCAAUCAUUGGCACCCCACUGGUCCAAUGCUGAUGAAGAUGGUGCCAGCGUCGUGAAGAUGGUGCCAGCGUCGUGUGAGGACCUCUCAUCUCCUCGAGUUCCAUGGCCAGCACAGGUGAGCGUCCGCUACCACAAAACAGAGGUGUCGUGAGAGUCAAAAAAACUCAUGAAAAUAGCUAAAACCAUCAUGAAAAUAAUCCAUGACACGACACUCUAACGAAAAUCCUCUCACAAAUAUGGUGCCAUCAAAAUACCAUUUUCAUGAGAGUGAACUGUCAUGAUUUUAUUUCGUGAGAGUAUUUCCUAUCAAUGACCUCCACGAAAUACUUUGUGCCACCAGGUCUUCAAGAUCAUUUUCAUGAGAGCCGAACGUCACGAAAGGUCCGCCACAAAUGUUUUUCCUGGGAGCCUCUAACUCUCAUCAAAAGCAUGUGGGCCGCCGCGAAAAACAGCCUGACCAAAUGACAAUUUUCAUUUUCAUGUGCUCUUACCGCCAUGAAAAUGGUCAUUUUCAUGAGAGUUGAUGAAACAAAAAAAUAGUGCCAUUUUCAUGAGAGUUCAAGCAACCAGGAAAAGGCACUAAUAAACAUCCAGAUCCCAUCCAGCACACAUCCAUGCACAUAUAUAACCCACAUAUUGCUCCAGCAACAUCCAUGCAUAUACAAGAUCCAAAUGUCUUGGUAUGAACCUACAUGCAUGUGAUGAACCAGUAACCUGCAAAAAGAGCUCAUAGGAUCUUGUCCUCAUAUUGUAGCUGUGAAAUUCUUGCAAGUAGUGUUGCAAUCAGUUCACUUUGAACCAAAAGAGCUCAAAGGAUCAUGUCCUCAAAGUUCCUCUUAAAGCUUAUGGGUUUGCUGGUGGAACUGGAAGGGCUUGAUGCAGCAUGCCAUUCUGCAAUAGAGAAAAAUUUAGAAAGCUGUACUAGUUAAAAUUGGAUGCAGCAGAGACACAUGAAACUAGUAUUUAUACAAUUCUAUAUAUAUAAUAAUUUGUCCCCUAAAUUUUUAGGAUCCUCUCGACGGUGGUGAGUCUUCCAGUAAGGCAAUUGAAUGUCCAUCGUGAUAAAAUUCUCCUUUGGAUUUAUCAUCUUCUCAACCAGAAAUCCUAGGAGUUCAUCCUUAAGCCUUACCAGUUGUAAUUUGGAAAUAUGUGAAAGUUAAACGAACAAUUAAAAUCUAAGGAUCCUUAUCAUCAUUUCCAUACGUUUGCGAAUUAAAAUAAUGAAGGAUACAAUGUUAGGUGAAAAUUCAAGAAACAAAAUUUUGUAUAGAGAUAAUGGUCCGACAUUAUUACAAGUUAAAGUUGUUUUAAAUAUCCUUGUAAUCUUCCUUUGGUUUCCUCGACGAUUCCAAGACAGUAACCUUGCUUCUAUCAAUGAUAAUUAUAAGGAGAACCCAAUGAAAACUGUGUAUUCAUAUUAGAACUAACUAAGGUUAAUUCGGAUAGGAAAGGAAAUCAAAAAUAGAUGGUACCCACACUUACUUAAAGUUGUAGGGUAGUAGUAUGUAAUGCUUGUAAUUCUGUUGCUCCAAGAAUUUGUAUAUGUGGUUCAAUGUAGACUUUGGUUGAUCCUGUAUCUGCUGUUGGUUGAAUAAGUGUUUCUAACCAUUUCUAGCCGUUAGAACUGGGACUAAAGGGAGCUCUUAGUGCUGGUUGAUAUUACUAGUCGGGACUAAAGAGCCCCCGUUAGAGUUGGUUUUCGGACGUGGAACUAACCACUCCUUUAGUCUCAAGUCCAAAAAUGAUUGAGACAUUUGUUGCUGGAUGGAACACUAGUAGAGAAUUGGCUUUCGAUGCGCCCCCUUUUGUCCCGGUUUAAAGUUGGACUGGGACAAAAGAGGGUGCGCCACGGUAGGUAAAAAUGGAGGGGGGAGUUAGUCCCGGUUGGUAAUUGCAACCGGGACUAGAGGCCCCCCUUUAGUCCCGGUUGCAAUGGCUAGCUGGGGGGCGUCGGUGGCGGCACCUUUUUGUCCCGGUUGGAGUCUCCAACCGGGAUAAAAGGUCCACCCUUUUAUCCCGGUUGGAGGCUCCAACCGGGACAAAAAGUUUAGUCCCGGUUGGAGCUUCCAACCGGGAUAAAAGGGUGUCCCUUUUGUCCUAGUUGGAGCCUCCAACCGGGACUAAACUUUCAACCGGGACAAAAGGUGUGGUUGGAGUUUUUAACUGGGAUAAAAACUCAUCCCCCAUUAUAUACCAAGACAGAGGACUUUCUUCCUCCUCCAGCCCGAGCCAGUCCAGCACAUUCACAGAGAGUUGACCUUCACCUACUCUCCGGUGGUGCCGAAGCAAGGAGGUGCUGCCCGAAGUUUUUUCCCUCAUUUUCGUGGGAAUUUCACUCAGCUAACACAAGUGUUGUGAAGGUUUGCUACUUCAUCCUCGUUUAUGCUUUGAUUUAUGCUUUGGAGAUGGAAAGAUUAUUUGUUAGAAUGUGAUGAAGUAGAAAAUGGAGAGAAUAUUUUGAGCUAGAAUGUGAGGGAGAUUGAUGUGUCAUAUAUAGUAUGCAUUCUUGCAGUGGUUUAAGAAUGAUGCUACCUUGUCCAGACAAUUUAUCUUAUCAAAUUCAAUAUAGUUUUUCAAAUCCAUACUUGUUGAACUUGCAUACCGUGUUCAUCUCUACGAGGAUAUUCUCUGCCGAGCAGCAACGUAUGUCAAGAAGGAGGUUCGAUUCUACGAGGAAGAGUGGAUACGGACAUCGUGACCGUGUCCCCUUUUCCGUAGCAUCUAACCUCUUUCAUGAUGAAGUGCGGUGCCGCCCAGUUGAGAACAUGCUCGCGAGAUGAACACAGUAUGCAAGUUCAACAACUUCUGCAGUAGUAAGGAAAGAAUUUUUGUACAUAGAUGACUUCUGCUACUUGUUGAACUUAUCAAAUUCAAGAAGGUUUUUCAAAUCCAUACUUGUUGAACUUGCAUACCGUGGUCAUCUCGCAGAGGAUGUUCUCCGCCGAGCAGCAACGUAUGUCAAGAAGGAGGUUCGAUUCUACGAGGAAGAGUGGAUACAGACAUCGUGACCGUGUCCCCUUUUCCGUAGAAUCGAACCUCUUUCAUGACGAAGUGCGGUGCCGCCCAGUUGAGGACAUGCUCGCGAGAUGAUCACGGUCUUUAAGUUUAACAACUUAUGCAGUGUUAAGGUAAUAAUUUUUGUACAUAGAUGGCUUCUGCUACUGGAGAAAGUGGCGAUGGUGGGGGUGAUCGUGGUUCCUCUUUCGGCAAGGGGAAAAUCAUAGUUGGCCCUCAGCAUAAGCCAAAGAAAAAGAGCGCACUGGAAAAAGCAAUGCUUCGUUAUUUGCAGCAACGUCAUGAAGAAGUUGUUGCCGCGGGUCAGGAACCUCCUUUUGGUCGUCGUUAUGCUCCACCCUUAGUCCCGGGUGUUUCACAUCCACUUAGUACUACCGUUUCAGGCGGCACAAAUAAACCUAAGGAUGAGGCUAGGUCAGCGGAACUUUCGUCUUCACUGUCCAAGGAUGCUUAAAGUCCUCCUAGAUAAUAACCAGUGGAUGGCUUGUUGUAUUGUAUCAUGUUGUUUGGAUCUUUAAUUUAAAUAUGUGUAUUUGGAUCUUCAUGUUGUUGUAUUGUACCAUGUUGUUUGGAUCUUUAAUCAAUUUUCACACGUAAUCCAUUGUCAAGUGUAAUCCAUUUUCAUGCAUAAUAAGAUGCAGAUGGACCGGCAAUGGAUGUAUAAUGCAGACAGGCAGAGCAAGGUGUUUAUUGAUGGCUUGCAUUAUUGUCUCGAAGUGGCCAAAGCGAACAAGCCAGAGAAUGGGUUCGUAUGUUGUCCAUGCUUCCAAUGCAAUAACAAGAAGGAGUAUUCAUAGGAUUCCUGGGGGACUAUUCACAGCCACUUGUUUAAAUACGGUUUCAUACUUAACUAUUUGGUUUGGACCAAGCACGGUGAACGAGGGGUCGUAAUGGAAGAUGGCGAGAAGGAGGAGGAAGAUGACACCAUUCCAGACUGGGUUGUAGGCCAAGCUUUUGCAGGUACUACAAUGGGCGAGGCUCAUGAAGAUGAGUUUGCAGAAAAUGGCCCUAUUGAUGACUUUGGUCAGGUGAUACGAGAUGCAUACAGAGAUUGCGAAAUUGAGAAGGAAGCAGCAAAGUUGCAGCGCAUGAUAGAUGAUCACCAAAAAUUAUUGUACCCAGGUUGCCAGCUGGGCCAUAAAAAACUAGGUACGACACUAGAAUUUGUGCAAUGGAAGGCAAAAAAUGGUGUGUCCGAUAAGGCAUUUCAGGGGAUGUUGACCAUUGUCAAGAAGAUUCUUCCCGAGAAUAAUGAAUUACCGUCCACAACAUAUGAAGCUAAACAGAUUAUUUGCCCUCUCGGAUUGGAUGUUCAGAAGAUACACGCAUGCCCUAAUGACUGUAUCCUCUAUCGUGGUGAUGACUACGAGAAAUUGGAUGCUUGUCCCGUGUGCGAAGCCCUGCGGUAUAAGAUUAGGUGAGAUGAUCCUUGUGAUGUCGAGGGGCAGUCUCCCAAUAAGAGAGUUCCCGUGAAGGUGAUGUGGUAUUUCCCUAUAAUACCACGCUUGAAGCGCUUGUUCAGGAAAAAGGCGAAUGCUAAGUUGAUGUGAUGGCACAAAGAAGACCGUAAGGAAGAUGAGAUGCUGAGACACCCCGCAGAUGGGGCACAGUGGAGAUCAAUUGAUAGAGCAUUCUCGGACUUUGAAAGUGAAGCAAGGACAUAAGGUUUGGUUUAAGUACUGAUGGAUUCAAUCCAUUCGGUGAGUUGAGUAGUGGCCAUAGUACUUGGCCUAUGACCCUAUUUAUGUUGAACCUUCCUCCUUGGCUAUGCAUGAAGUGGAAGUUCAUUAUGAUGCCGGCGCUUAUCCAAAGUUCAAAACAACCCGACAACGACAUUGACGUGUACCUAAGACUGUUGGUUGAUGACCUUUUACAGCUCUGGAAGGAAGAAGGUGUACGUGUGUGGGAUGAGGAUAGACAAGAGAUCUUUAAUCUACGAGUAUUGUUGUUUGUAACCAUCAAUGAUUGGCCUGCACUGAGUAACCUUUCGGGACAGACAAAUAAGGGAUAUCGGGCAUGCACCCACUGUUUAGACGACACAGACAGCAUGUAUUUGAAGCAUUGUAAGAAGGUCGUCUACAUGGGUCAUCGUCGAUUUCUCCCUGCUCACCACCAGCUGAGAAAGAGCAGGAUGCAUUUCAAAGGGGCGCCAGACCAUCGUAAAAAACCUGCACACCAUAAUGGAAAGUGUGUCUUCAAGAUGAUGAAGGAUGUAAAUGUAGUCUUUGGAAAGGGUCUUGGUAGCCAACCUAUUCCAAACGACAAUAACGGACAUGCACCCAUGUGGAAGAAAAAGUCAAUAUUUUGGGAGCUACCUUAUUGGGAAAUCCUAGAGGUUCGCAAUGCAAUAGACGUGAUGCACCUGACGAAGAAUAUUUGCAUGAACGUGCUAGGCUUCAUGGGUUUUUAUGGGACCUCAAAAGACACAUUGGAAGCACGACAGGACCUGAAAGCCAUGGGGCAACGAGAUGACCUACAUCCGAAAAAGAGAGAUAAUGGAUAGCACUACUUACGUCCUGCCAGUUACACUCUGAGCAAGGAAGAGAAGGAUAGCAUGUUUGAAUGCUUGAAUAGUAUGAAGGUCCCGUCUAGGUACUCCUCGAAUAUAAAGGGAAUAAUAAAUAUGAAAAAAAAGAAGUUUAUAAAUCUCAAGGCCCAUGACUGUCACAUGUUGAUGACCCAGUUGCUUCCGGUUGCACUGAGGGGUGUUCUACUAGAAAAUAUCCAGUUGCCGCUCGUAAAGCUAUGUGCGUUUCUAAAUGCGAUUUCACAGAAGGCAAUCGAUCCAUCCAAGCUAUCAAAGCUACAGAACGAUGUGGUGCAAUGUCUUGUCAGUUUUGAGUUGUUAUUUCCACCAUCCUUCUUCAAUAUUAUGACGCACUUACUGGUUGACCUAGUAAAAGAGAUUGGUAUUCUCGGACUUGUAUACCUGCACAAUAUGUGGCCUUUCAAGUGUUCAUGGCAGUCCUAAAAAACUAUGCUCUUAAUCGUGCCCAUCCAGAAGGAAGCAUCGCCAAGGGAUAUGGAACAGAGGAGGUGAUCGAGUUUUGUGUUGAUUUUAUUGAUUCAAUUGACUCGAUUGGGGUUCCAACUUCACGCCAUGAGGGGAGGCUCCGAGGAAUGGGCACCCUUGGAAGGAAAUCAAGUUUGAGCAAUGAUACUGAUUUGUUCGACAAGGCACACUACACGGUUCUACAACAGUCAUCCUUUGUGUCUCCAUAUAUUGAGCAGCACAGGCAGAUGGUAGUUUCCAAAAACCCGACCAAAUCCGAUGCUUGGCUUACCCGUCUUCACAUGGAAACUUUUCCCUCCUGGUUGCGCCAACAACUUAUGGGUAACUCUGAGAUUCACCCACAGCUUGCCUGGUUAGCCAGGGGACCUGCUAGCACAAUUGUGAAAUUUCAAGGCUAUGAGAUAAAUGGUUAUACAUUUUACACGAGAGCCCAGGACCAGAAAAGCACGAAACCAGAAUAGUGGUGUCCGCAUACAUGCCAUGGACAGAAAUAAUAGCAAGGAGUCGUAUUAUGGUUUCAUAUAGGAGAUAUGGGAACUUGAAUACGGACCGUUGUACAUCCCUCUAUUUCUUUGUAAUUGGGUGAAGCAAACUGCCGUAACCAAAGAUCAGUACGGAAUGACAAUAGUAGAUCUGAGCAAGACUGGAUACAGUGAUGACCCAUUCGUACUUGCCAACAAUGUGCAACAGGUGUUCUAUGUGAAGGACAUGUGUAGCAAACCCAAGAGAAAUCCAGAAGAGACAUGGGAGCCAAAGUGCCACAUAGUUUUUCCAGGUAGAAGAAAAAUCGUGGGAGUCGAGGAUAAAACAAACCAAUCAGAUGAUUAUGAUUAGUUUGAUGGCAUGCCUCCAUUCGCCGUUGAAGUUGAUCCAAGCAUCCUGCUAUCCAAAGAAGAGGCUCCGUACUUACGCCGCGAUCAUGAUCAAGGAACUUUCGUGAAGAAGAAAUUCUACAACGUUGUAUUGUAAUGCGCUAAAUUUACAUGACCUUUGUGUAGUAAUUGAUACAAUUUUUAAUUUACCCUAUGUAUGAUUUGAUGUGUUCUUAAAUUUGUUAGGUGAAGAUUUAUUAGAUAAACAUGAACAAUGUUAACCACAUACAUACAUGGAUUUUUCUGCGCAUUGAAAUUAUUUAAUGGAAUAAUUUCUUGAUCACAGCGAUGUAGUAAAAUAAAUAUUUUAGAGCCUAAAUGAACUGGUAUAGAAUUAAUGACUAACUCACACUUAUUGUCAAUUUACUCGCUAAUUAAAUAUAUUUUUGCAUGUACAAAAUAUGUGAAGGUUUUUGUUUUUCAUCCUGAAUUGCAGUGAAAAGAUAAAUAAAAUCCAUUUCCAAAAAACAGGCGGGAGAAGAAAACUGGGAAAAGGACCUUUUGUCCCGGGUGCCAACAGAAACCGGGACAAAAAGCCCCCCCCCUUUUAUCCCGGUUGGUGGUGGCACCCGAGAUAAAAGGGUAGGCUCCAAGCCCCACUUGGCGGACGCACCCUUUUGUCCCGGGUCCCGUCACCAACCGGGAUAAAAGGGGGGGCCUUUUAUCCCGGUUGGUGAGGGGACCCAGGACAAAAGGCCCUUUAGUCCCGGGUGUCAUUACGAACCGGGAUAAAAGGGGGGUUAAAAGGCACUAUAGCCCCUUCUACCCCCCACGCCAGUUACAGUUAGCAAAAUUUUCACCAAGAUCCCGCGCGCACUCUGCUCCGUCGCUGCCCGUCCGCCUUCCUCGCCAGCCGUCAUCGUCGUCGUCCCCCAUUGCCCCGGCCGUCGUCGUCCCGCCGGCUGACCGUGCCCAGAUAGCCUCCUCCUCCAUCGCCCCGGCCCGCCUCGAUCCUCCUGCGUCGUGCCCGGCCCCUACCUCAUCGACGCCGGCCACCUCCAUCGCGGGGCCUCAUCGCCGCCUCCAUCCUCGUCGCCACCUCGACGCCCUGGGUCGCCGCCUCGUCGCCCCUCGUCGCUGCCUCGUCGCCGUCCUGCCUCCGCCGUCUCGCCGUCCCGCGCGCCUUCGCUCCGUCGUCGCCUCCGCCGUCCCACCGCCCCAGCCACCGCCAUCCCGCCACCCCGGCCACCUCGUCGCCCCGACCACCGUCGACCGCGCGUGAGGUCCGCCGCACCGGCACUGGCGCCGGGAGUACCGCCUUGCUGACGCAAGCCCACCGGCUUGCGUCAACAAGGGCCUUUUUUAAGUUAGAAAAUAAAUAGAAAGGAGUAGUAAUUAGGUAGAAAUUCAAUAGAUUUUUGUAUAUGUGUUACAAAAUCAAAUUAGUGUAAAUUAGUUGUAAUUAGGUUCGUCGCUCUGCCUAGGUUAGAAAUGAAUCGUGUUUCGUCGUGGUUCCGUCCCCGCCUCCGCCGUCCCGCCACCCUGACCGUCGCCGUCCCAACCUAGGCACCGUCUGUGGUUCCGUCCCCGCCUCCGCCGUUCCGCCUCCAUCGCAAAUUCAUGUUAUUGCUAGAAAUUCCAAUAAAUAUGAACAAAUUAGUAGAAAUUUGGUAGAAAUUAAUCAUUGCUGCGGCCACCUCGCUCCACAAAUUCAUGUUAUUGCUAGAAAUUCAUAAAAAUUCAUGUUAUCACUAGAAAUUCGUACAAAAUUCAUGUUAUUGCUAGAAAUUCGUAAAAAUUCAUGUUAUUGCUAGAAAUUCGUACAAAAUUCAUGUUAUUGCUAGAAAUUCGUACAAAUUCAUGUUAUUGCUAGAAAUUCGUCACAAAGUACUACUAAUUUGCAAAAAUUUGUAUAAAUAUUCCGGACUUUGUGGGAUUCAUGUUAUUUUCUGAUUUCAUGUAUAUACCCUUAUGUACAUAUAACUAAGGAGAUUUCUAUGACUUUCAUGUAUGUUUCAAUCAAUAGUUGAAAUGGCAGACGAUGAGACCGCAAGGUAUCUCAUGGAGCAGAUAAUCGCUGGUGAUGGUAGUGGCGACAACCUUCCACUAUCGUACACCGAUGAAGAGGGCACCCAGGCGGACAUGUUCCUCAACAUGUCCGCCGAUGGGAAUGAAGAGCAAAAGCCCCAGCAACACCUUGCCGGGGCGGAAGGUUCCGGCGAGGUAUAUAUAACGAUUCUUGUAUUGUUUCACACCACCGUUACUACUACGUACUAAUUAACGAAUCAUGAACCGUUAGCCCUCUGGAUCGACGCAAGGGCAGAAGACACGAGGUCGUACAAAGGUGAUGGAAGGGAGGCUUGUCAUCACGGAAGUGAUAGAAGAGGGCAGGCCGGUUGCUCCCGAGAAAGUAGCAAAGAAGUACGUGAGUCAGAUCGGGGCAAUCGUCCGGGACAACGUGCCUAUCAGCAUCAGAGAAUGGAAGGGCAGAAGCACUAAUCCGUACGCCCUCCUGGAGACAGAAAGAAUAUGCUGUGGGAAGAUGUCAAGAGACAUUUCACAUUCACCGAAGGAUAUAUUGAGAAGGAUGUGAAAGCGUGGACGCUUAAGAAGAUGGCUACACAAUUUCCAGACAUUUAAGAAGAUGCUAGAUACCCACUACAUUAAGAAGGGCCGAACUCCAGACUUCAACGCGUGGUCAAAGUUGAGGGACCACUAGGAUGCAUUUGUUGAAUAUAAGAGGAGUGAAUACGAUGUGAAAAAGAUCACGACCAACACAACAAAUGCUAGUCAGAAGGGCUACCAUCAUCAUCUGGGGCGAGAUGGUUAUGGCUCAGCAAUUCCCAAGUCGAGGAAGAUGGAACAAGAUCUGAUUGAACGGGGAAUCGUACCGGCAACUAUUGAAUGGCCCGAACGAUCAAAAAAUUGGUACUACGCUCAUGGAGGCUCCCUGUGCCAAGAGGAUGGGACGUUGAUUUUCAAUAACACAAUACGUUAGAAGGCCAAACAUCUUGUGAAGAACAUUGAAGAUUCUAAGGCUGGGAGGUUGAAGGUGGACCGAGAAAAUGAUGAGCUCACAUUGGCCCUUGGUAAUCCAGAGCACCCAGGAUGUUGCCGAGGGUUCGGGGUCGUUCCGUGGAAGUUUGUUUUCCGAGGCGACAGCGCCUCGUACAGAAGCCGGAAGCGAAGAAAGGAACAGAUCGAGGAGAGCUGGUGGCAGAUGCUAGAAUCCAAAGUGCAGGCACAAGAACAAAGAAUGAUGGAGGAAAUCAAUCGUCGAGUGGCCCACGCAGUUGUGGAGUUGGCCCAAUCUGGAGCAUUGCCGAAUCCUAACAACGCCAGCCCUUCUCAAUGCCUCUUGAGCAGUUAUGCUUCUACAGGGGUCCCCGAUGCGCACACGCCCAGGUUACCCGUGGAGGAGCAACGGUUCCCCGUGGAUGCCAUCACGCAACACACCACAUGUGAGCUGCAUGCACCGGUCGGCAACCUCACUAUUAAGGUAUACUUAUACAUAAUAUUUAUGCAAUCUUGUCAAUUGAUCCACGCCUCGAUAUCGGAGUUUAACUUGUUUACUUCUACUAUAUGUACAGGUAGCGUACGGGAGUGCGUUAGCAACCCUGGCGGGGCAGAGCAGUCAUGGCAUGAAGAUUCCACCUGGCUACGCUAGCGUCCGCGUAGAGCAAAUAGUUGAUAGCCAAUAUGAAGGUCUAGAGCUCGACCUCCCGGGAGGUGACAGGGAAAGAACACUGGCAGAUGCGCUUCAUGGGAUCAUUCUAUGGCGAAAACGCUACAUCAUUAUUCCCGGCACGGAGCCAUCUCCUCAGAGCUCAAGACCACUCCCCGUAGAUCCCCAGCAGCGACCUUCUCCUCAUAGCUCGAGACCGUCAUCUCCUGCACAACCUGCUCCAGGACCGUCCCUUCCAUCUAUAUCAAGGUCUCCAUCUCCACCACAUCCUGGUGGUGGGAGCGACGACGACAAUAACAACACCCCUUCCUGAUCACCAUCGCCGGCACCAAGAGCGGCCCCCAUGAAGGAACCUGCACCACCACUAAAAAAGUCACGAGCACCGCCUCCCAAGCAAAGACAGAGAAAGAAGAAAACAAAGGAGCCUGAAGUGACUCGUAAGGAACGCUGGGAGACAAUGUCUCAUGCGGAACAGUGGGCAGAAAUCCAACAAGAGGCCAGUGAGUGGUUCAAGAAACAAGCCGAAGAAAAAAAAGCAACGGAGAUGCAGCCACCGCCAGUAAAUCGAAGAGAUUUAAACUUUUUUAUCAGGAUGGAAGAAGGAGCCAAGAAAAGGAUACCACUCUUAUCAAACUAUGAACGGGCUUUAGUAAAGGCUGAUGAAAAGGAUAAAAGGAAAGGAAAGUCAUCUUCCAGCGGUGCUGUCCCCGACCUCAGCCAUUUAUCAAAAAAAGAUGCUCAACGGGUAAAAGCAAUGCCCUUGGAUCAACAAGCAGAAGUAUUGAAGUUCAUGCAAGAAACAGGUCUGGGACUUGAUGAAUGCCUAGGGCAAGUUGAGACGCCAACUGCACCGCCCCCUGAGCCGAGAUGGCCUUAUGAGCUAGGCAAACCUCUAGUAAAGCCUUCAUUGGUACGAAAGCUAUCAACAAAGAUGUACGCAUUCCAUCAAUGGUACAUGAUGGCAUCCGCUGACUCAAGGGAGAUGCUCGGCCUGAAGGUAAAACCGAUGGAUUUUCACGACAGAGGCGAGAAAGUGCUGUGGCUAGACUUCAAGGAUAUAUACGAAGUGUACCAUCAUGAUGCCAUAGACGUCUCUCUGAUCCGCGCUUGGGUUCUGUAAGUGUCCGUUUAUCUCUACAUGUAAAUUUUGGCGUGCGUCACCGUACUAACUUCGUCUUCCAUUUCAUGUAGGAUGCUAAUUCAGACAUGCCGCCGAGAGGCGUACCUACAUAUAGGCUUCAUGGAUCCAUCUGUAGUUAACCAACAGCAGAUACAAUUAGCAUCGGAGAAAACCUUGGUGGAAGUAUACAAUUUCCUAGACAAACAAACAUUCAAGGAUUUCAUACUAUUUCCAUACAACUUCAAGUAAGUGUGUGUAUACCGUCUACUUUCGAUGUCUUUUUCCUUAUCUCUACAUGUUAGUUAGCUCUAAUAUGCAUGAACAUUUUACGCACGCAGCUUCCACUGGAUCCUUAUUAUAAUUGAGCCUCAAAGAAGCCACGUCACUGUCUUCAAUUCGUUGAGGAAAGAUCCAGUGGAGCACCAAGAAAUGCAACACAUGCUAGGCUUGUAAUAAUUCUGGACCUUUAUCUCUAUGCAAAAGUUUGUUUCCUAAAUUCUAUCCCUGUUACACUAUAUCAUUCAUUAUUCUAAUCCACAGCGUAUGGAAACAAUUCAUAAGGACACAAAAAGGUCCAUUCAAAGAAAAACUUACAUGGAACACAGACUUCCCGGUACAUAUGAAGUCUGCACAUUUAUUACAUUGUAUAACACGAAUAUUUCAUAACUUAUUUUUUUCCGUAUUGAAGUGCUUAAGACAGGAACUCGGAAAUAAUCUAUGUGGCUACUACAUCUGUGAGCACAUGCACAGUUUUAUGGGACCCAAGGGACUAAAGAUGACGCCGCACAACUUUAAAGUACGUAAAAUAAAACUAUUACUAGUUAAUUAUUUUCUAGCUCCUUAUAUGUAUUUGUUCACGUAACAUUCACAAAUUUCCAAAUUAUAGAUGUUAAAUAUUCAACAAGGACUCUUGAAGGAAGAAAGAGUAGCGGCAAUAUGUGAAGGUCUCAUUGGAUUCCUAAUGGACAAGGUGGUAGAUCCAAAAGGAGAAUUUUAUUUUGAUGGACGACAAUUAGACACUCUGAUCAGCAACACCUCGAUGGGAAGAUUGUAGAUAGAUACUUUGAUUUAUUUGUAUAUAUAAUACGCGCUAAUUAUGAUCGAUUUGUACUAGUUGAAUUCUGUAUAUGAAUUGUGUAUAAGAAUUGUGUAUAUAUAUAGUAACUGUAUAAUUACAAAUCCCAUUCGUUUAAAUACUAGUUAAUUUCAUUCUAAAAAAAUCUCAACUACUUAAGGUUAACAAAAGGGCUGCGGUACUACGUACGUGAUGCAUGCAUGAAAAAUUCAGGCGCCAGGCAGGUGCCAUGCAGGGCAUCAUUUAGUCCCGUUUGGAAUCCAGCCGGGACUAAAGGGUAACCCUUUACUCCCGGUUGGGAAACCCAACCGGGACUAAAGGGGGACCGUUACUCCCGGUUAAAAGACCCGGGACUAAAACCCCCCCUUUUGUCCCGGUUGGCUUAUCCCGGAUAAAUUUUCGGGAGAUAUGCACCCUACCAACCGGGACUAAAGGCCAAUUCUCCACUAGUGGAAGGUCCUUUCUCUACCAUGAAUAUUGCCAGAAAGAAUUGAAAGAGACCGCUUGCUAAAAACAUGUCAUAGAUGCGGACCAAGCUACCAAGGAGGUAGACCAAACAUGAUACACACCAUGCGUACCUUGCUGUGCAGACUAUGCAUGGACAAGAUACCCGACCACAUGUUGGCUUUGGUCACAUCAAAAGAAUCAUGUAGGCCAUUAAUAAACUACUUGAAGCGUCAUUCCGUAUCUUAUAUCCAUCAUCUGCAUUACAUUACAUUAAAUAUUAUUAACUAUUUGAAUAAAAUGAACCAAUUUAAAAAUAAUGAAUUGUACAUUACUACAAAAAGCCCUAGCACUGCCAGUUCCAAAAACAUCAUUGUUGACGGCCGUUAAGUACCAAAUAUGACGGUCAAUAUCCUAAAGAAUAAAGGACAAUUGGCAUUUCUUACACACAUAUUUGGUUUCGAAUAAUGUAGUUCUACAUGUCCUUGGAGAUUAUUUGGGUGUGGGUGAAAUAAUACAAAAAGAAGGAGAAAACACACUCCCAUGGCAAAGAAACAUAACUCCGACCAAUGAGAGAUAGCCACAGGGGCAGCACAUGGAUCCAUGGGCCCACAAACUGCAUCAAACCAUCUUACAAGGCGGGUAGCACCCACAACUGUCAUUAGGACCCACCUGGAAGUCUAGCAAAGAAGAAGGUUGUGAGUGGGGCCACGAGGGGUUCGGUUGAAUCAUCUCUAGCUCCCUUCAUCCCCAGCUGGCGCGUGGCGGUGGUUCAUGGUGUCCCGACAUCGGUUAGAGGACAUUCCCCCAAAUAUUCCUCCUGUAAACCAGCUCUAUGAACCUAUAAAUAGAGGGGUGUGCUCUCCAUUCCAACACACACCACAAGUUGAAGCACUCUCUCCCUCUUUAGUUUCCAAGUUUACGGAGAUAGGCUGGAGUAGCUCUGCUAAAGGUUCCAAGUCCACUUGGAGUUAAGCGUAUGUCUCUUGUAUCAUUAUUUCCUAGAGAGACUUUAUGCUAUUCAAGUUAUUUAUCUUCUUCAUAUAGUGUUAUGCUUAGUUCUUAUAUGCAUGAGUUAGUCUAAUACCCUUGCUCUAUUGAUAUGCUCAGCUUAUGUGCUCGUAUGCUAGUCAUGUACCCUUGCUGUCAUAGUAUAGGGUUAUAUGCUGUCAUGUGUGCCUAUAGACCUUGCUACAGUAUAUACUUGUUGUGUAUACAUACCAUUUGUAUAUACAUUAUUACAAGUUAAGGUAGUUUUAAAUAUCCUUGUGUUGACAACCAAAGCUUGAUCUUUUGUUUCCAUUGCCAGCGGAUUCAUCGGCUCAGAGUAGGAUCAAGACAUCAAGUUGAUGGAGUUCUUUAUAUUUCAAGAGGAGUCAUGGAGUUCUUUAUAUUUCAAGAGGAGUUGAUGGUGCUUUCAAUAUUGCAACCAGACAUCAUUGGCUCUGAAGACACCGAAUCAUCGGAGUUCUAUGAUCAGUUUCGGAACAUGAAGCCUUCAUACUCCGAAACUGGGGGGCCUGUGUUGACACCGAAUUAUCGGACUUCUAUAAUUAGUUUCGGAACAUGAAGCCUUCAUACUUCGAAACUGGGGGGUAUGUGUUUACACCAAAAUUUAGAAAUGUGCUCUGAAAGGAAGGACCUGGGAGAUCUAUUGGCUGAAAUACAAAUCCAUCGAAACUAGCCUUAUGCUAAGAGAUCAGAAUAUUGUACAAAGUCUAGAAAGUUCUAUUUACAUCUAAGUAACUCGAUAACUAGCCUUACGCUAAGAGAUCAGAAUAUUGGACAAAGCCUACAAAGUUCUAAUAUAGGUAACGUAAUGACCAGGUGAGGAUAGUUACAAGCUCGCUUGAGAUCGAAGCCGAUGUAGCCCUGCGCGCAAGAAGAAACUCACCUAUUUCUACUCUACUCUUACUCCUAGGGUUUGAUGGCGUGGCGUCAAAAGAUUGUAUUGAUUGAUUGAUUAUUUGAUACAAAGCUCAUGGGCCUAUAUUUAUACCCUUGAGAAAGCUAAAAUCCUAAUCAGUUAUGACAUGAAUCGUGACAGAAAAUCUAACUAAAGAUAGAUCUCCAUGCUUUCCCUUAUUUGGUGGAGUCGAUUUCACUUCAUAUCGGAUCCCUCCCGAUCUUCUAUCGGCUUCUAGCAUCCGGUCAUCUGCGACUGGCCUUGGUCAACAUCAGGUGUCAACAGACUUAUUUCUUCUACAAGUUCAUCGGCUGUCAGAGCCUUGUCUUAGUCAGUUGACUCUAGUAAAAAAUCGAUGUCAAUACAUGCCCCCCAAUUUUUGAAUAAAAUAUUAUAUUUCAAAAUUCUCUUCUCUUGUCAACAGCUUUUGAAAGAAAAAGAGUCACUGCUGCAAUCAUAAUCUUUUUCCCCGGGUUUUGUGAUAGCACCCUCCUCAUUUUAAGGGAUUCACCAUGUGGAAAUUAUAAUAUAACUGCUUCACCCAUUUCGUUUUCUUCACCAAACCAACUAUUGUCAGCCGCUACAACCAAAAAUCAAUUAUUCCCUUCACAUGCCUAGCGACUGCAUCCAUCACUCAUCGUCACCAUUAGUCUCCAUGUGUCAAGGCUUCUUCAACCAGCAAUGGCGACAUUAUCUUCCAUUCCACAGGUACCAUGUAUCCUAGCCAUUCCUUUCCCCUUUCAACCUGAAAUCCAAUCUAGUCACUAUAUAUCAAACCUGUGUUCUUAAUCAAUACUUGCCCCCUUGUACUUAGAAACACCCUUUUGAUCCCCAUAUCCGAUACGCAAGCAGAAUACUUUCUAGGCCCCAUGGGUAGUGAAGACCCAAUAGAAUCUAUUAAUGCUGAAAUACUUGGACAAAGUCUAGAAAGUUCUAUUUACAUCUAAGUAACUCGAUAACUAGCCUUACGCUAAGAGAUUUAAAUAUUGGAUAAAGCCUAGAAAGUUCUUAUAUAGGUAACUGAAAAGUGUGUUGACGCAAAAAUUGGAUGGUUGACUCCUGCGUACUAACACACGGAACCAGGGAGAAUCUGCUUAGCUACUGUUCGGGUUAUAGCCCUCUCGAUCCGUAGCGUGCCAGUUAAUCUGACCUGCUGAUUGACAAGUAAAAAUGUCAAAUUAAGAGCAAAUCAGCUGGUGUUCCGAAUCGCUCCACGGGACGUAUCAGUAGACAGCCGAUACGGGCAAACGACAAUCAGCUAGAUCAGCCGAUUUGCUCUUGUAUUUGACGUUUUACUUGUCCUUCUCAAUCAGCAGGUCAGAUUGACUCGCACGACGCAGAUCGAGAGGGCUAUAACCUAAACAAGAGCUAAGCAGAUUCUCCCGGGUUUCAUGUCUUAGUACACAGAAGUCAACCGUCUGAUUUUAUCAUCAACACGCUUUUUGGCACGCUCAGUGGGACCCGAUUCAUAUCUUAAUGGUAAUUGGUGAUCAAGUUUCAAACAACGUAUCCACUGGUAGAAAACUGAGCAUUAGUCCCGGUUGGUAAGGGUCAUAUCUCUCGGAUAUCCAUCCGGGAUAAACCAACCGGGACAAAAGGGGGGGGUCUUUAGUCCCGGGUAUUUUAACCGGGAGUAAAGGACCCCCUUUAGUCCCGGUUGGUGUCACCAACCGGGACUAAAGGGCCUGCCACGCCAGGCGCGGGACAGGCCCUUUAGUCCCGGUUGGUGACACCAACCGGGACUAAAGGGGGUCCCUUUAGUCCCGGUUGGAUUUCCCAACCGGGACUAAAGGGGUCCCCUUUAGUCCCGGCUCAAUUCCAACCGGGACUAAAUUGCGCUUGCAUGGCACUGGUGACGCCUGAAUUUUUCAUGCAUGCAUCACGUAUACGUAUAGUAGUACCGCGGCCCUUUUAAUUUGUUAACCUUGUAGUUGAGAUUUUUUUAGAAUGAAUUAAAUCAACUAGUAUUUAAACGAAUGGGAUUUGUAAUUACACAACUACUAUAUAUAUACACAAUCCUUAUACACAAUUCAUAUACACAAUUCAACUAGCUUAAUUAGUACAAAUCGAUCAUAUAUACAAAUAAAUCAAAGUAUCUUCCUACGAUCUUCCCGUCGUGGUGUUGCUGAGAGGAGUGUCUAAUUGUCGUCCAUCGUAAUAAAAUUCUCCUCUUGGAUUUACCACCUCGUCCAUUAUGAAUCCAAUGAGACCUUCACAUAUUGCCGCUACUCUUUCUUCCUUCAAGAGUCCUUGUUGAAUAUUUAACAUCUAUAAUUUGGAAAUUUGUGAAUGUUACAUGAACAAAUACAUAUAAGGAGCUAGAAAAUAAUUAACUAGUAAUAUAUUUAUUUUACGUACUUUAAAGUUGUGCGGCGUCAUCUUCGGUCCCUUGGGUCCCAAAAAACUGUGCAUGUGCUCACAGAUGUAGUAGCCACAUAGGUUAUUCCCGGGUUCCUGUCUUAAGCACUUCAGUGCGGAAAAAAAAUAAGUUAUGAAAUAUUCGUGUUAUACAAUGUAAUAAAUGUGCAGACUUCAUACGUACCGGGAAGUCUGUGUUCCAUGUAAGAUCUUCUUUGAAUGGACCUUUGUGUGUCCUUAUGAAUUGUUUCCAUACGCUGCGGAUUAGAAUAAUGAAUGACAUAGUGUAACAGGGAUAAAAUUUAGGAAAUAAAUUUUUGCAUAGAGAUAAAGGUCCAGAAUUAUUACAAGCCUAGCAUGUCUUGCAAUUCUUGGUAGUCCACCGGAUCUUUCCGUAACGAAUCAAAGACAGUGACGUGGCUUCUUUCAGGCUCAAUUAUAAUAAGGAUCCAGUGGAAGCUGCGUGCGUAAAAUGUUCAUGCAUAUUAGAGCUAACUAACAUGUAGAGAUAAGGAAAAAGACAUCGAAAGUAGACGGUAUACACACACUUACUUGAAGUUGUAUGGAAGUAGUAUGAAAUCCUUGAAUGUUUGUUUGUGUAGGAAAUUGUAUAUUUCGGCAAAGGUUUUUUCCGGCGCUAAUUGUAUCUGUUGUUGGUUAACUACAGAUGGAUCCAUGAAGCCUACAUGUAGGUACGCCUCUCGGCGGCAUGUCUGAAUUAGCAUCCUACAUGAAAUGGAAGAUGAAGUUAGUACGGUGACGCACGCCAAAAUUUACAUGUAGAGAUAAUAAACGGACACUUACAGAAUCCAAGCGCUGAUCAGAGAGACGUCCAGGGCAUCAUGAUGGUACACUUCGUAUAUAUCCUUGAAGUCUAGCCACAGCACUUUCUCCCCUUCACCGUGAAAAUCUAUCGGUUUUACCUUCAUGCCGAUCAUCUCCCUCGAUUUGGCGGAUGCCGUCAUGUACCAUUGAUGGAAUUCGUACAUCUUUGUUGACAGCUUCCGUACCAUUGCCGGCUUCACUAGAGGCUUGCCUAGCUCAUAAGGCCAUCUCGGCUCAGGGGGCGGUGCAGUUGGCGUCUCGACUUGCCCUAUGCAUUCUUCAAGUCCCAGACCUGUUUCUUCCAUGAACUUCAAUAUAUUUUCUUGUUGAUCCAAGGGCAUUGCUUUUACCCGUUGAGCAUCUUUCUUUGAUAAAUGGCUGAGGUCGGGGACUGAACCGCUGGAGGAUGAUUUUCCUUUUCUUUUAUCCUUUUCAUCAGCCUUUACUAGAGCCCGUUCAUAGUUUGACAAGAGUGGUAUCCUUUUCUUGGCUCCUUCCUCCAUCCUGAUAAAAAAGUUUAAAUCCCGCCGACUUACUGGCGGUGGCUCCAUCUCCCUUGCCCUUUUUAAUUCGGCUUGUUUCUUGAACCACUCACUGGCCUCUCGUUGGAUUUCUGCCCACUGUUCCGCAUGAGACAUUGCCUCAAAGCGUUCCUUGCGAGCCACUUCAGGGUCGACCUUUGUUUUCUUCUUUCGAGGCUGUCUUUGCUUGGGAGGCGGUGCUCGUGACUUCUUGAGUGGUGCUGCAGGUUCCUUCGAGGGGGCCGCUCUUGGUGCCAGCGACGGUGAUCGGGGAGGGGUGUUGUUAUUGUCGUCGUCGCUCCCAGCACCAGGAUGUGGUGGAGAUGGAGACCUUGAUAUAGAUGGAAGCGACGGUCCUGGAGCAGGAGAUGCCGGUCUCGAGGUAUGAGGAGAAGGUCGCUGCUCGGGAUCUACGGGGAGCGGUCUUGAGGUCUGAGGAGAUGGCUCCGUGCGGGAAAUAAUGAUGUAGCGUUUCUUCCAUAGAAUGAUCCCAUGAAGCGCAUCUGCCAAUGUCUUUUCCCCGUCGCCUCCCGGGAAGUCGAGCUCUAGACCUUCAUACUGGGCAUCUACUAUUUGCUCGACGCAGACGCUGGCGUAGCCUGUUGGAAUGUCCAUGCCAUGACUGCUCUGCCCUGCCAGCGUUGGUAACGCACUCCCAUACGCUACCUGUACAUAUAGCAGAAGUAAACAAGUUGAACUCCGAUCUCGAGGCCUGGAUCAAUUGACAAGAUUGCAUAAAUAUUAUGUAUAAGUAUACCUUAAUAGUGAGGUUGCCGACCGGUGCAUGCAGCUCACAUGAGGUCCGUUGCGUGAUGGCAUCCACGGGGAACCGUUGCUCCUCCACGGGUAACCUGGGCGUCUGCGCAUCGGGGACCCCUGUAGAAGCACAACUGCUCCCGAGGCGUUGAGAAGGGCUGGCGGUGUGAGGAUUCGGCAGUGCUCCAGAUUGCGCCAACUCCGCAACUGCGUCGGCCACCCGCCGAUUGAUUUCAUCCAUCAUUCGUUGUUCUAGCAUCUGCCGCCAGCUCUCCUCCAUCUGUUCCUUUCUUCGCUUCCGGCUUCUGUAAGAGGCGCUGUCGCCUCGGAAAGCGAACUUCCACGGAACCACCCCGAACCCCCGGCAACGUCCUGGGUGCUCUGGAUUACCGAGGGCCAAUGUGAGCUCAUCAUUUUCUCGGUCCACCCUCAACCUCCCAGCCUUGGAAUCUUCAAUGUUCUUCAUGAGAUGUUCGGCCUUCUCACGUAUUCUGUCAUUGAAAAUCAGCGUCCCAUCCUCUUGGCUUAGGGAGCCUCCAUGAGCGUAGUACCAGUUCUUUGAUCGUUCGGGCCAUUCAAUAGUUGCAGGUAUGAUUCCCCGUUCGAUCAGAUCUUGUUCCAUCUUUCUCCACUUGGGAAUUGCUGAGCCAUACCCACCUCGCCCCAAAUGAUGGUGGUAGCCCUUCUGACUAGCAUUUGCAACGUUGGUCGUGAUCUUUUUCACACCUUCUUCACUCCUCUUGUAUUCAACAAAUGCAUCCCAGUGGUCCCUCAACUUGGGCCACGCGUUGAAGUCUGGAGUUUUGCCCUUCUUGAUGUAGUGGGUGUCCAGCAUCUUCUUGAAUGUCUGGAAUUGAGUAGCCAUCUUCUUAAGUGUCCACGCUUUGACAUCCUUCUCGCUAUAAUCUUCGGGGAAUGUGAAAUGCCUCUUCACGUCUUCCCACAGCAUAUUCUUUUCUGUCUCUGGAAGGGCGUACGGAUUAUCGCUUCUGCCCUUCCAUUCUCUGAUGCUGAUAGGCACGUUGUCCCGGACAAUUGCCCCGAUUUGACUAACGUACUUCUUUGCGACUUUCUCGGGAGCAACCGGCCUGCCCUCAUCUGUAACUUCGGUGAUGACAAGCCUCCCUUCCAUCACCUUUGUACGACCUCGGGUCUUCUGCCCUUGUGUCGAUCCGGAGGGCUAACAGUUUAAGAUUCGUUAAUUAGUACGUACUAGUAGCGGUGGCGUGAAACAAUACAAGAAUGGUUGUAUAUACCUCGCCGGAACCUUCCGCCACGGCAAGUUGUUGCUGCGGCUGUUGCUCUUCAUUCACAUCGGCAGACAUGUUGAGGAACAUGUCCGCCUGGGUGCCCUCUUCAUCCGUGUAUGAUAGUGGAACGUUGUCGCCACUAUCAUCACCAGCGAUUAUCUGCUCCAUGAUAUACCUUGCGGUCUCAUCGUCUGCCAUUUCAACUAUUGCUGCAAACAUACAUGGAAUCAUACAUGACAGUCAUAGAAAUCGUCUUAAUACAAAUUUGUAUAUAAUCACAGUUCGGAAUCAUACAUGUAUAUAAUGAAAUCAUAAAAUAACAUGAAUCGUACAAAGUCCGGAAUCUUUAUACAAAUUUCUAUGAAUUUAUACAAAUUUCUAUGAAUUUAUACAAAUUUCUAUGAAUUUCUAUGAAUUUCUAUGAAUUUCUAUGAAUUUCUAUGAAUUUCUAUGAAUUUAUACAAAUUUCUACGAAUUUCUAUGAAUUUCUAUGAAUUUCUAUGAAUUUAUACAAAUUUCUACGAAUUUCUAUGAAUUUCUACAAAUUUCUACGAUUUUCUAUGAAUUUCUACAAAUUUCUACGAAUUCCUACGAAUUUUGACGAAUUUCUACGAAUUUUGACGAAUUUCUACGAAUUUCUACGACGGCGAUAAGGGCGGCGAAGGCGGGACGGCGGCGGUCAGGGCGGCGGAGGCGGGACGGCGGCGGUCAGGGCGGCGGAGGCGGUUCACCGGAACCACGGGCGGUGCCUAAGCUACUACGUUGUGAUGGGCGGCAGGACGGCGGCGAUCACGGCGGCUACUCGGCGGCGAUCACGACGGCUACAAGGCGACUGUCACGGUAGCUACUCGGCGGGACGGCGGCGAUCACGACGGCGGGACGGUAGUUAACAACCUAACUACAAAUCUAACUUAACAAACUAACUAGAAAUCUAAAAAUCUAACUUAACAAAAUUAGAAAUCUAAAAAUCUAACUUAACAAAAUUACAAUUCCAUCUAAAAAAACAAAAUUAAAAAUUAAAAGAAAACGGCCAGCUCUCCCGGCGCACCGGCCGGCGCGGCAGACCUCUCGCGCGCGGGGCGGCGGCCGGGGCGGCGGGACGGCGGCGGCCGGGGCGGCCUGACGGCGGCGGCUGGGGCGGCGACGAGGACGAAGACGACGACGGCGGGAUGACGGCGGCCGAGGCGAAGACGACGACGGCGGCCGGCGAGGGGCGACGAGGAUGGAGCUGGCGACGAGGGGCGAUGCAGCCGGCGAGGGAGGCGGACGGGCGGCGACGGGCGGAGAGGGAGGCGGACGGGCGGCGACGGGCGAGGGAGGCGGACGGGCGACGACGACGGCGCAAUGCGGGACUUCGACGGCGCAAUGGGGGACGACGACGGCGGCGGCCGGCGAGGGAGGCGGACGGGCGGCGACGGGCGGAGAGCGCGGGACUUGCGAAAAUUUCGCUAAGUGUGGAACUGGCGGGGGGUAGAAGGGAGUACAGUGCUUUUAACCCCCCCCCCCUUUUAUCCCGGUUCGUAAUGGCACCCGGGACAAAAAGGGCCUUUUGUCCCGGGUCCUGUCACCAACCGGGACAAAAGGCCCCCCCUUUUAUCCCGGUUGGUGACGGGACCCGGGAUAAAAGGGUGCGCUCCCAGCCCCACCUGGCGGGGGCACCCUUUUAUCUCGGGUCCCGUUACCAACCGGGACAAAAGGCCCCCCCUUUUAUCCCGGUUGGUAACGGGACCCGGGACAAAAGGGUGCCCCCGCCAGGUGGGGCUGGGAGCGCACCCUUUUAUCCCGGGUCCCGUCACCAACCGGGAUAAAAGGGGGGGGCCUUUUAUCCCUGUUGCAAAUGGCAACCGGGAUAAAAGGGUACGUUCGGGCGGGAGACGAAACGUACCCUUUUAUCCCGGUUGCCGUUUGCAACCAGGAUAAAAGGGGGGCCUUUUAUCCCGGUUGCUGUUAGCACCCGGGACAAAAGGUCCUUUUUCCUAUUUUUCUUCUCCCGCCUGUUUUUUGGAAAUGGAUUUUAUUUAACCUUUUCACUGCAUUCCAGGAUGAAAAACAAAACCUUCUCAGAUUUUGUACAUGCAAAAAUAUAUUUAAUUAACGAGUAAAUUGACAAUAAGUAUGAAGUAAUCAUUAUUUCUAUACCAACUCAUAUAGCCUGUAAAAUAUUUAUUUUACUGCAUUGCUGUGAUCAAUAAAUUAUUCAAUUAAAUUUUUUGAAUGCGCAGAAAAAUCCAUGUUAGUAUGUGGUUAACAAUGUUCAUGUAUAUCUAAAAAAUCUUCACCUAACAAAUUUAAUUACAAAUUUUAUCAAUUAAUACACAAAGGUCAUGCACAUUUAACGCAUUACAAUACAACGUUGUAAAAUUUCUUCUUCACGAAAGUUCCUUGAUCAUGAUCGCGGCGUAAGUACGGAGCCUCUUCUUUGGACAGCAGGAUGCUUGGAUCAACUUCAACGUCGAAUGGAGGCAUGCCAUCAAACUGAUCAUAAUCAUCUGAUUGGUCUGUUUUAUCCUCGACUCCCACGAUUUUUCUUUUACCUAGAAGAACUAUGUGGCACUUUGGCUCCCAUGUCUCUUCUGGAUUCCUCUUGGGUUUGCUGCACAUGUCCUUCACAUAGAACACCUGAUGCACAUCAUUGGCAAGUACGAAUGGGUCAUCACUGUAUCCAGUCUUGCUCAGAUCUACUAUUGUCAUUCCGUACUGAUCUUUGGUGACGGCAGUUAGCUUCACCCAAUUGCAAAGAAAUAGAGGGAUGUACAGCGGUCCGUAUUCGAGUUCCCAUAUCUCCUGUAUGAAACCAUAAUACGACUCCUUGCUAUUAUUUCUGUCCAUGGCAUCUAUGCGGACACCACUAUUCUGGUUCGUGCUUUUCUGGUCCUGGGCUCUCGUGUAAAAUGUGUAACCAUUUAUCUCAUAGCCUUGGAAUUUGACGAUUGUGGUAGCAGGUCCCCUGGCUAACCAAGCAAGCUGUGGGUGAAUCUCAGAGUUACCCAUAAGUUGUUGGCGCAACCAGGAGGGAAAAGUUUCCAUGUGAUGACGGGUAAGCCAAGCAUCGGAUUUGGUCGGGUUUUUGGAAGCUACCAUCUGCCUGUGCUGCUCGAUAUACGGAGACACAAAGGAUGACUGUUGUAGAACAGUGUAGUGUGCCUUGUCGAACAAAUUAGUAUCAUUGCUCAAACUUGAUUUCCUUCCAAGGGUGCCCAUUCCUCGGAGCCUCCCCUCGUGGCGUGAAGUUGGAACCCCAAUCGAGUCAAUUGAAUCAAUAAAAUCAACACAAAACUCGAUCACCUCCUCUGUUCCAUAUCCCCUGGCGAUGCUUCCUUCUGGACGAGCACGAUUACGAACAUAGUUUUUUAGGACUGCCAUGAACCUCUCGAAAGGCCACAUAUUGUGCAGGUAUACAGGUCCGAGAAUACCAAUCUCUUUUACUAGGUGAACCAGUAAGUGCGUCAUAUUAUUGAAGAAGGAUGGUGGAAAUAACAACUCAAAACUGACAAGACAUUGCACCACAUCGUUCUGUAGCUUUGAUAGCUUGGAUGGAUCGAUUGCCUUCUGCGAAAUCGCAUUGAGAAACGCGCAUAGCUUUACGAGCGGCAACCGGACAUUUUCGGGUAGAACACCCCUCAGUGCAACCGGAAGCAACUGGGUCAUCAACAUGUGGCAGUCAUGAGCCUUGAGAUUUGUAAACUUCUUUUGUUUCAUAUUUAUUAUUCCCUUUAUAUUCGAGGAGUACCCAGACGGGACCUUCAUACUAUUCAAGCAUUCAAACAUACUAUCCUUCUCCUCCUUGCUGAGAGUGUAACUGGCAGGACGUAAGUAGUGCUGUCCAUUAUCUCUCUUUUCCGGAUGUAGGUCAUCUCGUUGCCCCAUGGCUUUCAGGUCCUGUCUUGCUUCCAAUGUAUCUUUUGAGGUUCCAUAAACACCCAUGAAGCCUAGCACGUUCACGCAAAGAUUCUUCGUCAGGUGCAUCACGUCUAUUGCGUUGCGAACCUCUAGGAUUUCCCAAUAAGGUAGCUCCCAAAAUAUUGACUUUUUCUUCCACAUGGGUGCAUGUCCGUUAUCAUCGUUCGGAAUAGGUUGGCUACCAAGUCCCUUUCCAAAGACUACAUGUACAUCCUUCAUCAUCUCGAACACACGCUUUCCAUUACGGUGUGCAGGUUUUUUACGAUGGUCUGGCGUCCCUUUGAAAUGCAUCCCGCUCUUUCUCAGCUGGUGGUGAGCAGGGAGAAAUCGACGAUGACCCAUAUAGACGACCUUCUUACAGUGCUUCAAGUACAUGCUAUCUGUGUCAUCUAAACAGUGGGUGCAUGCCCGAUAUCCCUUAUUUGUCUAUCCUGAAAGGUUACUCAAUGCAGGCCAAUCGUUGAUGGUUACGAACAACAGUGCUCGUAGAUUAAAGAUCUCUUGUCUAUCCUCAUCCCACACACGUACACCUUCUUCCUUCCAGAGCUGUAAAAGGUCAUCAACCAACGGCCUUAGGUACACGUCAAUGUCGUUGCCGGGUUGUUUUAGGCCUUGGAUAAGCGCCGGCAUCAUAAUGAACUUCCGCUUCAUGCACAGCCAAGGAGGAAGGUUGAACAUACAAAGGGUCACAGGCCAAGUACUAUGACCACUACUCAACUCACCGAAUGGAUUGAAUCCAUCAGUGCUUAAACCAAACCUUAUGUUCCUUGCUUCACUUUCAAAGUCUGGGAAUGUUCUAUCAAUUGAUCUCCACUGUGCCCCAUCUGCGGGGUGUCUCAGCAUCUCAUCUUCCUUACGGUCUUCUUUGUGCCAUCGCAUCAACUUAGCAUUCGCCUUGUUCCUGAACAAGCGCUUCAAGCGUGGUAUUAUAGGGAAAUACCACAUCACCUUCACGGGAACUCUCUUCUUGGGAGACUGCCCCUCGACAUCACCAGGAUCAUCUCGCCUGAUCUUAUACCGCAGGGCUUCGCAGACGGGACAAGCAUCCAAUUCCUCGUAUUCAUCACCACGAUAGAGGAUACAGUCAUUAGGGCAUGCGUGUAUCUUCUGAACAUCCAAUCCGAGAGGGCAAAUAAUCUGUUUAGCUUCAUAUGUUGUGGACGGUAAUUCAUUAUUCUCGGGGAGAAUCUUCUUGACAAUUCUCAACAUCCCCUGAAAUGCCUUAUCGGACACACCAUUUUUUGCCUUCCAUUGCACAAAUUCUAGUGUCGUACCUAGUUUUUUAUGGCCCUGCUGGCAACCUGGGUACAACAAUUUUUGGUGAUCAUCUAUCAUGCGCUGCAACUUUGCUGCUUCCUUCUCAGUUUCGCAAUCUCUGUAUGCAUCUCGUAUCACCUGACCAAGGUCAUCAGUAGGGUCAUUUUCUGCAAACUCAUCUUCAUCAGCCUCGCCCAUUGUAGUACCUGCAAAAGCUUGGCCUGCAACCCAGUCCGGAAUGGUGUCAUCUUCCUCCUCCUCCUCGCCAUCUUCCAUUACAACCCCUAGUUCACCGUGCUUGGUCCAAACCAAAUAGUUAGGCAUGAAACCGUAUUUAAACAAGUGGCUGUGAAUAGUCCCCCAGGAAUUCUUUGAAUACUCCUUCCUGUUAUUGCAUUGGAAGCAUGGACAACAUACGAACCCAUUCUCUGGCUUGUUCGCUUUUGCCACUUCGAGAAAAUAAUGCAAGCCAUCAAUAAACACCUUGCUCCGCCUGUCUGCAUUAUACAUCCAAUGCCGGUCCAUCUGCAUCGUAUUACGCACGAAAAUGGAUUACACUUGACAAUGGAUUACGCGUGAAAAUCGAUUAAAGAUCCAAACAACAUGGUACAAUACAACAACAUGAAGAUCCAAAUACACAUAUUUAAAUUAAAGUCCCAAACACUGCAUAAGUUGUUCAACUUGAAGACCGUGAUCAUCUCGUGAGGAUGUCCUCAACUGGGCGGCACCGCACUUCGUCAUUAAAGAGGUUAGAUGCUACGGAAAAGGGGACACGGUCACAAUGUCCGUAUCCACUCUUUCUCGUAGAAUCGAACCUCCUUCUUGACAUACGUUGCUGCUCGGCGGAGAACAUCCUCGGCGAGAUGAACACGGUAUGCAAGUUCAACAAGUAGCAGAAGUCAUCUAUGUACAAAAAUUCUUUCCUUACCACUACAGAAGUUGUUGAACUUGAAGACCGUGUUCAUUUCGCGAGGAUGUCCUCAGCUAGGCGGCACCGCACUUCGUCAUGAAAGAGGUUAGAUGCUACGGAAAAGGGGACACGGUCACGAUGUCCGUAUCCACUCUUUCUCGUAGAAUCGAACCUCCUUCUUGACAUACGUUGCUGCUCGGCGGAGAACAUUCUCGCCGAAAUGAACACGGUAUGCAAGUUCAACAAGUAUAUGGAUUUAAAAAACCAUAUUGAAUUUGAUAAGAUAAACCGUCUAGACAAGGUAGCAUCAUUUUUAAACCACUGAAAUAAUGCAUACUAUAUAUGACACAUCAAUCUCCCUCACAUUCUAGCUCAAAAUACCUCUCCAUUUUUCUACUUCAUCAUCACAUUGUAGCAAAUAAUCUUUCCAUCUCCAAAGCAUAAAUCAAAGCAUAACACGAGGAUGAAGUAGCAAACCUUCGCAGCACUUGUUGGCUGAGUCAAAUUCCCACGAAAAUGAGGGAAAAAAGUUCGGGCAGCACCUCCCUUGCUUGGGCACCACCGGAGAGUAGGUGAAGCUCAGCUCUCUAUCAAUGUGCUGGACUGCUCGGGCUGGAGGAAGAAGAAAGUCUCUGUCUCGGGGUAUAGUGGGGGAUGAGUUUUAAUCCCGGUUAAAAACUCCAACCGAGACAAAAGGAAACACCUUUUGUCCCGGUUGGAAAGUUAGUCCCGGUUGGAGGAUCCAACCGGGAUAAAAGGGACACCCUUUUAUCCCGGUUGGAGGCACCAACCGGGACUAACCCUUUUAUCCCGGUUGGUGCCUCCAACCGGGAUAAAAGGGUGUCCCUUUUAUCCCGGUUGGAUCCUCCAACCGGGAUAAAAGGGUCCCGCCACCGACGGCCCCCGCUAGCCGUUGCAACCGGGACUAAAGGGGGGCCUUUAGUCCCGGUUGCAAUUACCAACCGGGACUAAUGCUCCCCUCCAAAUUCCCGCACCCCGGCGCACCCCCUUUUGUCCCGGGCCACUUUUAAACCGGGAUAAAAGGGGGUUGAUCGAAAGUCAGUUCUCUACUAGUGAUCGGUGACUCCGCUCGAGGAGAAUUGUUUAUAUCAAGCAUAGAAAUGACAACGUUGGAAGUGGAGGAUAUAUUUUGCUCUGUUGAUUUAAUUGCCGCGAGAGUGGCGGACAAGUUCUAAUGAUUGAAGAUCAGAAGCGUCUCGUGGAGAAUUUUUCAGAAGCUAUAUUUGGAAUUAUUAUAUUAUCUCAGGAGCAGAUUAAAUAUAACGCCACCACUGAAAGCCGAUGAGAUGUAUCUAUCGGCUACAUGCUAUUCAGAUGAAUUUGAUGACAGAUUAAUUACGGAGGAGACCGACCGAUACAACAUUAUGGUUUCUUACUGCUGAUCUGUUAUGAAAGAGGAUGUGAGAAGCUGAUAAUCAAGCAACAAUAAAAUGAUAUACACGCAGGGCAUUAAAUAUUGAGUUAAUGAUUGGGAGUACUACCAUUAUCUUAUGAAAAGUCCAUCGGCUAACCAAACAGCGUCAGCCGAUGGAAGCAAAUAGUGUCAGCCGAUAGAAUGAUGUUAUAUAAGUAUAUAUAUCGGCCUCCGAGCCAAUGGGAAGUAGGAACUAUCAGCCGAUGCACACAUCCAUGGACAUAGCCGAUAAGACAUUGUAUCGGCUGCUUGGCAAAUAAAAAUAGCAUCGGCUGACCGCUUGUUAAAAUAUUAUCGGCCGAUUGCUUGGCAAAAUAGUAUUGGCUGACUGCUUGGCAAAUAAAAAAAUAAUAGGUUGACCAAAAAAGGAUAGCAUUGCCUGAUUGCUUGGCAAAUAAAAAAAAUUACGUCGGCUGAUUGGUUCCAGCAAAAUAGUAUCGGCUGCUUGUUGAUCAGAAAAAGCCGAUACUGUUACAGCUCCCGCAACUGUGCUUUGCUGUCAUCGGCUGGGUUGUUCGUGCUCCAUCUGCAAAUAUUUGUCCCGGCUAGAAAGUAUCGUACGUGCAUUGGGAUUCGGCAGUACAAAUCACGUACACGCGUAUGGUCUGCUCAGAAGCUGUCUGUUCGACGAAGUUCCAGGCCAAUGGUGGAGACUUGAUGACCAUGGUGACCUGCAUUAAUCAACAUGAAGUAUGUAUCGGCUGUUCGGUGAUUGGUAGCAAAUCAGCUUUCUCAUAGCCGGUGACAUAUGGGGCAAGAAAUAUCAGGCUUAAAAAAGGACAGUACGAUCAAUGUCGAAAGUUGUAGCCGACGGUUCUAUUAUUGUGCAGUCGAUGGAACAUAGAAGAUGCAUCUGAAUGAGCAAAAGGAAGGGAGCCGAUAGAAGGGAAUUUAAGUUGCAUGAGAUCCAAUUAAAUUAAGAUGACGAGAGGUGUUGACAUCGAAUCAUCGGACUUCUACGAAGUCUUCAUACUCCGAAACUAGGGAGUCUGUGUUAACACCAAAAUUUAGAAAUAUGCUGAUGCAAAAAAAUAAUGAAAUCUCCUAAAUAAGGCUCAAGAAAGAAAAAGCAAGAAAAGAAAAUCAAUCGCACGCGGCAAGAAUUGAAUAAAAUAUUCUAGAGGUAGAGUUGGUUAGGAUAAGCUUAAUUAGGGAUAGAGUUGGAUUAGUUAGAGAUAGUAUUUUGAUUAGAAAAGAUUGUGUACAUGACUUGUACGUGGUGCGUCAGAGGCCAUCCGCCCUAUAAAUAUAAGGGGUCGUGGCCAUUGUAAUUAUCAUCACACGAUCAAUAUACAACAUAUUUAUCUUUUACCUUUUCGGCUUCACGCCAUUGUAUUAGGAGUAGGAGUAAUGUAGCUUCCUGACGAGUUCCUUCUAGCAAGCUGUGCUGCAUUGACCUUGAUCUCUGGCGAGCUGCAAAGUUCCGUCACCAGGUGUUCUAGGCUUUAACCACCGGGCGCAUCGCUUGUGGUUUCGUCUAGUUUCAUCUACAAGGUAUCGAAUAUCAUGGAUCUUUAACUUACGCAUCGCUUCUGUCUUGAUCUACGGUAUUCACCAGUUAUCCUGCCUUGGUUAAGUCUGCAUCGGCUGAUAUUUAUCUGUUCUAUCAUCUUGCCGUUCAGUUUGCUUUAAUUAGCUUUAGAUCGGUUCAUUAUAGAUGAUAGAUCGCUUAAUAGCCUGUUGCAUCUUAAUCUUGGUUACCCCUUCAAGUGCUGUUGGGAUUAAGUUUCGUUAUGAUUGGAUUCAUCGGCUGGUGGGGUUGGUGGGGUUCAGAUUAACAUCGUGCUAAAUAUUUCUAGACUGCAACUACUGGACGCAUCGCUGUGGUUUCAUCUAGAGAUAUUGGUAGAGAGUUUAGUUUAGAUCUCAUCGGUUCGUGGCUCUAGCUAUGGUGGAGCGGCAGCUGAAUAGCAUCCUGUUUUCUAUCGGUCGCCUGGCCGAUAGUUAUUGCAAAAUAUAUUAAAUCGCCUGGAUGGCCGAUGGAUCACUCACGCUCGUCAAGGAUCAUAUCGGCCUGAUCGGCCAGUUGCCUCGGACUUCAAAGGAUUAUUUUCACCUUGUCAGUUGAAUGGUCAAACUGGCUGGCACGCCCGCGCACACCAUGCGCGCCGAUUUGGAUUUUGCACUGGAGUUAAGUAGAUCUUCCAGGUCCUCAUGUGGUGACGAAGGAUCCACCACCAUCAGGAUUUUGCGUCAACACAUUUUGGCACGCCCAGUGGGACACGGUUAUAAGGUUCAUAUUUUUAUUCAUAUAAAAAAGCAUCUUCGGCAUCAUCGGCCAAAUGAGUGUUCAUCGGCUUGUUAGAAUUAAUUCAAUAUAAUAUUUCAGCAAAAGCAGCCGAUGUAGCGAUUGGAGAUAAGGCCAAGUCAAGUCUGCGUGUAUACGCAUGUUCCGGUGGGAUCAUCUUCAUAAAUGCCAAUGACGAUUAGAGAUGAAGCUUCCUGCAAAAUGAUUGGCUACUCUAUCCGGGAAGAAUUGCUUUUUUAUGAGGCAUAUAUAGAGACCCAUGUUGCAAUUAGGGGGCGUAUUCGUGCAUUGGCUGAAAUAAAAAAAUGCAUCGGCAUAUUGAAAAUUGCAUCGGCCGAUUGACAGUCGUAUCAGCUGAUUGGAAAAAUAAAAAGGGAUCAGGGAUCCGCCGAUUGAAAAUUGCAUCAGCUGAUGGAAAAUGAGAGCAACAGUUACAAUAUUUUUUUUAAAAGAAAGCAAGUAUCGGCAAGCAGUAGCCGAUGGAUUUGUAUUUCAGCCAAUGGGGUUUUUGUUUCAGCUGAUAGUACUACUGGCUGAUGGCAAGUCCAAUGGAGUUAAAAUUGCAUUGACUGAUUGAAAUAAAAAUUAAGUAUCGGCUAAUUUAUGGCCAAGUAGCAUCUGCUGAUUUGUUGCAAAGUAGUUUCGGCUGAUUUAUGGCAAAAUAGAAUCGGCCGAUUUAUGGCAAAGAAGCCAAUAGACAAAAGCAUCGGCUGGUAGAGAAGCCGAUUGAGCAAGCAUCUGUUGAUGAGCUAUGUAUGGGAAAAAGUAUUGGCUGCUUAAACAAUUGACAAAAGCCAAUUGGUCAGACUGAGAAGCCAACUGGGAAAGCAUCGAUCGAUGGAUUGCGUAUGGGAGAGAGUAUCGGUUGAAGUCUUUAGUAUUGACUGCUAGAUAUUUGAGCAAGCGUCGGCCGAUUGACUGCUUGGUAAAAAAAACAUCGGGCUGAUUGCUUGGUUAAUAAAAAAAUUGCAUCGUUCAAGCAAAGAUUGCAUGGGCUGAUUGGUUCAAGCAGAAUAGUAUCGGUUGCUUAUAGAAUAUAUCGGAUAUUAAUUUCGAAGCAUGAAAAUAUUCAUACUCCGAAACUGGGGGGCCUGUGUUGACAACAAAAGCUUGCUGGUUACUGCAUCAAGUUUUGGUGUCAACAUACUUGAUCUUUUGUUUCCAUUGCCAGCGGAUUCAUCGGCUCAGAGUGGGAUCAAGACAUCAAGCUGAUGGAGUUCUUUAUAUUUCAAGAGGAGUCAUGGAGUUCUUUAUAUUUCAAGAGUAGUCGAUGGUGCUUUGAAUAUUGCAACCAGACGUCAUUGGCUCUAAAGAUACCGAAUCAUCGGACUUCUAUGAUCAGUUUCGGAACAUGAAGCCUUCAUACUACGAAACUGGGGGCCUGUGUUGACACCGAAUCAUCGGACUUCUAUAAUUAGUUUUGGAACAUGAAGCCUUCAUACUUCGAAACUGGGGGGCCUAUGUUAACACCAAAAUUUAGAAAUGUGCUCUGAAAGGAAGGUAUCGGCCGAUGAUGCAAAAAAAUAAUGAAAUCUCCUAAAUAAGGCUGAAGAAAGAAAAGCAAGAAAAGGAAAUCAACGCACACGGCAAGAAUUGAAUAAAAUAUUCUGGAGAUAGAGUUGGUUAGGAUAAGCUUGAUUAGAGAUAGAGUUGGAUUAUUUAGAGAUAGUAUUUUGAUUAGAAAAAAUUGUGUACAUGACUUGCCUUGUACGUGGUGCGUCAGAGGCCAUCCGCCCUAUAAAUAUAAGGGGUCGUGGCCAUUGUAAUUAUCAUCACACGAUCAAUAUACAACAUAUUUAUCUUUUACCUUUUCGGCUUCACGCCAUUGCAUUAGGAGUAGGAGUAAUGUAGCUUCUCGACGAGUUCCUUCUAGCAAGCUGGGCUGCAUCGACUUCGAUCUUCGGUGAGCUGCAAGUUCCGUCACCAGGUGUUCUAGGCUUUAACCACUGGGCGCAUCGCUGUGGUUUCGUCUAGUUUCUUCUACCAGUUACCGAGUAUCUUGGAUCUUUGACUUAUGGCACAUCGCUUCUGUCUCGAUCUACGGUAUUCACCAGUUAUCCCGCCUUGAUUAAGCUUGCAUCGGCUGAUAUGUAUCUGUUCUUUCAUCUUGCCGUUCAAUUUGCUUUAGUUAGCUUUAGAUCGGUUCAUCAUAGACAAUAGAUCAUUUAAUAGCAUGUUGCAUCUUGAUCUUAGCUAUCCUUCGAGUGUUGUUGGGAGUAAGUUCCGUUGUGAUUGGAUCCAUCAGCUAGCAGGGUUUAGAUUAACAUCCUGCUAAAUAUUUCUAGACUGCAACUACCGGGCACAUUGUUGUGGUUUCACCUAGAGAUAUUGGUGGUGACGUUAGUUUAGAUCUCAUCGGCUUGUGGCUCUAGCUAUGGCGGGGCAACAACUCAACAACAUCCUGUUUUCAAUCGACCGUCUAACUGAUAGCUAUUGUAAAUUAUAUUAAAUCGGCUGGAUGACGAUGAAUCACUCACAUUCAUCAAGGUACUGGAAUCGGCUUCACAGCCGAUAUAUUUGUCAUGAUUUAUUUUGUUGCACCAUUAUCGCUACUGUGCUAGGAUUAUAUCGGCCUAAUCGGCCAGUUUCCUCGGACUUCACAACGACUAUCAUCUCCUUGUCAGUUGAAUGGUCAAACUGACUGGCAUGCCCGCGCACACCACACGUGCCGAUUUGGAUUCUGCACUGGAAUUAAGCAGAUCUCCCAGGUUCUCAUGUGCUGAUGCAGGGUCCACCACCGCCAGGAUUUUGUGUCAACACCUUGUAAUCUUCCUUUGAUUUCCUCAAUGAUUCGAAGACAAUAACCUUGCUUGUAUAAAUGAUAAUUAUAAGGAGAACCUAGUGGAAACUGUGUAUUCAUAUUAGAACUACCUAUGGUUAAUUAGGUUAGGAAAGGAAAUCGAAAAUAGACCGUACCCACACUUACUUAAAGUUGUUGGGCAGUAGUAUGUAAUGCUUGUAAUUCUGUUACUCCAAGAAUUUGUAUAUGUGGUCCAAUGUAGACUUUGGUUGAUCCCAUAUCUGUUGUUGGUUAAAUAAGUGUUUCUGGCCAUUUCUAGCCGUUAGAACCGGAACUAAAGGGGGCUCUUUAGUACGGGUUGAUAUUACUAACCGGGACUGAAGAGCCCCCAUUACAGUUGGUUUUUGGACGCGGAACUAACAACUCCUUUAGUCCCGAGUCCAAAAACGACUGAGAUAGAAGAUCCUUUCUCUACCGUGAAUAUUGCCAGAAAGAAUUGAAAGAGACCGCUUGCUAAAAAUAUGUCAUAGAUGUAGACCAAGCUACCAAGGAGGUAGACCAAACAUGAUACACACCAUGCGUACCUUGCUGUGCAGACUAUGCAUAGACAAGACACCCGACCACAUGUUGGCCUCGGUCACAUCAAAAGAAUCAUGUAGGCCACCAAUAAACUACUUGAAGCGUCAUUCCGUAUCGUAUAUGCAUUGCCGGUUCAUCUGCAUUACAUUACAUAAAGUAGUAUUAACUAUUUGAAUAAAAUGAACCAAUUUAAAAGUAAUGUGUUGUACUCUACUAUAGAAAGCCCUAUCACUGUCGGAUCCAGAAACAUCAUUGUUGAUGGUCGUUAAGUACCAAGACGGUCAAUAUUCUCAAGAAUAAUGGAGAAUUGGCAUUUCUUACACACAUAUUUGGUUUUGAACAAUGUAGUCCCACAUGUCCUUGGAGAUUAUUUGGGUGUGGGUGAAAUAAUACAAAAAGAAGGAGAAAACACACUCCCAUGGUGAAGAAACAAAACUCCGACCAAUGAGAGAUAGCCACAGGGGCAGCACACGGAUCCAUGGGCCCACAAACCGCAUCAAACUGUCUUACCAAGGCGGGUAGCACCCACAACCAUGAUUAGGACCCACCUGGAUGUCUACCAAGAAGAAGGUUGUGAGUGGGGCCAGGAGGGGUUCGGCUGAAUCAUCUCUAGCUCCCCUCAUCCCCAGCUGGUGCAUGGCGGUGGUUAAUGGUGUCCCUACAUCGGUUAGAGGAGAUUCCCCCAAAUAUUCCUCCUGUAAACCACCUGUAUGGACCUAUACAUAGAGGGGUGUGCUCUCCAAUCCAACACACACCACAAGUUUAAUCACUCUCUCCCUCUUUAAUUUCCAUGUUUAUGGAGUUAGCCUAGAGUAGCUCUGCUCAAGGUUCCAAGUCCACUUGGAGUUAAGCAUAUGUCUCUUGUAUCGUUAUUUCCCAGAUUGACUUUAUGCUUAGUUCUUAUAUGCAUGAGUUAGUCUAAUAGCCUUGCUCUAUUGAUAUGCUCGGCUUAUAUGCUCGUAUGCUAGUCAUAUACCCUUGCUGCCGUAGUAUAGGCUUAUAUGCUCUCAUGUGUGCCUUUAGACCUUGCUACAAUAUAUACUUGUUGUGUAUACAUACCAUGUAUAGGCUAGUCGAUCUAUACCAUGGCAUUGGUUCAAUAGCCAUGUUUUUGGUGGCUCCAACCCUAGUCAGAAUAGCUCGGGACAGCUAGAGUGUUGUUAAAAAUGCAAGAGUGAUGGUUGGGUUGUUUAGCAUCGUUGGAUAUGGGUUUUCCCCACGGGUUUCUAAGAGUAGGCGGCAGCUAGUGACAGCCCUGUCCGUCCUUCGUAAUCCCCCCACAUUCAAGUACGCCAUAGAAGUUCAUAAAUUAGCAGUAACUACACCGGCAGACCGGUAGGGUAUUGUCUCCCUAUAGUACCUUGGUGCAUAGAACUAGGUCAUAUACACUGUGUGUCUAUGUUUACGCUGAUAUGAUCUGUGCAGUAUAUAGCAUGUAUAUAUGAACCUAGAGCUAACUCCUAGUCCAUUCUCCGUAGCUUAGUUAUCUUGAGAUGAUUCUUCUGUGUGUGUAACACUACCCAUCUUAUCAUUAUCCUUAAUCCUGUCUUGUGUAAUAUAUCUACUCAUCCUAUGAUAUACUCAUAUGCAUAGUAAACUAUUUUGACCUACCCGCCUUCCUUUGGGAAAUACGAUACCCUGGAAUAAUCCUAGGUGAAAUGCUACAACGGUAUAUCCAUGUGCUUACGGAAUUAUUCCUGACCAUUAAAUAUACCAACAAUCAUCACUAUCUAUUUUGGGCAUCGUUAGUGAAGGGUCGGCAGUGAUGGGCAUCCCCUUCACCAAUGGAGCUGGAACUGGCGGUGAUGGCCAUUAAAAAAAAUGGGACCCCACCCAGCGUACCCCGCAACCCGGCCGGCUGCGCCUCCCAUCAUCCCCGCCGGUCGCCCUUCCUCUUUGCCGGCCGAGCAUGGUUCCGGCCCUCGUCCCUACCGCCUCGCCUCCAUCGCGACCCCCUGCCGAUGCCCUCAUGCCUGGCCCCCCUCGUCUGGCCGGCCACCCUCCCGAUGCAUCCACCGGGGCCCUCGCACCACCAACCACCCUAGCCUAGAGAGAGAGAGGAGGAGGGAGGUGAGGCCACGCACCUCGUCCUACAACGCCGCUGUUGCUCCUCGGCCCACCGCGCCUCACCCCACACCACAGCCGCACCUCGCCAUCUUACCGGCCGCGACGCCCCAUCUCACCGGCCACCGUUCCUCACCCCCACAUCGGUCAUCGCUGCUCCUUGCCCUACUGCUGCUCUUUGCAGCCGCGAAUGAGGGGCGAGUGGAGGGGGAGGGGCGGGGCAGGAGGAGGGCAAGAUCCGGGAGGAAGGGAGAGAUUUUGGGAGGUGGAGAUGGAAGGAUAUGGCGGAAGGUAGAGAUCUAGAGGGAGAGAGCGGGGGGGAGAGGGGGGCAUGUGGGGAGAGAGCGCAUGUGGGGUGGGGCCGGGCUGGUGGGAUGGAAGGUAGAGGGGCCGGAGGGCGCAGUGCAUUCAACUGGAUUAAGUAAAUAUUUCGGAUUCGAGACCCCAGCUUUAUUAUCACCGCUGGUCCGUAGUACCAUUCGGUGCCGGCUCAUAAUUUAAUUUGAACCGGUGGUGAUGUUUUAUUAUCACUGCUGGUUUCAAUUUUCACCAUCGGAUCAUAUAAAAAUCCGGCGGUUAAAAAUCCGCUGGUUUCGAUGAAAACCGACAGUGAUAGGACGACUGUGAUAGUCUCUUCUCUAGUAGUAGUAUAUUAGUACCGGCUGCCGGAUGGUGUUGCCGACGAGUACUUCUCCAGGGGCGAUUCAGUACUGAUGUUAGCAAAGCUUGUUCUCUAUGAAUUUGGGGAUGGAAAGCUAGUUCUCUAGUUGUGAUUUGUUACAUAUAUCUCUAUGAUAGUCUAGAAAUUGCAUGUCCUUCGUUGACAUAGUUGAAGCUGCUUCAAGAAUUUACUUCGUGCAGUCGUGCAGCAUAUUGGAUUAUCACCUAGACAGGAUACAUAGGUGAAGCAUUGCAUGUGAUUGUGGCUGAUAAUUAUGCAGGACGCUGUUGCAAUCAACCAUCAAGAAGACUGGAGCGAUGGGGUUGCCUCAUCAACAAUUUUUAUAUAUGGCUGCAGUAUUAUUAAGCCCACGUCAAUAAUUUUUUCUCCGCAGCAUAUAUAUGGUUACUCAGUUCGCUGGAGUAUCGCUGUGGAAAAACAUACGUACUGCGCCUCGGAACUAACUGGCAUUCAGGCCAUCAACGACCAGAUAUUUGGGACAACCAACAAAUAGUAGGUGGUUCCUAAGUUGUAGUCGUAUGUACUAAUGCGCCUCGAUGGGGUUUUCUUCAGAUAUUUUAUUGCCGUUCAAUGAACAAGCAGAUACAUAACCUGUGCAGAAAAUUCCAUCUCCACGCAUGCCACUGCACCAACAAGAUCCUCAGUCGACGAUGAUGGCUCAGCCUGUUCCUUCUGCCACCAAAUCCUCAAUCUUCCCUCCAGCAACGGAGAAUGCACCUUUAGUACCUUCAGUAUCAGAUGUUGCAAUCGGUACCGUGAAACCGAGACUAAAAUCCUUACUUUGCAGGGGGCAAAACAAUCUUGCAAAUAUAUAUUUUGAAUUCCAACAAAAUUUAAGAAAUGUUAAAGAUGACUAGCUGAGAGUCAACAGACAAGAUAUGAUAUUAGGAAUGUGGGAGGAUGAAUGCAUUUGUACAGGGGUCAUACUAUUUCCAGACUCUUCUAUAUUUCCAUAUGACUACCUACUUCAAUGUCACGCGAGCCAUUCAAAAAGAUACAUGGUACACUUGUAUGUCUAAUCCAUUAUUGAUUAUUUCCUCUUGUCAUCUCUUACAAGUAUUUCUCCAUACUAUAGAAACGUGCAACACAUUUUUAGGAUAUGGACACGCAUGAUUAAUAUGCUUGGACUAGUAUACAGGUCAUCUUUGGAUGAGUACAUAUGAAUGCCAGGGAGGGACUGAUGGAUAUAAGGAAAAGGGACCAUGCAUAAAUAAUGACAUAUGUAACAUGGCAAUCUUCAUUGCCAUGCAACUCCUAUCAACAAUCAUGGAAUACAUACUACUGCUCCAGAAGGGUGGUGUGCAAAUUUAUUUUACCUCGCGGUGAAAAUCUCCAGAGCAGGCCUGAAGUUAAAAUAAGAGGCAGUCACUAUCGAUCAUGACAGUCUCGAAACUGUACAGCACUAUGCUAGUCCUAGUCCUCAUGUCGUUCGUGCUGUCGUGUAGCAUGAUGGAUUAUUAACUGGGCAGGACACGGAGAUGGCUAGCGAUGACAGAGGAUGACGUACAUGAUAUUCACCUCUGAAAUGAAGCGUAGGCUAAUGAAGCACAAUUGCAUGUGAGUGUGGCAGAUAUUUAUACAGGACAGUGAUUGCAAUAAUCGACCAUCGAGAUCGAAGACAGGGGCGAUGGGGUUGCCUCAUCAAUAAUUCGCGCAACCAGACAAGCUGCAGACUCAAUAUGGUACGAAGCUAUUUGGUCAGCCCACAUGCUCUGAUAUAACAUUGGCAUCUGCUGAUCUACAGUAUAUAUGACCAGAAAUAUUGUGCCACCUCAAUAAUUUUCCGAAGUAUCGUUGGGGAAGCACCUACAUACUAUGCCUCGGAACUAACUGACAUGUUGGCCUAGGCGGUCCAGGCCGAUUGGACAGGCUCUUCCUUAUGGCUCCUCACGUCCCCUUCGUUUCCGAGUAAUCUCAGGUGUUCUGAAGUUUUCUUUUCACUUGCAUGUGGACCUUAUAUAUCAAUAGCUUCGGGAUAAGAAUGCCUCUUGAUAACCUUCCAAAUCGUCGCUUGAUUCACUUUGAUUCCAAAAUCAUCUUGCCAUAUCUUUUGAGACUUAGGCCCUAAGGCAUCAUGGAGGAUUGCUCGCCAAGAAUGAGCACCAUUGGGCUCCUGAGGACCCUAGGCCGAUCAGCCUGGGCUCUAUAGGUUGAUUGGCCCAGGCCCUCUCUGGGCCCAUUGGCCUUCAUCUUUCUCUGAGUCGACGCUUAUUGAGGGCUUUGUCCAAUUAUAGUCCAUUAUAGUCUAAUUUCCAAAAAAAUAGAAUAUCCUCCAAAAUACAAUACAUUUGUGAAAACAGCCCAAUUAUUAGGUAUGAUCAAUAGUCUAGGUAUUAAAUUAAUGUUAUUAUUUAAGAUAAAUAGGGAUAAAGGGUGUCAUUAAUAACGAGCACCAACCAGCGUACCAGCUGUUAACACUAACCGAUGCUAAUAUGUACCCUUUAGUACCGGCUAUUUCACCCGGUACUAAACGAGACAAGAGCACCCUAACAGAGGUUAAUACCAUCCAUUUCAUGAGUAAAAUACUAUGAUUCAAAAAUAAUUCAAAUCCCUUAAGACAAUACCUAUCAAAUGAGUAGAUUGUAAAUAGAGUAAAACAAUGUCCUAAUGAAACGGAACACUUCUGGUUCGUGUAGAGCACAAUAUAGAAAACAGUAGGGUAGCUGUACGAUUGACACGUGGUCCAUUAAUUAUUGAGCCAUCACUAUGGACAUGUCUUCAUGAGUAGUGUACUAGUCAUGACACAUGGUAUGUAGUAGGUGGAGGUAUUGAGUUAGCCAUGCCAUGAGCACUUAGUUACAACAAACACUUUGCCAUUAUCGAGCAUCCCAAAUCACUACAAAAUCCAUAGUUUACCAUAUACUACAAAAUCUGAGUUAAAAUAAGAGCAUACACGGAAGAGUCCGAAUGCACCGGUUUAGGACCAGGCACAUUGAAUUACUAGAAAAAGUUAUCGGACAAGGUUUUGGGUAACCGCAUGAAAAAUGUUGGAUUUUACUGAACACUUAGUUACAAUUACCAUGCCGUGAGCACUUAGUCACCACAAACAUUUAACCACUUUAGAUCAUCCUGAAUCCCUAUAAAUUCUGUACCUUACACCGUACCAUGAAAACGACAAGAACAGAGACAGAUGCAGUGAAAAUCUCCAGAGCAGGCCUGAAAUUAAAAUAAGAGGAGGCAGUCUCUAUCGAUCAGGACACGGAGAUUGCUAGCCAUGACAGAGGAAGACAUGAUAUGAUAUUCACCUCUGAAAUGCAGCGUAGACUAAUGAAGCACAAUUGCAUGUGAGUGUGGCAGAUAAUGGACCAUCGAGACCAUCGAAUGGUAUGAAGCAUGAUUAUCACCUAGACAUGAUAUCCUAGACAGGACGGUGAAUUGUAAAAAGAGUAAUCUUGAUCAAAGAAUGUCCUAAUGAAACGGAACAUUUUUGGUACGUGUAGAGCACAAUAUAGAAAACAGUAGAGUAGUUGUACGAUUGAAACUGCAUCCAUCCACGUGGUCCAUGAAUUGUUGAGCCAACACUGUGGACAUGUCUUCAUGAACACCAUCUAGUGAGGACAGGAUGCAGAAAAAUAUAAAAACAUGUCAUAGGGAGGCAGACCAAUCUUGCAAGGAGGUAAACGAAACGUGAUACACGAUCUGCCUACCUUGUCGUGGAUACCCCAAGAGAAGAUGUCAUAGAGGUGCAGACCAAGCUAGCAAGGAGGUAGAUGAAACGUGAUACACGGCCUGCCUACCUUGCCGUGGAUAUUAGCCCUGAUAUCAUUCUAUUGUUCAAGGAAUAACACUCAAUGCUGCUGCUGCUGCUGACCUGGCUCCAUAAAGUUGUAUUCCUCUAGCCGCUUGCACUAACUUUAUCUGAAGUAUUAUUCUCUCUGCCCUGAUAUCUGAAGUAUUAUUCUCUCUGCUGACUUUGCUGAAGAACCUACAUAAUAUGUCUUGGAACUAACUGACAUUGAUUCACAGACAAACUCUACAAGGUGCUGUUGUUGCCAUAUUUUAGAGCAUCCCAAAGGACUAUAAAUAAUAUAGUUUACCAUAUACCGUAUACCAUUAUAUGUUAGCUAAAAUAAGAGCAUAACAUGUCGCAGGAGUCCAAAAGCACCGGUUGAGGACCAGGUACAUUGAAUUACUAGAAAAAGACAGGGGGCAAUGUUUAGGUAGCCACAUGAAAAACAUUUGAAUUUACUGUUCCAUGAACACUUAGUUACCAUGCCGGGAGCACCUAGUUAACACUAAAAUUUAGCCACUUUAGAUCAUCCCGAAACACCCUCAAUAGCGACAAAUUUUGAUUUAAAUGCCGUCACCAAUGAUCCUCAAUAGCGACGUGUUUAGGUUUAAAUCCCGUCACUAAUAACCCUUGGUAGUGACGUGUUUUGGUUUAAAUCUCAUCCCACUGAUCCUCAAUAGUGACGUGUUUUUAGCAACACACGCUAUGAAUGACUUGUCAUUGGUGACAUGUUAAAUGCGUUAUCUCAAUGGCAAAUCAUUGGUGACGUGUUUUAAAAAAACAUGUCACUGUGAGAGUUAUUGGUGAAGGGUAAUUAAAAUGCAUCACUAAUUUUGUAGCAUUAGUUAUGAUAUAAUUUAGUAACGCAAAAAUCUACCAUCAGUAAUGAGGUUUAGAGCCGUCGCUAAUGUGGGUUUCUUACGAGUGAUGCAAGCUCUACAAGGUGCUGUUGUUGCCAUUUUAAAGCAUCCCAAGUGACUACAAGUUAAUAGCAUAGUUUACCAUAUACCAUAAAAAUAUUAGUUACAAUAAGCACAUCCGCAUGUGGAAGAGUCCGAAUGCACCAGUUGAGGACUAAACACAUUGAAUUACUAGAACCAAAUGUAAGACAAAGAAAGGGGUCAAGGUUUGGGUAACCGCAUUAAAAACAUUGGAUUUUACUGUACCAUGAACACUUAGUUACCAUUACCAUACCUUGAGCAUCUAGUUACCACAAACAAUAAUUUAGCCACUUUAGAGGUUCCAGAAUCACUAUAAAUAAUAUACCAACACCGUACCAUGAAAACAUCAAGAAGAGAGACGGGUACAUGGACCACCAUCAAGUGAGUAGUGACAGCACGCACAAGAAUACCCGGAACCUGUUAGCUUGUCUGUAGUGAUCUGUUUUCUUCCCCAUAAAAUCCAUGAGUAUUGCCACAAAUAAUGAAAGAGGCUGACCAAGCUAACAAGGAGGUAGAGAAAACGUGAUACACGUAGGUUUCAUUCAAGACAUCCAUGUAAGAUUCAUUCAAAACAUUCAUGGAAAUUUCUUGUAAGUUUUCAUGUAAAUUUCAUUCAAGACAUUUGUUAGAGGUGUUGUAUAUAUAUACCUUAACGUACAUAUAUCUAUGAUUUCAUGGUUGUUAGUGAUGGCAGAUGAGGAGCAUGCAAGGUAUUUAAUGGAGCAGAUUAUUGCUAGUGGUAGUGGCUCCAACCUGCCCGUAACGUACACCAACGAAGAGAGCAGCCAGGCGGACAUGUUCCUCAACAUAUCCGGUGAUGGCAAUGAAGAGCCCGAGCAAAACCUUGCCGUGACGGAAGGUUCCAGUGAGGUAUAUAUCAUUUCCAUUGUUUUACCCCAUCUAUAAUUUCAUAUUCAUUAUUACUAUGUACUAAUUAAUGGAUCUUGAACCAUUAGCCCUCUAGAUCAACGAACCGAAAUAAGCCCCGAGGUCUUACAAAGAUAAUGCAGGGAAGGCAUCACAUCACGGAAGUCACAGAAGAGGGCACAUCAGUUGCUCCCGAACAUGUGGCAAGAAAGUACGUGAGUCAAACCGGGCAAUGUGCCCAUCAGCAUUAGGGAAUGAAAGGGCAAUAGAAAUGAUCUAUACACGCCCCCGGAUACACAAAAGGAUAUGCUGUGGGCAAAUAUCAAGAAACACUUCACAUUUCCCAAAGGAUAUGUUGAAAAAGAUGUGAAAGCGUGGAUGCUGAAGAAGAUGGUCACCGAAUUCCAGACAUUCAAGAAGAUGUUGGAUGUCAACUUCAUCAAGAAGGGUCGAACUCCGGGUUUCGAUGAGUGGCCAAAGUUAAGGGACCACUGGGAGUCAUUUGUCAAAUACAAGACGAGUGAAGGUGGUGCGAGUAAGGUUCGCAUCAAUGUUGCCAAUGCUAGCAAGGAGUACCAUCAUCAUCUAGGGCGACGUGGUUACAGCACUGCAAUUCCCAGAUGGCGCAAGAUGGAACAAGACCUGAUCGAUCGGGGUAUCGUACCAGCAACUCCUGACUGGCCUGAUCGAUUGAAAAAUUGGUAUUAUGCUCAUGAAGGCAAUCUGAGCCAACAGGAUGCGACAUUGGUCUUCAAUAAAACAAUACGUCAGAAGGCCGGAAGGCUUAUUAGGAACAUUGAAAAUGCUAAAUCUGGGAGGUUCAAGGUGGAUAGAGAGAAUGAUGAGCUCACAUUGGCCCUUGGGACUAUCAUCUCUAGCAUUUCCAGCUCCAGGACUGUCGUCACCACCGGGACCGUCGCUUCUUGCUCGAUCACAGUCUCCAUCUCCAGCACAUCCUGGUGGUGCGAACGAUGACGACAACAACACCCCUCCCUGCCCACCAUCGCCGGGACUAAGACCCGCAUCGAGUAAGGAACCUGCAGCACCACUGAAGAAGUCGCGACCACCGCCUUCCAAGCCAAGUCAGCAAAAGAAGAAAGCAGAGAAGCCUAAGCCCACUGAGAAGCCAACAACCGAUAUGACCGAUGCGGAAAGAUGGAAGGCACUCAAAGAAGAAUGCAGGGAGUGGUUCUGUAAAAAGAACCAAAGAAAGAAAAGGAAAGCAGAUGGAGCCACCGCCAGUAGAUCCAAGAAAAUUAUAAUUUUUUAUUAAGAUGUCAAAAGGAGCCAAGAAGAUGAUUCCACAACUAUCAAACUACGACCGGGCGUUAGUCAAGGCUGAUGAGAGUUAAAAAAGGAAAGGAAAGUCAUCUUCAAGUGGUACUGUCCCCCACCUCGAGGAUCUACCAGAAAAAGACGCUAAAAAGAUAGUAGCAAUGCUCUUGGAUCAACAAACACAUAUAUCAUGAGAUUCAUGCAAGAAACAGGUAUGUGCCUUGCUGAAUGUCUAGGGCAAGUUGAUAUGCUAGCUCUAGAGCCAUUUGUACCGAAAUGGACCUUUGAGCUAGGCAAGCCUCUAGUAAGGCCUGAGCUGGUACAGAAGCUAUCCACAUAGCUAUAUGAAUACCAUGAAUGGUACAUGAAGCAGUCUGCCAAUGAGAGGAAAAUGUUCGGUCUCAGGGAAAAACUGAUAUUUUUUUUCGGCGAAGGCGAGAAAGUCUUGUGAUGGAAUUCAAGGAUAUAUAUGAAGUGUACCAUCAGGAUGCCCUUGAUGUCUCUCUCAUCAGCGCCUAGGUUAUGUAAGUGUAUGUUUAUCUAUACGUAAUUUUUGUCUCAUAUCAUUAUUUCUUUUGCGUGCGUCACCCUACUAACUUCGUCUUCCAUUUUAUGUAGGAUGCUAAUUCAGAUGUGCCGCAUAGAAGCGCACUUCCAUGUUGGCUUCAUGGAUCCAUCCCUAGUUAACCAAAAGCAGAUACGGAAGUAGCUAGAGAAAAUGUUGGAGGUGGUAUACAACUUCCUGGACAAACAAAACUAUAGAAUAGGGGCAAUAUGUGAAGGUCUUGUAGGAUUCCUAGUGGACAAGGUGAUAAAUCCAUAAGGAGAAUAUCAUUACAACGGACGAGCAUUAGACACACUGAGCAACACCUAGACGGGAGGAUCCUAGGAAUGACCUAGACAGAUUUUGGUAUAAAUAGUAAUUGUGUAAAUACUAGUUUGAUUUGUAUAGGAAUAUACUAAGAAUUGUAUAUAUAGUAAUUGUACAAAUACUAGUUUGAUUUGUAUAAAUACUAGAUUGAUUUUAUUAUAAAAAAGUUUUAAGUCGUACGUGCAUGCGCCUACAAAGGCGCGUAUGCCCUUUAAUCCCGGUUGGAAAAACAAACCGGUACUAAAGGGGCUCGUGCCGCACCUGGCAUGACCGCCCCUUUAGUCCCGGUUGAACGACCCAGGACCAAAGAUCUGCCCCGUCUCAUAAAUUUUAUCCUGGAUGCUUUUUAGAGAGAUUUGAGGCCUAUCAACCAAGACUAAUAUCGAGUUUUCUACCAGUGGAACUAACUAACGUUCACAUGCUUCUGACAUUCACCUGCCAUUUGGUGUAGACAAGGGCACCCUAACAUAUGGUUAAUAUUAUUCAUGAAAGAAAAUCCUUUGAUUCAAAAAUACUUCAAACCUAAUAAUACAAUACUUCUCACAUCUGAAAAAUAUGAGAUGGCCCGACAGUAUUCUAACCGACGCAAUAAUAUUUUGAGGGCAGCACUACUACAGCGACCCUCAUUCGUGCCGGUGCUGGAACCCCUAUCACGACCCUGAUACAAAUGAGGGUACAUUAUUGUUGCCAGUGCUAGAAUAGCCACGAAUAACUUGCUAAACAUGCUGUUACACUCACUACUAGAAAAAUAACCUCUCGUCCUGAGGCUUAGUACCGGUCACUUUUUUGCCCAGUACUAAUGUUAGUAUUAGUACCGGAUCCAAAUUUGGGAUCCCCCAGAGACCCUUUAGUACCAGGUGGAGUCUCCACCCGAUACUAAAGGCUUUGUUACCGGGUGAAGGAUCCUCCCGGUACUAAUGGGGGAUUUUUAGUACCGGGUGGGAACCCCACCCGAAACUAAAAUCUCCCAUGCGGACCCCUCCCCCCCCCACGCGUUGCCUCUGUCCUCCCUCCUCCUCCUCUGAGUAGUUAUCCCUUCCUCAUCCCUCCUCCUCCUCCCACACGUGGGGUGAGGUGAGGUGGCAGUAGCAACGACAGGUGGUGUGGCGGGUCACGGCGGGCCGGAUGCGGAGCCGCAACGGUGGUCGGCGGGAUGGGGUGGGGCAGAGCGGCAUGGCAGGGCGGAGCGGUGGGACGGGGCCGAGGUGGAGGUGCCGGGCGGAGGUGGAGUGGCAGGACAGAGGCGGAGGCGGAGCGGCGGGUCGGCGAGCGGGUGGAGGGUGGCGACGAUGGGGCGGGCAGAGGCAGAGGGGUGGGUGGAGGGGCGGCGUGGUCCACCGGCGGGGGGGGGGGGGGGAGAGGGAGGCGUGGGGGGUGCGGUUGGUGAUUUCAAUUUUCUUUUAAUUUUUUAACACCCUUCAGUACCAGUUAUUUUAACCGGGUCUAAAGGGAUCCCCUCUUGUACCGAAUUGCUAGUACAGGAUGCACAACCGGUACUAGAGGGAGGUUCCCAACCGGUACUAGAGCCACUUUCCCCGGUAGUGACUUUUUCACCGAUUAGAAUAUGUUAUUAUUCUAAUCAGCUUUUGUUGAUCUCCUGUAUAAUUUAGUACCUAAUUCUACUAGCAAUUGUUAACGCCGACACGUAUUGGGUAUAGUCCUAACAGUGUCUAACUAGGGCACUACAUUUGUUAACCUAUAACUACUGGUAUCGAUUAGCCCUGGUUAGAAUACUGUCAAGGCAGCCAGAAAAAAUUGUUUGCCAAUUCUGCUAUCCAUCAGAACCAUGACUAGUACCGUAUUGUAAUAAACGAAUUACACAAAUAACUGAUGCACACAAAGGAAUAUGCACUCGCAUGUGCUAGACGUUCGUAGCAACAACAAAUUACUCUCAUCAUCAAUUAAACAUAAUAGAUUAAACAUUAACUGAACAUAGUUCAACACGUACAUCAACAAGACAAAGCAGUUUAAACAUCAACUGAACAGAACUGAAAACAUACAUCAACUGAUGAUAAACUUCGACAUGAACACAACACAUAAACAUCAACUUCAAUAGAACUUAAUAGAGCAUAUUAAACAACAACAUCGACAAAACAUAUAAACCCAGCUCAGUAGCUCAAGCAUCAACUAAAACUGCUGAAUUAAAAUAACAUAACAUAGUGUAGUUCAUCAUGAUGAUAACUAACAGAACCGAAAAGCCUAACUGGGUAAAAGAGCAAUUCAUUCAUAAUGCUUCAGCACUUACAUCACCGGAGUAUGCAACUGGCGGCGUCGCUUACGUCACUAUCACCGCGCUUGGCGAGUAAAGGAGGAGGAGGUGGCAUAGUAAUCGAAGAGGAGGCCGCUGUCGGCGGGUUUAGACUACGUGGAGGUGUGGGUAGGGUUAAGGUGGCUCUGUGGACGAGUAUAUAUAAGAGGUCUGGGCUUGUUAGAAUAAGAUAACAUUCUAACUGGCCAAAUUCGGAUCCGGUUAGAAUAAAUUGUUCUAACCAGCCUUAAUUCGAGGUGGUAAGGAUAAGUUAACAUUCUAAUCAGCUCUAUUUGGAGCCCGAUUGAAUGUUCUUGUUAUUCAAAAAAAGAUCAAGUUCAUCAAUUUUUUUCUAGAAAAACAUCAAGAUAAUUUAAACACGAUAUAUAACAAGAUUAAUACAUUUAAAAAUUGUUUUCUCCAAUAAUUAACGAUAUUUAACAAAUUCAAAAAAAAUCCAAAUUAACAGAACAUAAUAACCAAUUGUUCGAAAAAAUCAAAAUAGUCCACACAGUAUCAUAUUACAAAUUCAGAAAAAUAUCAAAAUAAUCCCUGAUCCACUCGAUACCGUCGUAGAACUUUGAAAUACUGAGCUUCUUGAUUCAUCUGAGGUCCACGUACUCGUCUCAGUAACACUAGUGGUGGCCAUGCAUCUUGUAGAUGUCUUCUAAUGAAUUAAGCUUGACAUACAAGGUCGUGCCUUCCACUCCUUGAGGAUUGCUUAUGACGUUUCUGCAAAUAACGAAGCAUUGCUUUCUCCAACAUGAUUAUUUUCUUCGGCUUAUCCCAAGGGACAACUAUGGUUUUCCCCUUGCCGGAAGAGGAACGAUGAUCGCCCCCACCAUCGCCACUUCCUCCAGUAGCAGAAGCCAUCUAUGUACAAAAAUUCAUACCUUAGCACUACAGAACUUGUUGAACUUGAAGACUGUGAUCAUUAGGCGAGCAUGUUCUCAACUAGGUGGCACCGCACUUCGUCAUGGAAGAGCUUCGAUUUUACAAAAAAGGGGACAUGAUCUUCCAUGAUGUCCGUAUCCGCUCUUUCUCGUAGAAUCAGAGCUCCUCCUUGAUAUACGAUGCUGCUCGGCGGAGAACAUGCUCACCGAGAUGAACACGGUAUGCAAGUUCAACAAGUAUGGAUUUGAAAAACCAUAUUGAAUUUGACAAGACAAACUAUCUAGAUAAGCGUAGCAUCAUUCUUAAACCACUGCAAGGAUACGUACUAUAUAUGACACAUCAAUCUCCCUCACAUUCUAGCUCAAAAUACCUCUCCAUUUUCUACUUCACAUUCUAGCAAAUAAACUAUCUAUCUCCAUUCUACACAUCAAGUUGUUUUAACUAAUACAAAUCGUAUAUAACAAGCAAAAUAUCCAUCACAUUCUAGCUCAAAAACAUGUAUAAAUACAAAUCCUCUUCAUUCUCCCUUUUUCUAACAAACAAACUCAUUUUUCUCCCUCUCCAAAGCAUAAAUUAAAGCGUAACAUGAGGAUGAGGUAGCAAACCUUCACAACACAUUGGAUGAGUGAAAUUCCCACGAAAAUGAGGGAAAAAAAUUCGGGCAGCACCUCCCUUGCUUCGGCACCUCUAGAGAGUAGGUGAAGCUCAGUUCUCUAUUUUUGUGGUGGACUAGCUUGGGCUGGAGGAGGAAGAAAGGCCUCUGUCUUGGUAUAUAAUGGGGGAUGAGUUUUUAUCCCAGUUAAAAGCUCCAACUGAGACAAAACGGCCAAUCUUUUGUCCCGGUUGGAGCCUCCAACCGGGACAAAAGGGGCACGCCAUCGACGCACGGGAGCUAGCCGUUACAACCGGGACUAAAGGGGGGCCUUUAGUCCCGGUUGCAAAUACCAACUGGGAUUAAAUCUCCCCUCCAUUUUUGCCUACCGUGGUGCGCCCCCUUUUAUCCCGGGUCAACUUUAAACCGGGACAAAAGGGGGCGUCGAAGAUCAGUUCUCUACUAGUGACCCCUCCCCACCUAUCUCUCUCCCUCCAUGCUCCUCGAUCUGUGCCUCCCCUCCCCUCCCCUUCCACUCGCCCCUCACCGACGGUAAGGAGCAGCGGCGGGGCGAGGUGAGGUGGCAGCAGCAAUGGCAGGUGGUGGGUCGCAGCGGAGCGGCUACGGUAGGCAGCCGGACGGGGCAGAGCGGCGGGGCGGGGUGGAGGCGGAGGUGGCGGGUAGAGGCGGAGCGGCGAGGCGGAGGCGGAGGUGGAGGCGGAGUGGUGGGACGGCAGGGCCGGGCGACUAGUAUAGGUGGGCGGGCGGAGGGCGGCGACGGCGGAGCGGGCGGAGGCAGAGGGGCAGCGGGGGCCGCCGGCGGGGGGUGUGAUCGGGGAUUUCAAUUUUUUUUAAAUUUUUUAACACCUUUUAGUCCAACUGGUUCUAAAGGGACCCCUCUAGUAUCAAAAUUGCUAGUACCGGUUGCACAACCGGUACCAGAAGUGGUUCCUAACUGGUACUAGAGCCACUUUCCCUGGUAGAGACUUUUUUACCAGUUAGAAUAUGUUAUUAUUUUAAUCAGCUUUCGCUGAUCGCCAGUAUGAUUUAGUACCUAAUUUUACUGGCGAUUGUUACCGCUGACACGGAUUGGGUAUAGUCCUAACAGUGUAUAACUACGGCACUACAUUUGUUAACCUAUAACUACUUGUAUCGAUUAGCCCUGGUUAGAAUACUGUCAAGGCAGCCAGAAUUUUUUUUUUUUGCCAAUUCUGCUAUCCAUGAGAUCCAUGACUAGUACCGCAAUGUAAUGAAUGAACUGCACAAAUAACUGAUGCACACAAAAGAAUAUGCACUUGCACGCUAGACGUUCGUAACAACAAAUUACUCUCAUCACCAAUUGAACAUAAUAGAUUAAACAUUAACUGAACAGAAUUCAACACGUACAUCAACACGACAAAGCAGUUUAAACAUCAACUGAACUGAACUGAACACAUACAUCAACUGAUGAUAAUUAUCGACAUCAACAGAACACAUGAACAUCAACAUCAAUAGAACUUAAUAGAGCAUAUUAAACAACAACAUCGACAAAACAUAUAAACCCAGCUUAGUAGCUCAGGCAUCAACUAAAAUUGCUGAAUUAAAACAACACAACGUAGUGUAGUUCAUAAUGCUUCGGCGCUUACACCACUGGCGGGUCGCUUACGUCGGCAUCACCGCGCUGGCUGAACCUCCGACACCCCCACCACGGCAAACGGAGGUGAUGGCGGAAGGUGAGGCAACGACAGUAGCUGGUGAGCUCCCGCUCCAAUGUCUCGCGAGUAAAGGAGGAGGAGGUGGCAUGGGAAUCGAAGAGGACACUAGUAGAGAAACGACUUUCCAUCCACCCCCUUUUGUCCCGGUUUAAAGUUGGCCCGGGACAAAAGGUUCACCAACCGGGAUUAAAACUCGGUCACUGGUGGGGGGCUCACCAACCGGGACCUUUUAUCCCGGUUGCAAAGGCUAGUGGGAAAAAAUUACUCUGAGAGGCCUUUUAUCCCGGUUUGAAACACCAACCGGGAUAAAAGACCCCCCCUUUUAUCCCGGUUGGUAACACCAACCGAGAUAAAAGGGUCAAGAGCCUUUUAUCCCGGUUGGAAACACCAACCGGGAUAAAAGGGGGUCUUUUAUCCCGGUUGGUGUUUCCAACCGGGAUAAAAGGGUCCCCCACGAGUUAAUACAAAAGGAUAGUAUCCCCUACAUAGUCAGAUGUGGUGUGUAGGUGGGAUGGUAAGGAAGCUACGCGCGAGGCUGGAGGUUGUGGGUUCGAAUCCCACGAACCGCGCACGCGCAUAUUUCGCGUGAAAAAUCGCGUGACUUGCGACUUGCGCGUGUGGGGGGGCCUCCUGGGAGCUCGGGAAUUUUUUUUUUUUGCAGCGCCGGCCGUGGGUGAACCCUUUUAUCCCGGUUGGUAUUACCAACCGGGAUAAAAGGGGGUCUUUUGUCCCGGUUGAGUGACCCGGGAUAAAAGACCCCCCCUUUUGUCCCGGUUGGUUUAUCCCGGAUGCAUUUUCGAGAUCUUUGCACCCUACCAACCGGGAUAAUAGGUGAGUUCUCCACCAGUGGGAGGCCGCCGCUGGCGGGUUUAGACUACGUGGAUGUGUGGGUAGGGUUAAGGUGACGGUGUGGACUAGUAUAUAUAAGAUGUCUGGGCUUGUUAGAAUAAGAUAACAUUCUAACCGGCCAAAUUCGGACCCGGUUAGAUUAAAUUGAUAUUCUAACCGGUCCUAUUUCUAGGUGGUAAGAAUAAGUUAACAUUGUAAUUGGCUUUAUUUGGAACCCGAUUGAAUCUUCUUGUUAUUCAAAAAAACAUCAAGUUCAUCAAUUUUAAUCCAGGAAAACAUCAAGAUAAUUUAAGCACGAUAUAUAACAAGAUUAAUACAUUUAAAAAUUGUUUGAUUCACAAAUUAACGAUAUUUAACAAAUUCAAAAAAUCCAAAUUAACAGAACACAAUAACCAAUUGUUCGAAAAAAUCAAAAUAAUCCACACACAUUAAUAUAUUACAAAUUCAGAAAUAUAUCAAAAUAAUCCCCGAUCCACUCGAUACCGUCAUAGGACUUUUAAAUACUGAGCUUCUUGAUUCGUCUGAGGUCCACCUACUCGUCUCAGUAACACUAGUGAUGGCCAUGCAUCUUGUAGAUGUCUUCUAACGAAUCAAGCUUGACGUACAAGGUCAUGCCUUCCGCUCCUUGAGGAUAACCAUCUUUGGUGAUCUUGAAAUGGCAGACGGUGGAUGUGCCAAAGGUACGUGACGAUCCUUCUAAAUGUAUGCCACCACAACUUCCGUCUGAUCGCCAUGGGUGACACCAAGAAGAGCUACCAUGCGGCAAGGGACGAACAAUUUAUCAAUUAGUGCCGCUGUCCAUCGCCAUCAUCUAAUCCAGCCAUAUCUUGUUGUAUAUUUAAGUAUAGAAAUUAAGAUUUAAAAAUAAACAGAAUAAAUUGAGAUCGAUUAUGUAUGUAUAUCAGAACAUUAGCUUUUGGAAAAAGGGCUUCGAUGGAAGAGAGGCACGGGGCAUAGAGACAACAACGAGUGACAAUAUGUCAGAAGAAUACCCGAUCACAAUUAUUGGCACACACAGCCGAUAUUUACAGUAGUCAAUACCCCUGGUAAAUAACCACACCAUCAAGAGUAAAUAGUGACAAUAUGCAGUAUAUACACGACAUAGCCUUGGCUGCCGUGGAAGCACCAGAAGGGAGACAAAUAACAGGGACCACUACAUCAAGUAGAUAGUGACAAUAUGCAAAAGAAUACCCGCGCCUGUUAGCAUGUGUGAACUGACCACACCACGAAACGUGAUACACGGCAAGCGUACCAAGGCCUUGCUGUGCAGACUAUGCAUGGACAACACAUGGUACCUGACCGCUUUUGGCCUCAGACACAUCAAAAACUGCAUCGUUCCACGUUGUACAUCCAUUGCUAGUUUAUCUAUAUUACAUAAUAUAUUAUUAGCUAUUUGAAUAGAAUGAACCAAUUAAAAAAUUACGUUGUAUUUUAGUACCGGCUGCAGGAUGGUGUUACCAACCAGUACUAAUUGGCCUGUAGGAGUGAUGGUUAUUAGACUUGGUACUGUUGUUAGCAUCAUUAACCUAAUUGUGCGCCGUAUGAAUUUGGGGAUGCAAAGCUAGCUCUCUAUGAAUGUGAGGGAUGGAAAGCUAGUUCUCUAGUAGUAAUUAUAUAUAUGACAGUCAGGAAAUCGAACACUAUGCUGCUACGAGUCACCAUCAUUUCCUUCAUUGACAAUCUGACAUAGGUGAAGCUGCUUCAAUAAUUUCCUUCGCGCAGUCGUGGAGCUUAUUGGAUUAUCACCAGGACGGGACACGGAAAUGGCCAGCAAUGAAGCUGAUUGCCGUCUGAGGAAGACUACAUACUUACCUAUGAAAUGAAGCGAUUGCAUAGACUAAUGAAGCAUUGCAUAUUUGCAUGUGAGUGUGGCAGAUAAUUCUGCAGGACAUGAUUGCAAUCCACGCACCAUCGAGAAGACUGGGGCGAUGGGGUUGCCUCAUCAAUAAUCACGUGGAUGCAUGCAUGCAUGUUCCCUCAACCGGACAAGGGUCUGAUAUAUGGCUAUAGUAUUACUGAGCCCACAUCAAUAAUUUCCGCUGGUGUAUCGUGUGGGAAGAAUCAACAUACUACACCUCUGAGUUCUUGGAACUAACUGACGUUCACAUGCAACCUCCACAAGGUGCUGUAUGCUUUUGACAUUCACCUGCCAGUUCGUGUAGAGGACACCCUAACGUAUGGUUAAUAUUAUCCAUUUCAUGAGUAAAAUACUGUGAUUCAAAAAUACUUCAAAUCCCUUGAGACAAUACUUCUCACUUGACUAACCACUAACCAACCCCGAAACCCUAACUCAACUCCGAACCCUAACCCCUAACGGCAUAACCACUCCGUUUUGCCGGCGAGAUGGAGGAACUGGCUGGAAGGUAGAGAGGGCAGCGGUCCAGGGUUGAAAACGACGGGCGAGCGCAGUAACAUGUGGAGGAGGAAGUGCCACGUAUUCGUUCACCGCUAUUGGGCAGCGACACACGACACGCCCAAUAAGAUCUUCGCACGGUAGAAGGACGUCAUGUAUUCAAUAAUGUUAUUGGUCCCCCAUGUGCAGAAGGGCGCGCGCGUAUGGAAUAACAAGUAGGGACACUGCAACUAAUCUACUCUGCUCGUCCAGUCCCUAGCCUAUAAAUAGAUGCCAUGCUAGCUCUUGUUGUGCUCACAAUUAAUCCGAUUACACACGAGCUUCUCUCCCUGGCCAAGACACAACCAUAGUAUGAUGAAGAACAUGGCACUAGCCGGCAAUGGUAUGAAGAAGUUAAUCCUCGCUGUUCUCUUACUGUGUCUAGUUAUAGGGCAGAUACAAGUGGAAGCUAAGAGCUGCUGCCCAUCCACCACUGCAAGAAAUGUCUACAAUACCUGCCGUUUCACGGGUACAUCCCGUCCAACGUGUGCAAAACUGUCAGGCUGCAAAAUUAUCAGCGGGAACAAAUGCAAGCCCCCUAACGACCACCUCACCCUUGACCCGGACACUGGUAAAUAAUAAAUUUAUCUCACUUGAUUUCUUCGUGAUUUGAGUCGUUAAUGUAUUUUCCAUCUGAUGAAACGUAUUGGUUUUGCAUUGAAGAGGAAGUUAAUGUGCUUAACUUCUGCAAGUUGGGGUGUGCGUCGUCUGUGUGCAACAACAUCAACGCUGGUAAGCAACUUUUGCUCAGACAGAGAAAACAAUAAUCAUUAAUUAGCGGCAGCUAGAAUCCUAUAAUCUAAUAUAUAUAUAUAUAUAUAAUUUUAUCAGCUCUGGGAAAUGAAGAGGCGAACGAUGCCGUUGAGAGUUGCGACCAAGCCUGCUCUAGCUUCUGCAGCGUGCAUGUUGGCAGCGCCACCGUGGUUGCUUAAGCAAAUGCAUCCAACUAGAUCGUCCUUGUGCUGAAUAAUUGGAUAUCGUAUCCACUUAAAGCUGCCUUGUGUAGUACGUCUUUGUGUCUCUCUUUAUAUUCCAAUAAGGUCGGUGAUCUUGAUGCCACACACUCAGAUGUGUGUUCAUCUCCAGAUACUACUCCAUGCUACCUGCCCUUUGUGUUUUGUUCAAUAACUGGGUAUCAUAUCCCAGCCAGUAUGCCGUCUGUUUUGUGUUUGUUUCCUUCUAGUUCCAAAGGGGUCAUCAUGAUGUUACCUUCUUUCAAUAUGGUGCUUUGCAUGACUACUGUUGUAUGGUACCAUCUUGUGGCCAAUAAGUACAUCUUAUCCUAUGACCUUUGCUAUGACCCUUUGCAAAUAAGUAGAAGAUUGUUAUAAGCGUCAAUACUCCGUAUAAAUUGAUCGCUGCUGUGAGUUCCCUUUCAGCUUAUCGUAGGCAUACAUUAUUGCUAGCACGGUAAAGCCAACCAACACGAAUGAUGAAGUAAACGUAGCGGUACUUCUGUAUACCAACACCCUUACUUAAAUGUACCGGUGUCAUUCCCUACUGGCACAUAUAUUCUUAUAUGCUAGCCAGCUUGUAAAAUUAACCAAUUAAAAUAAUUAUUUCAAGAUAGAAAUAACUUAUCGGUUUCUGGAAGCAUGUGUAAUGUGAAUUCAAGGACUCGACGGAAGUUGAAUCACUUCAUCUAUAUUGCUUUCAGUAUUUUGGGUAACUAAAUUUAACAUUUGCACAUACAAAUGUUAAAGUACAAAUGUUAAAUCUAGUUACCCAAGCAGAAUAUGAAGAUAGUUUAUAGUAUAUAUAUACUAUAUAAAUCUAGUUAACAUUUAGUCUAAAUGUUAAAUCUAGUUACCUAAAAUCCUGAAAGCAAAAUGUAUAAAUAUAUAUCUUUUAAGGCAGUAUAAGCUUCGAUUCCUAUUGCUGCUCUGUUAAAUCUCAUCUUUCGUUGUGGCCCAACACUCUAGUAUGCAUGUUGCACCAAGCUUCUUUGAGCCGCUCUGCCCUCUGAUUUUGCUGCGUAGGGGAAUCUUUAUCAGGUUGGGCUACUUCCAGUUGUGCGAUGUAAAGAUUCGUAUUUUCUAGAAGGUAGACAAAAAACUCGCGUUCUCUUAAGGCAACAACCGGAAGAUUCUGCAGCGCACAGGGCAUACCAUUAUUGUAGAAACGACCUUUAGUACCGAUCUCCAACCCCCUUUAAAACUGGUUUUGCAACCGGUACCGUUAUGUCGGUCCUUUAGUACCAGAUCAAAUAAGUACCGGUUGGUAACCAGUAUCAACUUGUUUUGCGGCCAAAAAAAUAAAGAAAAAAACAGUCAGAAGGCUCGCGCACACGCGCAUCACAUGAAAUAUGCGUGUGCGGGGUCCAUGGGAUUCGAACCCAUGAAAUCAAGCUGCGCGCGACCCUUCGUUACCAUCUCACCUACAUAGCGCAUAUGCUUUCCUGAAGUAACCCGUGGAGGAGGCUUUAGUACCGGGUCAUAACACCACCCGGUACUAAAAAUGACUCUUCAGUACCGGGUCAUAACACCACCCGAUACUAGUAUCGGAUGGUGUAAUGACCCGAUACUAAAAGGCCUCUAGGGACCCUCAAAUUUGAACCCGGUACUAAUGCUAAUAUUAGUAGCGGGUCAAAGUGCAGCCAGAACUAAAGCAUGGGAUGAAAGGUCAUAUUUCUAGUAGUGUAUAGUUGUUGUGAAGGACUGACUUGGCUGUCCUCUCUCUUCUCCAUCCCCUUGGUCUUACGCCGCCGCUCGCACGCGAGCCGGUGCCCAACCAGAGGAGUGAGAGCUAGGGGCAGGUUGGGAGGUGGGGAUAGUGACUGGUGGCCAGGGUGAUGGUUGAUCCUGGUGGGGUUAGGGUUUUAGGGUUUUCGAGCUUCCUAUGGUCGGCGAACCUAGAGGAGGAGCUCAACAUCAGCUGCAACCCGCGAUGGUGGUGGUUUGGCCGGCGCCCGAGGCGAGGCAGCGCGGGAGUGCUGCCGGUGGGUUGGUGUUGGCACUCAUUAUUGACAACUAUUUUGUUCAUAAAAUAACACUCAAACUUGCUGCUGCUGCUGCUGCUGCCAUCGCCACCCUAGCCAUAAUAUAAAGGCAAAAUUUGCUAAAGGACAUGCAAAAUGAUGCUAGUUUGCUGGCGGGCAUCGUUGACCUUGUAAUAUGCUACAAGACACUCUAGUUGUGUAUCAAUUUGCUGAAAGACAUUGCUAUGACUAAAAUAAUGUUUCUGGACUGAGUUGGAGAGAGAGAUGGAGUGAAAUGUCUGUUUUGCCCAUGACCCCACUGGUCAGAUCCUUCUUCUUCCACCCUCCUUUGUUCUUUCUUCAACCAUUACCCAGCUCCAGCGUGUUGCAGAUCUACGAGGGUGGCGGCCUGGGGCGAGGGGCAUCGCUCGCCCUUGGAGGAGCGCUGCGAGCGACGGCGCGGGGGCGGCAACAGCGCGUCAGAACCUGACUGUUCGUUAGCUCCUCUCGCUGCUGGGGAAGGAGGGGGAUGGGCCAUGGACGGGGUUCCCUUGAAAACCUCAGCGUCGAGCUCGGGCGGCUACGCGCAGGCAGCACUAGGCUGCUUCACGGGGAGGGGGCGCGGCCAAUCAUUGGCACCCCACUGGUCCAAUGCUGAUGAAGAUGGUGCCAGCGUCGUGUGAGGACAUCUCAUCUCCUCGAGUUCCAUGGCCAGCACAGGUGAGCUGCCGCUACCACAAAACAGAGGUUUCGUGAGAGUCAAAAAACCUUAUGAAAAUAGCUAAAACCAUCAUGAAAAUAAUCCGUGACAUGACACUCUCACGAAAAUCCUCUCACAAAUAUGGUGCCAUGAAAAUACCAUUUUCAUGAGAGUGAACUGUCAUGAUUUUAUUUCGUGAGAGUAUUUCCUAUCAAUGACCUCCACGAAAUACUUUGUGCCACCAGGUCUUCAAGAUCAUUUUCAUGAGAGCUGAACAUCAGGAAAAGUCCGCCACAAAUGUUUUUCUUGGAGCCCCUAACUCUCAUGAAAAUCAUGCGGGCCGCCACGAAAAACAGCAUGACCAAAUGACAAAUUUCAUUUUCAUGUGUUCAUACCGCCAUGAAAAUGGUCAUUUUCAUGAGAGUUGAUGAAACAAAAAAUAGUGCCAUUUUCAUGAGAGUUCAAGCAACCAGGAAAAGACACUAAUAAACAUCCAGAUCCCAUCCAGCACACAUCCAUGCACAUAUAUAACCCACAUAUUGCUCCAGCACACAUCCAUGCAUAUACAAGAUCCAAAUGUUAAUAUAGUAGACAUCCAUGCCUGAACUAGUCUGCCACACAAGUCAUUGAUGCUACAAAUCCUACAAUCGCAGCAUGUGCAUACAAGUCACAGAAUGAGACAAUGUACCCAAAACUAAAAGGUUAGCAUCAACUGUGCUUCAACCAAAGUUGUCAUCCCAACUCUCCUCUUCAUCCAUGCCAUUCUUGUCGUGGCCGUCACUGUCAGUCCCCAUGGCAUUGCCAAUGCUGUGCAUGUCUUGGUAGGAACCUACAUGUGAUGAACUAGUAACCUGCAAAAAGAGCUCAAAGGAUCUUGUUCUCAUAUUGUAGCUGUGAAAUUCUUACAAGUAGUGUUGCAAUCAGUUCACUUUGAACCAAAAGAGCUCAAAGGAUCUUGUCCUAAAAGUUCCUCAUAAAGCUUAUGGGUUUGCUGGUGGAACUGGAAGGGCUUGAUGCAGCAGAUGCCAUUCUGCAAUAGAGAAAAAUUUAGAGAGCAGUACUAGUUAAAAUUGGAUGCAGAAGAUACACAUGAAACUAGUAUUUAUACAAGUCUAUACAAUUAAAAUCUAAGGAGACUUAUCAUCGUUUUCAUGUGUUGUGAAUUAAAAUAAUGAAGGAUACACUGUUAGGUGAAAAUUCAAGAAACAAAAUUUUGCAUAGAGAUAAAGGUCCAACAUUAUUACAAGUUAAGGUAGUUUUAAAUAUCCUUGUAAUCUUCCUUUGGUUUCCUCAACGAUUCGAAGACAAUAACCUUGCUUCUAUCAAUGAUAAUUAUAAGGAGAAUCCAGUGGAAACUGUGUAUUCGUAUUAGAACUACCUAAGGUUAAUUAGGUUAGGAAAGGAAAUUGAAAAUAGAUGGUACCCACACUUACUUAAAGUUGUCGGGCAAUAGUAUGUAAUGCUUGUAAUUCCGUUGCUCCAAGAAUUUGUAUAUGUGGUCCAAUGUAGACUUUGGUUGAUCCCGUAUCUGCUGUUGGUUAAAUAAGUGUUUCUAGCCAUUUCUAGCCAUUAGAACCGGGACUAAAGGGGGCUCUUUAGUACGGGUUGAUAUUACUAACCGGGAUUAAAGAGCCCCCAUUAGAGUUGGUUUUUGGAUGCGGAACUAACAACUCCUUUAGUCCUGAGUACGAAAACAACUGACAUAUUUGUUGCUGGAUGGAAGGUCCUUUCUCUACCGUGAAUAUUGCCAGAAAGAAUUGAAAGAGACUGCUUGCUAAAAAUAUGUCAUAGAUGUAGACCAAGCUACCAAGGAGGUAGACCAAACAUGAUACACACCAUGCGUACCUUGCUGUGCAGACUAUGCAUUGACAAGAUACCCGACCACAUGUUGGCCUCGGUCACAUCAAAAGAAUCAUGUAGGCCACCAAUAAACUACUUGAAGCGGCAUUCCGUAUCGUAUAUGCAUUGCCGGUUCAUCUGCAUUACAUUACAUAAAGCACUAUUAACUAUUUGAAUAAAAUGAACCAAUUUAAAAGUAAUGUGUUGUACUCUACUAUAGAAAGCCCUAUCACUGCCGGAUCCAAAAACAUCAUUGUUAAUGGUGGUUAAGUACCAAAUAUGACGGUCAAUAUUCUCAAGAAUAAUGGAGAAUUAGCAUUUCUUAGACACAUAUUUGGUUUUGAACAAUGUAGUUCCACAUGUCUUUGGAGAUUAUUUGGGUGUGGGUGAAAUAAUACAAAAAUAAGGAGAAAACACACUCCCAUGGCGAAGAAACACAACUCCAACCAAUGAGAGAUAGCCACAGGGGCAGCACACGGAUCCAUGGGCCCACUAACCGCAUCAAACCAUCUUACCAAGGCAGGUAGCACCCACAACCGUCAUUAGGACCCACCUGGAAGUCUACCAAGAAGAAGGUUGCGAGUGGGGCCAGGAGGGGUUCGGUUGAAUCAUCUCUAGCUAGCUCCCCUCAUCCCCAGCUGGUGGGUGGUGGUGGUUGAUGGUGUCCCUACAUCAGUUAGAGGAGAUUCCCCCAAAUAUUCCUCCUGUAAACCACCUCUAUGGACCUAUACAUAGAGGGGUGUGCUCUCCAUUCCAACACACACCACAAGUUGAAUCACUCUCUCCCUCUUUAGUUUCCAAGUUUAUGGAGUUAGGCUAGAGUAGCUCUGCUCAAGGUUCCAAGUCCACUUGGAGUUAAGCAUAUGUCUCUUGUAUCGUUAUUUCCUAAAUUGACUUUAUGCUUAGUUCUUAUAUGCAUGAGUUAGUCUAAUACCCUUGCUAUAUUGAUAUGCUCGGCUUAUAUGCUCGUAUGCUAGUCAUAUACCCUUGCUGUCGUAGUAUAGGCUUAUAUGCUCUCAUGUGUGCCUGUAGACCUUGCUAUAGUAUAUACUUGUUGUGCAUACAUACCAUGUAUAGGCUAGUCGAUCUAUACCAUGGCAUUGGUUCAAUAGCCAUGUUUUUGGUGGCUCCAACCCUAGUCACAAUAGCUCGGGACAGCUGGAGUGUUGUUAAAAAUGCAAGAGUGGUGCUUGGGUUGUUUAGCAUCGUUGGAUAUGGGUUUGCCCCACGGGUUUCUAACGGUAGGCGGCAGCUAGUGACAUCCCUGUCCGUCCUUCGUAAUCCCCCCACAUUCAGGUACGCCAUAAAUGUUCGUAAAUUAGCAGUAACUACGCCGGUACACCUGUAGGGUAUUGUCUCCCUGUAGUACCUUGGUGCAUAGAACUAAGUCCUAUACACUGUGUGUGUAUGUUUACGCUGAUAUGAUCUGUGCAGUAUAUAGGAUGUAUAUAUGAACCUAGAGCUAACUCCUAGUCCGUUCUCCAUAGCUUAGUUAUCUUGAGAUGAUUCUUCUGUAUGUGUAACACUACCCAUCUUAUCAUUAUCCUUGAUCCUGUCUUGUGUAAUAUAUCUACUCAUCCUAUGAUAUACUCAUAUGCAUAGUAAACUAUUUUGACCUACCCGCCUUCCUUUGGGAAAUAUGAUACCUUGGAAUAAUCCUAGGUGAAAUCCUACAACGGUAUAUCCAUGUAAAUGCGGAUUUAUUCAUGACCAUUAAAUAUACCAACAAUCAUCACUGUGAGUUUUGGGCGUCGUUAGUGAAGGGUUGGUAGUGAUGGGCAUCCCCUUCACCAAUGGACCUGGAACCGGCGGUGAUGGCUAUUAUAAAAAAGGGGACACCACCCAGCGUACCCCACGACCCGGCCGGCCGCACCUCCCAUCAUCCCCGCCAGCCGCCCUUCCUUUUCGCCGGCCGAGCAUGGUCCCGGCCUUUGUCCCUACCACCUCGCCUCCACCGCGACCCCCCGCCGAUGCCCUCGUGCCUGGCCCCCCUCAUCUUGCCGGCCACCCUCCCGAUGCGUCCACUGGGGCCCUCGCACCACCAACCGCCCUUGCUUAGAGAGGGAGAGAGAGGAGGGAGGUGAGGCCACGCACCUCGUCCUACACCGCCGCUGUUUCUCCUCGGCCCACCGCGCCUCACCCCACACCACAGCCGCGCCUUGCCAUCUUACCGGCUGUGACGCCUCAUCUCACCGGCCACCGUUCCUCACCCCCACUUCGGUCGUCGCCGCUCCUUGCCCUACCGCUGCUCUUUGCCGCUGCGAAUGAGCGCCGAGUGGAGGAGGAGGGAUGGGGCAGGAGGAGGGCAAGAUCCGGGAGGAAGGGAGAGAUCUCGGGAGGUGGAGAUGGAAGGAUAUGGCGGAAGGGAGAGAUCCAGAGGGAGAGAGCAGGGGAGAGAGGGGGGCGUGUGGGGAGAGAGCGCGUGUGGGGUGGGGCCGGGCUGGUGGGAUGGAAGGGAGAGGGGCUAGACGGGCGCAGUGCAUUCAACUGGAUGAAGUAAAUAUUUUGGAUUCGAGACCCCAGCUUUAUUAUCACCGCUGGUCCGUAGUACCAUCCGGUGCCUGCUCGUAAUUUAAUUUGAAUCUGCGGUGAUGUUUUAUUAUCACCAUCGGAUCAUAUAAAAAUCCGGCGGUUAAAAAUCCGCUGGUUUCGAUGAAAACCGACGGUGAUAGGAUGACUGUGAUAGUCUCUUCUCUAGUAGUGGUAUAUUAGUACCGGCUGCCGGAUGGUGUUGCCGACCAGUACUUCUCCGGGGGCGAUUCAGUACUGCUGUUAGCAAAGCUUGUUCUCUAUGAAUUUGGGGAUGGAAAGCUAGUUCUCUAGUUGUGAUUUGUUACAUAUAUAUCUAUGAUAGUCUAGAAAUUGCAUGUCCUUCGUUGACAUAGUUGAAGCUGCUUCAAGAAUUUACUUCGUGCAGUCGUGCAGCAUAUUGGAUUAUCACCUAGACAGGAUACAUAGGUGAAGCAUUGGAUGUGAUUGUGGCCGAUAAUUAUGCAGGACGCUGUUGCAAUCAACCACCAAGAAGUCUGGAGUGAUGGGGUUGCCUCAUCAAUAAUUUUUAUAUAUGGCUGCAGUAUUAUUAAGCCCACGUCAAUAAUUUUUUGUCCGCACCAUAUAUCGAUGGGGUUGCCUCAUCAAUAAUUCGCGCAACCAGACAAGCUGCAGACUCAAUAUGGUACGAAGCUAGUUGCUCAGCCCACAUGCUCUGAUAUAACAUUGACAUCUGCUGAUCUACAGUAUAUAUGACCAGAAAUAUUGUGCCCACCUCAAUAACUUUCUGAAGUAUCGUGGGGAAGAACCUACGCGUACUAUGCCUCGGAACUAACUGACAUAUCGGCCCAGGCGGUCUAGGCCGAUUGGACUGGCUCUUCCUUGUGGCUUCUCACAUCCCCUUCGUCCCCAAGUAAUUUCAGGUGUUCUGUAGUUUUCUUUUCACUUGCAUCUGAGCCUCCUAUAUCAAUAGCUUCGGGAUAAGAAUGCCUCUUGAUAACCUUCCAAAUCCUCGCUUGAUUCACAUUGAUUCCGAAAUCAUCUUGCCAUAUCUUCAGAGACUUAGGUCCUAAGGCAUCAUGGAGGAUUGCUCGCCAAGAAUGAGCACCAUUGGGCUCCUGAGGACCCUAGGCCGAUCAGCCCGGGCUCUAUAGGUCGAUUGGCCCAGGCCCUCUCUGGGCCUGUUGGCCUUCAUCUUUCUUUGAGUCGACGCUUAUUCAGGGCUUUGUCCAAUUAUAGUCCAUUAUAGUCUAAUUUCCUAAAAAACAGAAUGUCCUCCAAAAUACAAUGCAUAUGUGAAAACAACCCAAUUAUUAGGUAUGAUCAAUAGUUUAGGUAUUAAAUUAAUAUUAUUAUUUAAGAUAAACAGGGGUAAAGGGUGUCAUUAAUAACAAGCGCCAACAAGCGUCCUAGCUGUUCAAUAAAUUUUUUCUAGUACCGAUUGGUAACACUAACCGGUGCUAAUAUGUACCCUUUAUUACCGGUUAUUUUACCAGGUACUAAAGGAGACAAGAGCAUCCUAACAUAAGGUUAAUAUCAUCCAUUUCAUGAGUAAAAUACUAUGAUUCAAAAAUAAUUCAAAUCCCUUAAGACAAUACCUAUCAAAUGAGUAAAUUGUAAAUAGAGUAAUCUUGAUCAAACAAUGUCCUAAUGAAACGGAACACUUCUGGUUCGUGUAGAGCACAAUAUAGAAAACAGUAGGGUAGCUGUAUGAUUGACACGUGGUCCAUUAAUUAUUGAGCCAACACUAUGGACAUGUCUUCAUGAGUAGUGUACUAGUCAUAAUACAUGGUAUGCAGUAGGUGGAGGUAUUGACUUAGCCAUGCUAUGAGCACUUAGUUACAACAAACACUUUGCCAUUAUCGAGCAUCCCAAAUCACUACAAAAUCCAUAGUUUACCAUAUACUACAAAAUCUGAGUUAAAAUAAGAGCAUACACGGAAGAGUCCGAAUGCACGGCACAUUGAAUUACUAGACAAAAUUUAUGGGACAAGGUUUUGGGUAACCGCAUGAAAAAUAUUGGAUUUUACUGAACACUUAGUUACAAUUACCAUGCCCGUGAGCACUUAGUCACCACAAACAUUUAACCACUUUAGAUCAUCCUGAAUCCCUAUAAAUUCUAUACCUUACACCGUACCAUGAAAACGACAAGAACAGAGACAGAUGCGGUGAAAAUCUCCAGAGCAAGCCUGAAAUUAAAAUAAGAGGAGGCAGUCACUAUCGACAGGACACGGAGAUUGCUAGCCAUGACAGAGGAAGACAUGAUAUGAUAUUCACCUCUGAAAUGCAGCGUAGACUAAAUGAAGCACAAUUGCAAGUGAGUGUGGCAGAUAAUGGACCAUCGAGACCAUCGAAUGGUAUGAAGCAUGAUUAUCACCUAGACAUGAUAUCCUAGACAGGACGGUGAAUUGUAAAAAGAGUAAUCUUGAUCAAAGAAUGUCCUAAUGAAACGGAACAUUUUUGGUACGUGUAGAGCAAAAUAUAGAAAACAGUAGAGUAGUUGUACGAUUGAAACUGCAUCCAUCGACGUGGUGCAUGAAUUGUUGAGCCAACACUGUGGACAUGUCUUCAUGAACACCAUCUAGUGAGGACAGCAUGCAGAAAAAUAUAAAAACAUGUCAUAGGGAGGCAGACCAAUCUUGCGAGGUAGACGAAACGUGAUACACGAUCUGCCUACCUUGUCGUGUGGAUACCCCAAGUGAAGAUGUCAUAGAGGUGCAGACCAAGCUAGCAAGGAGGUAGAUGAAACGUGAUACACGGCCUGCCUACCUUGCCGUGGAUAUUAGUCCUGAUAUCAUUCUAUUGUUCAAGGAAUAACACUCAAUGCUGCUGCUGCUGCUGACCUGGCUCCAUAAAGUUAUAUUCCUCUAGCCGCUUGCACUAACUUUAUCUGAAGUAUUAUUCUCUCUGCACUGUAUAUAUGGUUACGGAGUUUGCUGGAGUAUCCGGGGGGAAGAACCUACAUAAUAUGUCUUGGAACUAACUGACAUUGAUUCACAGACAAGGUGCUGUUGUUGACAUGGUACAGUAAAUAAUAUAGUUUACCAUAUACCGUAUACCAUUAUAUGUUAGCUAAAAUAAGAGCAUAACAUGUCGCAGGAGUCCAAAAGCACCGGUUGAGGACCAGGUACAUUAAAUUACUAGAAAACAAAAGGGGACAAGGUUUAGGUAGCCACAUGAAAAACAUUUGAAUUUACUGUACCAUGAACACUUAGUUACCAUGCCGGGAGCACCUAGUUAACACUAACAUUUAGCCACUUUAGAUCAUCCCGAAACACCAAUGACCCUCAAUAGCGACAAAUUUUGGUUUAAAUGCCGUCACCAAUGAUCCUCAAUAGUGACGUGUUUAGGUUUAAAUCCCAUCACUAAUAACCCUUGGUAGUGACGUGUUUUGGUUUAAAUCUCAUCACCACUGAUCCUCACUAGUGACGUGUUUUUAGCAACACACGUUAUGAAUGACUUGUCAUUGGUGACAUGUUAAACGCGUUAUCUCAAUGGCAAAUCAAUGGUGACGUGUUUAAAAAAACAUGUCACUGUGAGAGUUAUUGGUGAAGGGUAAUUAAAAUGCAUCACUAAUUUUGUAGCAUUAGUUAUGAUAUAAUUUUGUAACGCAAAAAUCUACCAUAGUAAUGAGGUUUAGAGCCAUCACUAAUGUGGGUUUCUUAUCGUAGUGAUGCAAGCUCUACAAGGUGCUGUUGUUGCCAUUUUAAAGCAUCCCAAAUGACUACAAGAGUCCGGUUGAGGACUAAACAAAUUGAAUUACUAGAACCAAAUGUAUGUCCAGAACAAAGAAAGGGGUCAAGGUUUGGGUAACCGCAUUAAAAACAUUGAAUUUUACUGUACCAUGAACACUUAGUUACCAUUACCAUGCCUUGAGCACCUAGUUACCACAAACAUUAAUUUAGCCACUUUAGAGGUUCCACAAUCACUAUAAAUAAUAUACCAACACCGUACCAUGAAAACAUCAAGAAGAGAGACGGGUACAUGGACCACCAUCAAGUGAGUAGUGACAGCACGCACAAGAAUACCCGGAACCUUUUAGCUUGUCUGUAGUGAUCUGUUUUCUUCGCCACAAAUAAUGAAAGAGGCUGACCAAGCUAGCAACGAGGUAGAGCAAACGUGAUACACGUAGGUUUCAUUCAAGACAUCCAUGUAAGAUUCAUUCAAAACAUUCAUGGAAAUUUCUUGUAAGUUUUCAUGUAAAUUUCAUUCAAGACAUUUGUUAGAGGUGUUGUAUAUACACUUAACGUACAUAUAUCUAUGAUUUCAUGGUUGUUAGUGAUGGCAGAUGAGGAGCAUGCAAGGUGUUUAAUGGAGCAGAUUAUUGCUAGUGGUAGUGGCUCCAACCUGCCCGUAACGUACACCGACGAAGAGGGCAGCCAGGCGGACAUGUUCCUCAACAUGUCCGGUGAUGGCAAUGAAGAGCCCGAGCAAAACCUUGCCGUGACGGAAGGUUCCAUCGAGGUAUAUAUCAUUUCCAUUAUUUUACCCCAUCUAUAAUUUCAUAUUCAUUAUUACUAUGUGCUAAUUAAUGAAUCUUGAACCGUUAGUCCUCUAGAUCAACGAACCGAAAUAAGCCCCGAGGUCUUACAAAGAUAAUGCAGGGAAGGCUUCACAUCAUGGAAGUCACAGAAGAGGGCACAUCGGUUGCUCCCGAACAUGUGGCAAGAAAGUACGUGAGUCAAACCGGGGCAAUCGUAAGGGACAACAUGCCCAUCAGCAUCAGGGAAUGAAAGAGCAAUAGAAAUGAUCUAUACGCACCCCCGGAUACACAAAAGGAUAUGUUGUGGGCAAAUAUCAAGAAACACUUCACAUUUCCCAAAGGAUAUGUUGAAAAAUAUGUGAAAGCGUGGAUGUUGAAGAAGAUGGCCACCCAAUUCCAGACAUUCAAGAAGAUGUUGGAUGCCAACUUCAUCAAGAAGGGUCGAACUCCGGGUUUCAAUGAGUGGCCAAAGUUAAGGGACCACUGGGAGUCGUUUGUCGAAUACAAGACGAGCGAAGGUGGUGCGAGUAAGGUUCACAUCAAUGUUGCCAAUGCUAGCAAGGAGUACCAUCAUCAUCUAGGGCGACGUGGUUACAGCUCUGCAAUUCCCAGAUGGCGCAAGAUGGAACAAGACCUGAUCGAUCGGGGUAUCGUACCAGCAACUCUUGACUGGAUCGAUUGAAAAAUUGGUAUUAUGCUCAUGAAGGCAAUCUGAGCCAAGAGGAUCCGACAUUGGUCUUCAAUAAAACAAUACGUCAGAAGGUCGGAAGGCUUAUUAGGAACAUUGAAGAUGCUAAAGCUGGGAGGUUCAAGGUGGAUAGAGAGAAUGAUGAACUCACAUUGGCCCUCGGGACUGUCAUCUCUAGCACUUCCAGCUCCAGGACUAUCGUCACCACCGGGACCGUCGCUUCCUGCUCGAUCACAGUCUCCAUCUCCAGCACAUCCUGGUGGUGCGAGCGACGACGACAACAACACCCCUCCCUGCCCACCAUUGCCGGGACUAAGACCCGCAUUGAGUAAGGAACCUGCAACACCACUGAAGAAGUCGCGACCACCACCUUCAAGGCAAGUCAGCAAAAGAAGAAAGCAGAGAAGCCUAAACCCACUGAGAAGCCAGCGACUGAUAUGACCGAUGCGGAAAGAUGGAAGGCACUCAAAGAAGAAUGCAGGGAGUGGUUCAGCGAAGGCGAAGGUGAGAAAGUCGUAUGAAUCGAAUUCAAGGAUAUAUAUGAAGUGAACCAUCAGGAUGCCCUUGAUGUCUCUCUCAUCAGCGCCUAGGUUCUGUAAGUGUAUGUUUAUCUAUAAGUAAAUUUUGGCUCAUAUCAUUAUUUUUUUUGCGUGCGUCACCCUACUAACUUCGUCUUCCAUUUUAUGUAGGAUGCUAAUUCAGACGUGCCGCAUAGAAGCGUACUUCCAUGUUGGAUUCAUGGAUCCAUCCCUAGUUAACCAAAAGCCGAUACGGAAGUAGCUAGAGAAAACGUUGGAGGUGGUGUACAACCUCCUGGACAAACUAAACUACAGAAUAGGGGCAAUAUGUGAGGGUCUUGUAGGAUUCCUAGUGGACGAGGUGAUAAAUCCAUAAGGAGAAUAUCAUUCCAACGGACGAGCAUUAGACACACUGAGCAACACCUAGAUGGGAGGAUCCUAGGAAUGACCUCGACAGAUUUUGGUAUAAAUAGUAAUUGUGUAAAUACUAGUUUGAUUUGUAUAGGAAUAUACUAAGAAUUGUAUAUAUAGUAAUUGUACAAAUACUAGUUUGAUUUGUAUGAAUACUAGAUUGAUUUUAUUAUAAAAAAGUUUUAAGUCGUACGUGCAUGCGCCUACAAAGGCGCGGAUGCCUUUUAAUCCCAGUCGGAAAAACAAACUGGUACUAAAGGGGCUCGUGCCGCACCUGGCAUGACCACCCCUUUAGUCCCGGUUGAACGACCCAGGACUAAAGAUCUCCGCGUCUCAAAAAUUUUAUCUCGGAUGCUUUUUAGAGAGAUUUGAGGCCUAUCAACCAAGACUAAUAUCGAGUUUUCUACCAGUGAAACUAACUAACGUUCACAUGGUUUUGACAUUCACCUGCCAUUUGGUGUAGACAAGGGCACCCUAACAUAUGGUUAAUAUUAUUCUUGAAAGAAAAUCCUUUGAUUCAAAAUACUUCAAACCUAAUAAUACAAUACUUCUCACAUCUGAAAAAUAUGAGACGGCCCGACAGUAUUCUAAUCGACGCAAUAAUAUUUUGAGGGCAGCACUACUACAGCGACCCUCAUUCGUGCCGGUGCUGGGACUCCUAUCACGACCCUGAUACAAAUGAGGGUACAUUAUUGGUGCCAGUGCUAGAACAGCCACGAAUAACUUGCUAAACGUGCUGUUACACUCACUACAGGGACCAAGAAGGUAGAUAAAUUACACGACAUAGCCUUGGUUGCCGUGGAAGCGCCAAGAAGGGAGACAAAUUACAGGGACCACACCAUCAAGUAGAUAGUGACAAUAUGCAAAAGAAUACCCGCGCCUGUUAGCAUGUGAACUGACCACACCACGAAACGUGAUACACGGCAAGCGUACCAAGGCCUUGCUGUGCAGACUAUGCAUGGACAACACAUGGUACCUGACCGCUUUUGGCCUCAGACACAUCGAAAAACUGCAUCGUUCCACGUUGUACAUCCAUUGCUAGUUUAUCUAUAUUACAUAAUAUAUUAUUAGCUAUUUGAAUAGAAUGAACCAAUUAAAAAAUUGCGUUGUAUUUUUAGUACCGGCUGCAGGAUGGUGUUACCAACCAGUACUAAUUGGCCUGUAGGAGUGAUGGUUAUUAGACUUGGUACUGUUGUUAGCAUCAUUAACCUAAUUGUGCGCCGUAUGAAUUUGGGGAUGCAAAGCUAGCUCUCUAUGAAUGUGAGGGAUGGAAAGCUAGUUCUCUAGUAGUAAUUAUAUAUAUGACAGUCAAGAAAUCGAACACUAUGCUGCUACGAGUCACCAUCAUUUCCUUCAUUGACAAUCUGACAUAGGUGAAGCUGCUUCAAUAAUUUCCUUCGCGCAGUCGUGGAGCUUAUUGGAUUAUCACCAGGACGGGACACGGAAAUGGCCAGCAAUGAAGCUGAUUGCCGUCUGAGGAAGACUACAUACUUACCUAUGAAAUGAAGCGAUUGCAUAGACUAAUGAAGCAUUGCAUAUUUGCAUGUGAGUGUGGCAGAUAAUUCUGCAGGACAUGAUUGCAAUCCACGCACCAUCGAGAAGACUGGGGCGAUGGGGUUGCCUCAUCAAUAAUCACGUGGAUGCAUGCAUGCAUGUUCCCGCAACCGGACAAGGGUCUGAUAUAUGGCUAUAGUAUUACUGAGCCCACAUCAAUAAUUUCCACUGGUGUAUCGUGUGGGAAGAAUCAACAUACUACACCUCGAGUUCUUGGAACUAACUGACGUUCACAUGCAACCUCCACAAGGUGCUGUAUGCUUUUGACAUUCACCUGCCAGUUCGUGUAGAGAAGGACACCCUAACGUAUAGUUAAUAUUAUCCAUUUCAUGAGUAAAAUACUGUGAUUCAAAAAUACUUCAAAUCCCUUGAGACAAUACUUCUCACUUGACUAACCACUAACCAACCCCGAAACCCUAACUCAACUCCGAACCCUAACCCCUAACGGCAUAACCACUCCGUUUUGCCGGCGAGAUGGAGGAACUGGCUGGAAGGUAGAGAGGGCAGCGGUCCAGGGUUGAAAACGACGGGCGAGCGCAGUAACAUGUGGAGGAGGAAGUGCCACGUAUUCGUUCACCGCUAUUGGGCAGCGACACACGACACGCCCAAUAAGAUCUUCGCACGGUAGAAGGACGUCAUGUAUUCAAUAAUGUUAUUGGUCCCCCAUGUGCAGAAGGGCGCGCGCGUAUGGAAUAACAAGUAGGGACACUGCAACUAAUCUACUCUGCUCGUCCAGUCCCUAGCCUAUAAAUAGAUGCCAUGCUAGCUCUUGUUGUGCUCACAAUUAAUCCGAUUACACACGAGCUUCUCUCCCUGGCCAAGACACAACCAUAGUAUGAUGAAGAACAUGGCACUAGCCGGCAAUGGUAUGAAGAAGUUAAUCCUCGCUGUUCUCUUACUGUGUCUAGUUAUAGGGCAGAUACAAGUGGAAGCUAAGAGCUGCUGCCCAUCCACCACUGCAAGAAAUGUCUACAAUACCUGCCGUUUCACGGGUACAUCCCGUCCAACGUGUGCAAAACUGUCAGGCUGCAAAAUUAUCAGCGGGAACAAAUGCAAGCCCCCUAACGACCACCUCACCCUUGACCCGGACACUGGUAAAUAAUAAAUUUAUCUCACUUGAUUUCUUCGUGAUUUGAGUCGUUAAUGUAUUUUCCAUCUGAUGAAACGUAUUGGUUUUGCAUUGAAGAGGAAGUUAAUGUGCUUAACUUCUGCAAGUUGGGGUGUGCGUCGUCUGUGUGCAACAACAUCAACGCUGGUAAGCAACUUUUGCUCAGACAGAGAAAACAAUAAUCAUUAAUUAGCGGCAGCUAGAAUCCUAUAAUCUAAUAUAUAUAUAUAUAUAUAAUUUUAUCAGCUCUGGGAAAUGAAGAGGCGAACGAUGCCGUUGAGAGUUGCGACCAAGCCUGCUCUAGCUUCUGCAGCGUGCAUGUUGGCAGCGCCACCGUGGUUGCUUAAGCAAAUGCAUCCAACUAGAUCGUCCUUGUGCUGAAUAAUUGGAUAUCGUAUCCACUUAAAGCUGCCUUGUGUAGUACGUCUUUGUGUCUCUCUUUAUAUUCCAAUAAGGUCGGUGAUCUUGAUGCCACACACUCAGAUGUGUGUUCAUCUCCAGAUACUACUCCAUGCUACCUGCCCUUUGUGUUUUGUUCAAUAACUGGGUAUCAUAUCCCAGCCAGUAUGCCGUCUGUUUUGUGUUUGUUUCCUUCUAGUUCCAAAGGGGUCAUCAUGAUGUUACCUUCUUUCAAUAUGGUGCUUUGCAUGACUACUGUUGUAUGGUACCAUCUUGUGGCCAAUAAGUACAUCUUAUCCUAUGACCUUUGCUAUGACCCUUUGCAAAUAAGUAGAAGAUUGUUAUAAGCGUCAAUACUCCGUAUAAAUUGAUCGCUGCUGUGAGUUCCCUUUCAGCUUAUCGUAGGCAUACAUUAUUGCUAGCACGGUAAAGCCAACCAACACGAAUGAUGAAGUAAACGUAGCGGUACUUCUGUAUACCAACACCCUUACUUAAAUGUACCGGUGUCAUUCCCUACUGGCACAUAUAUUCUUAUAUGCUAGCCAGCUUGUAAAAUUAACCAAUUAAAAUAAUUAUUUCAAGAUAGAAAUAACUUAUCGGUUUCUGGAAGCAUGUGUAAUGUGAAUUCAAGGACUCGACGGAAGUUGAAUCACUUCAUCUAUAUUGCUUUCAGUAUUUUGGGUAACUAAAUUUAACAUUUGCACAUACAAAUGUUAAAGUACAAAUGUUAAAUCUAGUUACCCAAGCAGAAUAUGAAGAUAGUUUAUAGUAUAUAUAUACUAUAUAAAUCUAGUUAACAUUUAGUCUAAAUGUUAAAUCUAGUUACCUAAAAUCCUGAAAGCAAAAUGUAUAAAUAUAUAUCUUUUAAGGCAGUAUAAGCUUCGAUUCCUAUUGCUGCUCUGUUAAAUCUCAUCUUUCGUUGUGGCCCAACACUCUAGUAUGCAUGUUGCACCAAGCUUCUUUGAGCCGCUCUGCCCUCUGAUUUUGCUGCGUAGGGGAAUCUUUAUCAGGUUGGGCUACUUCCAGUUGUGCGAUGUAAAGAUUCGUAUUUUCUAGAAGGUAGACAAAAAACUCGCGUUCUCUUAAGGCAACAACCGGAAGAUUCUGCAGCGCACAGGGCAUACCAUUAUUGUAGAAACGACCUUUAGUACCGAUCUCCAACCCCCUUUAAAACUGGUUUUGCAACCGGUACCGUUAUGUCGGUCCUUUAGUACCAGAUCAAAUAAGUACCGGUUGGUAACCAGUAUCAACUUGUUUUGCGGCCAAAAAAAUAAAGAAAAAAACAGUCAGAAGGCUCGCACACACGCGCAUCACAUGAAAUAUGCGUGUGCGGGGUCCAUGGGAUUCGAACCCAUGAAAUCAAGCUGCACGCGACCCUUCGUUACCAUCUCACCUACAUAGCGCAUAUGCUUUCCUGAAGUAACCCGUGGAGGAGGCUUUAGUACCGGGUCAUAACACCACCCGGUACUAAAAAUGACUCUUCAGUACCGGGUCAUAACACCACCUGAUACUAGUAUCGGAUGGUGUAAUGACCCGAUACUAAAAGGCCUCUAGGGACCCUCAAAUUUGAACCCGGUACUAAUGCUAAUAUUAGUAGCGGGUCAAAGUGCAGCCAGAACUAAAGCAUGGGAUGAAAGGUCAUAUUUCUAGUAGUGUAUAGUUGUUGUGAAGGACUGACUUGGCUGUCCUCUCUCUUCUCCAUCCCCUUGGUCUUACGCCGCCGCUCGCACGCGAGCCGGUGCCCAACCAGAGGAGUGAGAGCUAGGGGCAGGUUGGGAGGUGGGGAUAGUGACUGGUGGCCAGGGUGAUGGUUGAUCCUGGUGGGGUUAGGGUUUCAGGGUUUUCGAGCUUCCUAUGGUCGGCGAACCUAGAGGAGAAGCUCAACAUCAGCUGCAACCCGCGAUGGUGGUGGUUUGGCCGGCGCCCGAGGCGAGGCAGCGCGGGAGUGCUGCCGGUGGGUUGGUGUUGGCACUCAUUAUUGACAACUAUUUUGUUCAUAAAAUAACACUCAAACUUGCUGCUGCUGCUGCUGCCAUCGCCACCCUAGCCAUAAUAUAAAGGCAAAAUUUGCUAAAGGACAUGCAAAAUGAUGCUAGUUUGCUGGCGGGCAUCGUUGACCUUGUAAUAUGCUACAAGACACUCUAGUUGUGUAUCAAUUUGCUGAAAGACAUUGCUAUGACUAAAAUAAUGUUUCUGGACUGAGUUGGAGAGAGAGAUGGAGUGAAAUGUCUGUUUUGCCCAUGACCCCACUGGUCAGAUCCUUCUUCUUCCACCCUCCUUUGUUCUUUCUUCAACCAUUACCCAGCUCCAGCGUGUUGCAGAUCUACGAGGGUGGCGGCCUGGGGCGAGGGGCAUCGCUCGCCCUUGGAGGAGCGCUGCGAGCGACGGCGCGGGGGCGGCAACAGCGCGUCAGAACCUGACUGUUCGUUAGCUCCUCUCGCUGCUGGGGAAGAAGGAGGGGGAUGGGCCAUGGACGGGGUUCCCUUGAAAACCUCAGCGUCGAGCUCGGGCGGCUACGCGCAGGCAGCACUAGGCUGCUUCACGGGGAGGGGGCGCGGCCAAUCAUUGGCACCCCACUGGUCCAAUGCUGAUGAAGAUGGUGCCAGCGUCGUGUGAGGACAUCUCAUCUCCUCGAGUUCCAUGGCCAGCACAGGUGAGCUGCCGCUACCACAAAACAGAGGUUUCGUGAGAGUCAAAAAACCUUAUGAAAAUAGCUAAAACCAUCAUGAAAAUAAUCCGUGACAUGACACUCUCACGAAAAUCCUCUCACAAAUAUGGUGCCAUGAAAAUACCAUUUUCAUGAGAGUGAACUGUCAUGAUUUUAUAAGCGUCAAUACUCGGUAUAAAUUGACUACUGCUGUGAGUUCCCUUUCAGCUUAUCGUAGGCAUACAUUAUUGCUAGCACGGUAAAGAGAACCAACACGAAUGAUGAAGUAAACGUAGCGGAACUUUUGUAUACCAACACCCUUACGUACCGGUGUCAUUCCCCACUGCCACAUAUAUUCUUAUAUGCUAACCAGCUUUGAAAAUUAAGCGAUUAAAAUAAUUAUUUCAAGAUAGAAAUAACUUAUCGGCUUCUCGAAGCUUGUGUAAUGUGAAUUCAAGGACUCGAUGGAAGUUGAAUCGCUUCAUCUAGAUUGCUUUCAGGAUUUUGGGUAACUAAAUUUAACAUUUGCACACACAAAUGUUAAUGUACAAAUGUUAAAUCUAGUUACCCAAGCAGAAUAUGAAGAUACUCUAUAGUAUAUAUGUACUAUAUAAAUCUAGUAAACAUUUAGUCUAAAUGUUAAAUCUAGUUACCUAAAAUCCUAAAAGCAAAAUGUAUAAAUAUAUAUCUUUUAAGGCAGUAUAAGCUUCAAUUCUCUGUUAAAUCUCAUCUUUCGUUGUGGCCCAACACUCUAGUAUGCAUGUUGCACCAAGCUUCUUUGAGCCGCUCUGCCCUCUGAUUUUGCUGCGUAGGGGAAUCUUUAUCAGGUUGGGCUACUUCCAGUUGUGCGAUGUAAAGCUUCGUAUCUUUUAGAAGGUAGACAAAAUACCCGCGUUCUGGAAGAUUCUGCAACGUGCACGUUGGCGCUGCCACCGUGGUUGCUUAAGCAAAUGCAUCCAACUGAAUCGUCCUUAAGCUGAAUAAUUGGAUAUGGUAUCCACUGCUUAAAGCUGCCAUGUUUAGUACGUCUUUGUUUUUCUCUCUUUAUAUUCCAAUAAGGUCGGUGAUCUUGAUGCCACACACUCAGAUGUGUGUUUAUCUCCAGAUACUACUCCAUGCUACCUACCCUUUGUGUUUUGUUCAAUAACUGGGUAUCAUAUCCUAGCCAGUGUGCCAUCUGUUUUGUGUUUGUUUCCUUCUAGUUCCAAAGGGGUCAUCAUGAUGUUACCUUCUUUUGAGGUGUCUAUGAUGACUUCGUUAAUAUCAAUAUUAACCAAUUCAAUCUGUCUUAACUAUUUGUAAGGGGUAUGAUGUAUGCAUGAUUAUAACAAUGAUUGCGCAUACAAUCGCCGCCAAAGAAACGGUCAAUACCAUUAAGACAUAUUACAGACAAUUCUCAUAAUCUAUAAUGAAUAUACAUAUUCACUACUGCAGAAGACUGUCAUUUGUAUCGGCUCAUACGUGCCAGGGCAAAGGUCACCCUUGCAUUAAGUACAUUUGCACGGUAAAGACAACCAACACGAAUAAUGAAGUAAACAUGCCGGUGCUUUUGUACACCAACACGCUUACUUAAAUGUACUGGUGUCAUUCCUCACCGGUAGCCGGCUUGAAAAUUAACCAAUUAGAACAAUUAUUUAUUGUAUCGGUGUGAUUUUUGACCUAUUGGAAUAUGAAUUUGACCGUUACUGCAUUCGUCAAGACUCAAGAGAGAAAUAACUGAUCGGCUUCUUAGAGCGUGUGCAAUGUGAAAUCAAGGACUGGAUGGAAGUUGAAGCGCUAGCACUAGUAGAGAAACGACUUUCCAUCCACCCCCUUUUGUCCCGGUUUAAAGUUGGCUCGGGAUAAAAGGUUCACCAACCGGGACUAAAACUCAGUCACUGGUGGGAGGCUCACCAACCGGAACCUUUUAUCCCGGUUGCAAAGGCUAAUGGGAAAAAAAGACUCUGAGAGGCCUUUUAUCCCGGUUUGAAACACCAACCGGGAUAAAAGACCCCCCUUUUAUCCCGGUUGGUAACACCAACCGAGAUAAAAGGGUCAAGAGCCUUUUAUCCCGGUUGGAAACACCAACCGGGAUAAAAGACCCCCUUUUAUCCCGGUUGGUGUUUCAAACCGGGAUAAAAGGGCCCCCACGAGGUGACUGGAAGGUGACUGGAAGGGGAUUAAAUCGUGGGGGACCCUUUUAUCCCGGUUGGAAACACCAACCGGGAUAAAAGGGGGUCUUUUAUCCCGGUUGGUGUUUCCAACCGGGAUAAAAGGGUCCCCCACGAGUUAAUACAAAAGGAUAGUAUCCCCUACAUAGUCAGAUGUGGUGUGUAGGUGGGAUGGUAAGGAAGCUACGCGCGAGCUCCGGAAUUUUUUUUUUUUUUUUUUGCAGCGUCGGCGCUCUCUACCCUUUUAUCCCGGUUGGUAUUACCAACCGGGAUAAAAGGGGGUCUUUUGUCCCGGUUGAGUGACCCGGGAUAAAAGACCCCCCCUUUUUUCCCCGGUUAGUUUAUCCCGGAUGCAUUUUCGGGAUAAAAGCACCCUACCAACCGGGAUUAAAGCUCACUUCUCUACCAGUGUAGCUUCAUCUUCCGCUGCAAGUUAAUUGCUUGGAUAAGAAGUUGUAGCCGCUGCAAGUUAUAAAUAGUCCCGCUGAUGCUGUGCUCCGAAGUCUAUACUAUAUAUGCGGAAACUAGAUUGCUUUCAGGAUUUUGGGUAACUAAAUUUAACAUUUGUACAUAAAAAUGUUAGUUUACGAAUGUUAAAUCUAGUUACCCAAGCAGAACAAGAAGAUAGUAUAUAGUAUAUACUAUAUAAAUCAAGUUAACAAUUAGUCUAAAUGUUAUAUCUACUUACCCAAAAUAUUGAAAGCAAAGAAAGAAUAAGUAUAUAUCUUUUGUUGGAAAAUUGGUCCACGGAGAGGCCCAUUUAGGCCUCGUUCGUUUCACCGGGAUGGGAUUCCAGUCAGGAUUACUUCCAAGUUCGGUUUGAGUGAUUCCACCCGUGUCACUCAAUCCGGCUAGGAUUCAUUCUAUGGGUGAGGAGGUAUGGUUUCAAUCCAGGCCAUCUAAUGUAGAAGGAUUCCAAUCCAGGCCGGUUUUCGUUCCAGGCCAGACUAAAACGAACAACACUUUCAAUGCAAGUCUGGUUUCAAACCGGGCCAUUUCAAACCACCCGGAAUGGACCUCGUUCCAGGCCAAUCCGGUGAAAACAAAUGAGGCCUUAAUGGAAUCCCAAAGCAAGAGUUCAGUGGCAUUCUAUAGUCCCAUGCUGCUAGUUUGAGUUGGUCGAAGCCAACUUAAAUAGGAGAGCUCUCUCACUUCUCUAAAUACGUAACUGAAGGAGAGAAGGGGGCUUGGGUUACACAACGCACGCACGCACGCAUAUUUGCGUUCUUUUCGCGUAACCAACCGCGUGACUUGAAACUUGCGACGUAGCGUGCUGCUAAGUCAAGUUGAUAUAACCUUUUUGCCGUUUGCAUGUAAUCUUUUGACAACGGUCAUUGGAGGUGAUAAGCACGCAGUCAAUACCUUAAUCUUGAGUUAAUAGGGUGGUUACUACUGCCAAUUAGUGGGGCAAUUUUGUAGGGGAAACGGUUAGCAGAGGGCUACCGUCUUCUCUAUAAGAAGUUCUGGAGACGUCCAGGAACACACAUGUACAUGUGAGAGACCCACAAAUUCCUUCCCUUCUCCCUUUUCCAUGUGGUGAAGUGUGCUGUGGUACUGAGCUGCUUGAUCUCGCCGCUCUUCUCCUUGGCAUGCACCGAGGAGGAGGGUGAGCGGUAUCUCCGAGCUAUUGCCGUCAGGAAGCCUGCACGAGGGACAACAAAAAGUUUUUGGGUAGCGCAACUGCCAGCACAACUCUCCCUCCGCCUCUUCUUCACGGUUGAUGGCCACCACAAGCAUAAACCUCGCCUUCGCAUCCACGCAAAAGGGUCGCUGGGGUGCCUUCUUGCAUCGCUUCUCAGCCUCCUUGACUUGCGGCCAGCCAAGAACUGCGCCACCACCUCGGGUGCACGCCACCACUCCAGGGCUGCUACCCCAUGCCUGCGGCCGCCGCCGGCCACCACGCGUGUGCAACCGCGUCGCACCGCUUCCUUGCUUUGUGCCACCACUGCUGCUGUACCACCAGCUCCACCACCUUGGGCUGGUCGCCAGAGUGACUGAUAACUUAUUAUCUGUAACUACUAUUAACUCAGGGAUACAUGCGUCUUUUGCUUCUCCUACUAAUAUGUCCUAAAAUAUCUAGGAUGCCUUAUAUUUCUGGACAGAGGAAGUAUUUGAAUAAAAUGAACCAAUUUAAAAAAAUGUGUUGUACACUACUACAGAAAGACCUAUCAGUGUCAAACCCAAAAAUGUUGUCACCGCCAGUUUUGGGCAUCAUUGGUGAAAGGUUGGCGGUGAUGGGCUUUCCCUUCAACAACGGCACUGGAGCCGACGGUGAUUGACAUUAGAAAACAAAAAAGGGGACCCUACCUAGCCACCCCUGCAACCCGGCCGGCCGUGCCUCCCCUCAUCCCCACCACCUCGCCUCCCCAUGACCCCCCGCCGGCGCCCUUGCGCCUAGCCCCCUCAACUGCCCAGCCGGCCACCCUCAUCACGAGAGAGAGGUGCAUGUUGUAUAAUUGCGUGAAUUUUUUAAUGUUUAAUUUCAUGUAAGUUCCGUGUAAUAAAUUGUACAAGUUUUAUUGUAUAUAUGAAUUCCAUAUAUAUAUAUAUAUAUUUAUAAUUUAAUGUAUGGUUUCAUGUGUAUAUUUCAAUCAUGUGUAUAUUUAGUAGAUUGCCGAUUUUCUUUUUCUACUAGACAAGGGUUGAUGUAUAAUUACGUGUAUAUGUUUAUUGUACGGGCAAUUAGGACAAGUUUUGUAUAAAUUUCUUUUAUUUGAUGGUUGUUGUAUGGUUUCAUGUAUAUACAUUUAUUGUACUACUUUAGACAAUUUUUAAUUUAAUGUUUCUAUGAUUAGAUGUGUGUAUAACUAAUUGUAUUAUUAGUUAAGAUGGGAGCUAAAGAGGAUGAAAGGUAUAUAAUGGAGCAGAUUAUUGCUAGCUCAAACGUUGCAAGAACCUACACCGAGGGUGAGGGUAGCUAGGUGGACAUGUACCUCAACAUGUCCAGUGAUGGCAAUGACGAUGAGGAGCACGAGCAUGACAUCUAUGAUAAUGCGGAACAAGACAUUGCAGAAUUGGAAGGUUCUAAUGAGGUGUGCUUCAUGUUGACAAUCUAGUUGGCUUUUUUUCGUUGGUCACACCUUAGUUACCAUAGAACUUCGUCUCGGGAGAAGAUUGGUGGUGGUAUGGUGAUUGGAAUUUUAUUUCCACGAAAUCUGAUUUCCAUCGAAUCAUAUCCCUUGUAUUUAUCUUCUUUUUAUUUGUGAGAGCAUCUUCUUUAUGCUUGCAAAACAAUUCAAGUGCACAUACUACCCCUAGGGUGACGAUUGGGAGUAGAAAUAAUUGCCAACAAAACAACACCACAUCCUAAGAUUCUUAACUUGUGGCAUAAUUAGUCUAGUAAAAAGAAAGAUAAAAACCUAAUGGGUGUAUGUGAGUGCAAUGUGUAUAUGCAUAUGAGUGGAAGGCAUAUAAGCAAAGACAAUAUUUACACAUAGUUCUAAACACCAUGUUUACAGCUAGGUUGCUGAAUUUCUCCAUAGCCAUAGAGAUUAAUUAACCAAGGUCAAAACACGAUGUCUAUCCCAAGAUCAGUAAUUAUUUAUAGCACAAGAAAAAGAAAGCGCAUUGCAAAGUUUAUAAACCAACCAAUACAGCAUGAAAACAAGAUGAAUAGCUAGCAAGGUUUAUUAAACUGAAUGAUGACGGUCUGUAAGCAAGUUUAAACACCAUCUUUACACAAGAUUGCAAAUGGAAAAUGCCCAUAUGAAGCACUAACAUGGAUAUGAAAUCAUUCAUCAUAAAGCGUAAAGAACAACCAAGCCAACCAUAUGCAAAGCAUGAAUGGAAUGCAAUGAAGGUGCAAGAGAACAUUUUUGGAUGAACACAUUAUGAUGAUGGCAAAAUGCAAUGCAUGCAGAAAAAAUAAAUAUGAACAUGAAUAUGAUGAUCAGGGGCGGACCCACUAUUGUGGCCUGGGUAUUCCUCGGCAUACCCAAUAUUUUUGGGAAAAUGUUUAGUAGUUUUUAAUGGCAUAUACAUGUAUAAUAUAGUUUAGGUGUUAAAAUUGAUAUUCACAGCUAUUUUGGGCUCCAAUUCGCGUCCAAACCAACCUGGCCCACAGACCGCACCCGGCCGCCCGGCCCAUCGGCCCAUCUUGUCACUGAUCCUCCCACCACCACACUCAGCCCGUCAGUUAGUCAGGUCCCGAGCUCCUGCCUGACCUAGUCCGCUACCACCGCCAGGCGCCAGGCACAGCUGUACACGCCGCCCCCGUCCACCCACGUCCGCCGCACGGCCGCGUCGCGCCCCCCCCCGGCGCCCGCUGCUGCCAGAACCCAUUAGGCCUCCACCGGCAAGUCCACCCACAGUCCCGCGCGACGCGGCAGCCUCUUGGCUCUCGGCGCUCGCGGCGCGCCAAUGCCUGCGCAGCCCCAGCAGGCGACUGCCCCCCCCCCCCCCGCAUCGGGCCUCGGCCCCUCCCCAGCUCCCCCUCCCCCCUCCACCAGGACUGCCUGCUGGCCCCCACCGCGAGGUAAUCGAAAUGGACUGCUCAAUCUCUCAAUCUGUUGACAUGAUGCACACGGUUGCAAAAAUAGAUGUGUCAAAAUAGAUGUAUUGCCAAUUGCUAUAGAUGCAUAUGGUUGACAUGAAGAAGUCAAAAAUGACAUUUGGUUCCUUGUAGGCAGUCAAAAAUGAAGAAGUCAAACAAUAUUGAUCUGAAAUCAAUGCGGGAAAGGGCUACGAAGACACACGGGUAGAUUCCCUUGUGAACUUUUUAUGUCGUUCGUCUAAAUAUAUUUUUGCAAUGGGCAUACCCUACUCUGAAAUCCUGGGUCCGCCACUGAUGAUGAUGGUCUAAACAUAAAACAAGCCUAGAUUAAUUAGCUACAACUGAAAUUAAGCAAAGGUUAAUGUCAUUGACCCUAGCUCUAUCCUAGCUUUUACUAAAGUCCCGGCACAUAUAGUGGUUGGGCCCACUCUCUCUACUUCCCUCUCUGCUGCAUGCACACACACGAGCAACUGGAGGCCCAACAAAGCCCAGAAGGGUUCGGCCGAACCCGUCCGAUCCAGUCUGAGCGCCGCUCCCUCCCAGCCUUCGCGCAGAUGCUCCUCCAACGUUCCUUGACCCCUCCCUCAGUGUCCCAUUGGGUUUAACAUUGUAGGAGAGGAGUCCCUUUUUUAAAAUCUCAACCACCUCCUCUCCUCAUUCACUCCACUCUCAUCUCCAUCAAACUCACCAAGAUCCACAUCGGAAAUACCUGCUUACCACCAUGGCUGGCAAAGCCCUCGUCCCUUUCACCAACUUGGGCUUGACCAUUGAUCUCGAUGGGAAAAUCACUCCAGCAAAUGUCAUUGUCCCUGUCGGCGAUCUGGCGAUGGAGGAGGUCCAGGCACUAGAGGUCGAGCCCCUAGCCAUCAUACCGCCCAAGGGGUAAAGCAGGAGCAUGACAGGCGCUGCUAGGGGUUCAGCCGAACUCCCAGUUCAGCCAAACGAGGACGGCGUCGCCUCGGCCUCCCGCUCGACUGCAUGCUUCCCCUUGCCAAGGAGGACUCCAGAACAGCGGGCGCGUGCGUCAAGUCCCUACAAAAGGCUGAAAUACAAUGAAUAUCCAGGGUCACCCUUGAAGAUGGGUGAACGCUACGCCGGGUCCUUGUUUGACUAGUACGGCGAUGCAUUCUGCCACCGCUAUGUCGUUGUCGAGAUUAGCGGAUCAAGACUUAGACUAGUAAAUUUCUUUUAUGCGCGUAAGGCUUCAGAUGGUGGCGUGGGAGACAUGGGUUUUAUACUAGUUCGGGCAAUGGAAUACCCUACGUCCAGUGUCUGGAGCUGCUUGUGUUGCCCACGCGGGGUUCUGUAGUAGGGGUUACAGGUGUGCGAGAGAGGGAGCUAAUCCCAGGUCUCUUAGGCGUGUUCCGGUCCUCUAGAUGGGAGAAGUGUGUUCUGUUUGCUUGGGAGUAUCGGUUGUGUCUGAGUUGUCUCCGGAGCCUCCUCCCGUCUCAGGUCCCCGAUUCUCCUUUCAUAGCACAAGGAGACCAUCGGGGUUACAGACGAGACCGAGCGUGGGGAGGAGUAAAGAGAUAAACAUAGCUAGGUAAAAAUACAACAAGAAAGGGGGGAACCAAGUUUCUAGGUCACCGGCGUCCUCGCCGGCCUUCGACUUCCGCCGGCGCAUUUGUCGGAGGAGGGUGGCCGCCAUCGCGUUCUGUCGAUGGCUUCCUCGGUGACUGUAGCCACCGGGCGUGAUGAUGGCAUUUCGUCGUGACCCUUUGUCUGUUGGGGGAGGCGGCGGAUCCUGCCAUUCUGCUGACGGCUCGCGGAGUGCGAACGUCGCAUCCCUGCCGCUGGGCACGCGGGGCGCGAGAACGUGCGAGGCUUCCCCCUACCCCAGGCGGCGCAGGCCAUGAGUGCCCUGUGGCAAAUCGGAGGAGGCCGCAGCUACUGUAGCUUGUACUGUGCAGCCACGUAUGGGUACUUGUGGCAGGUUGCGUGGUGGAUGCGGAUAUCCUUCUCCCUGACAGAUCUGCGGCGCAUUUAUGGCGAGAUCGACAUGGGGACCCACAAGACCCGCGCCCAAGGCGGAUACUUGUCUGGAGGGCCCGGGUUAGCCUGACCCCCUACGCUUGGGGUCGGGCGAGGCGGAGACUUGCGGCGGGGCGUCGGACGCUCCCGACACUAGACCUGCGGUCGCGCAAGGCGGAGCUUGGUCUUCCGGGGGUCGGGGGUGCCGGACCCCAGGAUGCGGGGUCGGGCGAGGUGGAGCGUAAUUCUUGCCUCCCAUGUUGGGCCGAUGGCAGUCUUUGUUACCUCUAGUGGGCUUGGGCCUUUAUGUUUUGUUGUUUCCAUGGGCUUCGAGAGGUCGUUAAUAUUUCCCCCCAACAGUAGCCCCCGAGCCUGUGGUGGAGUGGGGGCGCUCCUCCGGAGGCUACUAUCAUCGCCCCUAGGGAAUCCUCGCAGUUGAUCCGGGAUAGGAGGUGUUGUUUGCACGGCUUGACCGAGGGGGUCGAUUAGGCGACGCAUCCUGUGAGCGACUCGGUGCGGGAGGGUUUCUUGUUGUUCCCUUCUGUCUGAGAGCCUUAAGUCGAGACCACCUGCGUGGCCUUUGGUUGCAAGGCCAGCCCCCGAGCCCCCGCACGUUGCAGGGGACCGGUCGGAGGCUAGGUCGACUUUUGUUCAUUACCCUCAAGCGUCUGUUCGCUAGGACGGAGGGGGCGAGCCGUGCCAUGCUAUCCUCAUCGGACGAACCAUGGUGCUCAUUGAGUUACUAACGGGUUGAUUCGAGUGGGAUCCCGGUCCCCGUUCGGGGGGGGUCCGGCUUGGGCCAAGCUGGUGGCGUACCCCAGGCUCCGGUCGGCCAGUUCAUAUAGUUCCUGAGUCCGUUCGGUCGGACCGGGGGCUCAUUGCCUUUCUUCGGGGAAAAACCAUGAACUUUGAUGCCGGUCCAGACUCGAAUGUGAGAUUGAGACGCCCGGGGCUGUCGCGUGCCCGGGUGAUGGCCGCUAGCGGACCCGUCUCCUCUCACCCCUCACUCGGGGGUAUCCUGAGGCGGCUGUCGAACCCGUGGCGGGCCAGCCUUCGAACCUCUGGAUCGUAAUGGGCCGUAGGGGCGUUUUCAGCCCCGUAUCCCUUUUUACCUUUUGGUGGGCCUUGGGCCGAAUCAUGGAGGAGGUCGGGCCUUGGGCCGGAUGCGGAGGAUGUCGUGCCUUGGGCCGGAUGUGGGGGACGUCGUGCGUGUCUUCCGGGAGACGAAGUGGUGGAGGGUGCCAACCCGCGAAUCGAGGGAGGAGGGGAUGUUUCUACUGCAGGUCAUGCGCACGGUUUCCGAAAAGGCAGCGGGCGUGACGGGACGUACCUCGCGCCGCAUUUAUUGCGAUGGGGGCGUCUGUUCUGCUUCCCUCGUGCCUUCCCUAUAAAACGAGGACUUCGCCUCGCCGGUUCCGCCCGCCAUCUACCUUCAAGCCUUUUCGCCUCCUCGCGCGCCCUUAGCUUUCCUGUGCCCGCUUCGUCUUCCUCCGCCCAGUGCCGCGCCCUUUCUCCCCAUCCGCCGUCGAGUUCUUCUCCCUCCGGCGAUGGGAUCCUGGGCGCGUUCCCACUUCGGCCCCUCACGCGCCGAAGGCCUAGUGAGGAAAGGCCUCCUUUGCGAGAGGACGGAGACGGAUGAGUGGGGGUUCCCUGAGAUGGAAGAGGUGCCGACUCCGCCCACCGGCUACGUCGUUUCCUUUGCCCACUUCCACGAGAGGGGGUUUGCGACUCCGCCGAGCCUCUUCUUCCGCGGGCUUUUGUAUUACUACGGGCUUGAGCUGCAGCACCUCAACCCCAACGGGAUUCAGCACGUCGCGGCGUUCGUUGCGGUGUGCGAGGGGUUCCUGGGCAUUGAGCCCAACUUCUCGCUGUGGAAGUACUUCUUCACGGUCAGCCUAUACCAGAAGGCCGAGAAGAGGGGAAGCCAGCAGCGGUCGACCCCGGUGCCGAUAGGGUGCGUCGGAAUCCACCUCUGCCAUACUCGCGCCAAGGAGUAUAUCGCGAUGAAGACCGCGGCAUCCCACAAGGGGUGGCACCAGCAAUGGUUCUACGUGAAGAACUACUCCAACCCCCCCUGCCGGAGUUCACCGGCCGCAUUAUUGAAGCGGCGCCGGAGGUGUGGGUGUACGGCCCGGUGGAGAAGGAGAAGAAGCGGAUCACCGGCCUGCUGCAGGCCAUCGAGCACCUGAAGGAGAGGGGACUGACCGGAGCCGGAGUCAUCGGGGCGUACCACGCCCGGCGGGUGGCGCCGCUGAUGCUCCGGGUCCGCUCGCUCGCCGACAUGACCCCCGGUGCUCUCACCGAUGGCACUGUCCUCGCGACGGGUGCUCUCGCUGCCUCCGAGAUCCGGCAGCGGAUCCGGGAGGCGCUGGAGGACAAGGACGCCGAUUACCCGGUGCCCGGCCACCCUCCGAUGCGCCCGGACGAGAAUUUCAUUGAUCUGGUAAGGAUUUUGCGCGCCAGUUUCCCUCUCUUGCGUUUCUUGGUAUGCCGUUCUGACGCGAGGCCCUCUGUGUUUGCAGGGUAGCAUGACCCGGGUCGUCGACUUGCGUCCGCCAGUGUCGGAGGACGCCGAGUGGCGGUAGCAGAACCGUCUCCUUGCCGAGAAGCAAAAGUGACGCAAGGACAAGAGACAGCGAAGAAGAAGAAGAGGGCCGCCAAGGAGUUCCAGCGGCGGCGGUGGGGAUAGGUCGUGUCGGAUGACGAUGACGAUGAGAAGGAGGAGGAGGAUGACGAGGAGGAGGAGGAGUUUAUCCUGUCCCCCCGGUCAGGGGCGCUUGUUAUCCGGGAGCCGCGCUCCCAAGCGGCCAUGGGGGACAAGGCGGGCGAGCUGCCUGCCCGGACCCGAUCCUGCGAAGCUUUGGGGGCGCGCCCCAGGGGUCGGCGCAGAGCGCCCCCCGGGGGUCGACGGAGCCGACCCCCAUCCCUACACCUGCAGCCCAGGAGCAGAGGAGCAGCGACAAGCGGCCGUUGCCAGAUGCCCCGGGGUCGGCGUCCAGCUCAGAGGCGAAGCGCGCGCGCCGCCCUUGCGCUGGGGGAACGUGAGUUGAAUUUCCUUGCGAAUCUCGUUCCUUUCCAUGCAUUGUGUUUGUUUCCGCUGAUGCUGUUUGUUGUCUCACAGCACCGCCCCUCAAGGCCUUGUCCCGCCGUUGGCGCCAAAGAAGGCGUUGCGGUGUUGUCGCCUCUGCGGGGCGGACCGCGGCUCCGCCGGCGGCGAGUGGCGGGGUCACUGGUGAGACCGCGGGUCCUACCGCGGAGGUGGCCCCUGCGGCGGCAACCGGUGGAGUGGUGCCACCGCCGGGCAUGGGACAGGGUCUGGACCCCGCUCCGUCCUCCGCCUCUUCGGCCGACCCCGCGGUGCAGAGUAUCGCUCCUGGGGGCCCUCAGGCCGGGGAGGUGAUUGACCUCGACGCCGACGAGGUGGAGGAGACGGCGGCGGUGGAGACGGGGGCGGUUGCCCCAGCGGCCAUGACGGGGACGACGACGGCGACGGGGGAAGGAGAGUCUACCCCCGCGGCCACGGCGGGGACAGUGGCGACAGAGGAGGCGGGGACGCCCGCCCCGGCGGCUGCGACGGAGGAGGCGGCGGUGACGGAGACGGGGGCUUCCGCCCGGGAAGCCACAGCCGAGGUGGCAGCGGCGACGGAGGUGAAAGUGCCUGUUCUGGAGGCCACGGUGGGGGUGGGGACGCCUGCCUCGUGGCCACGACGGAGGGCGAGGCGGCCCCAGGGACACUUGCUCCGGCACCCGCGUUGGAGGCGGUGGCGCCGACGGGUUGGCCCGUGGCGGCCUCGACGGGGGCGGGGGUGCGUGCGCCGGGACCGUCGGUGAGGCCGGCGACUUCCGGGAUGGUGGUGCCCGUCUUGACGGCGGCGGCGGCGCGGUCGGCCCCCGCCCUUGCCUCUACCACUCCCAUUCCCAAGGCGUGGAGCGGAUCCGUCCUGCGUUGGUCGUCUCGUGACGACCCGCAGAGGCCCCUCUUCACGUUGGAUGAUGCCACAGAAUGGGGCAAGUGGCAGGCGCUGCAGGGCGGACUCGCUAACGUCCGCGCCGCUCUAUCUUCGGCGUUGGGGGAGCUGGACGGCGUCAUCUUCCCCGGUGGCCGGGUAUGGUGCUUUCUCCGUUGGUUAUUUUCUUCCCGUUACUUCGUCCCUGAUGGCACAUUGUUCUGCAGGCCCUCCAAGAAUGUAGCCGGGGAAAAUCUGAUUUCCUUUGGCUCGAGCAGGGGCUCUGGGAGCGCUUCAACUUGGAGUUGCAGCGGACCGGGGAGCUGACCAUGCAAGUCGCCACCGUCUAGCAUGUCAUCGACGAUCUGCGAAGGCACGAGCAGGCGGCACAGGAGGACGCGCGGCGGGCGGAGGCCAAGUUCCAGGUCGUUGCCGAAAGGGCUCGCUGCGACCGCGAGGAGUUCCAGGCCGUUGCCGAAAAGGCCCGCCACGACGCUGAGGAGCUCGCACGGCUGAAGGUGCAGCAUGAAGCUCUUCAGAAGAGCGGCAGAGGGCCUGGCAGGACCGGGACGCCGAGAAGGUCCGGAAGGAGGAGGCUGAGAAGGUGGCGGCCAACCUUGGGGCUGAGGUCAGCCAGCUCCAAGUGCAAGCGCGAGAGCUUCAGGCCUCCGUGGCCCAGGGGCUCGACCAGGAGCGCCAGCUGAAGGCCUAAUCCGAGGGUAUGACUCUGUUUAUUUCUUUGUCUUUGUGAUGUUGCGGUGAUAUUUUAUUUGGCGGGUUCUUCUGGAUGAUCCUUGCAGAUGAGCUCAACUGGCUGAGGGAGGUGCUUGACGCGGAGCGCGCUGAGCACGGCGACCUGCGGGACGCGGUCCGCGUCAUCUGUGACUUCCUUAGUGUGGUCCAGGGGGAGGGGACGAGCUCGCUGGCGGCUCGUGUCCUCGGGACGUACCGCCGGACCAGCGAGAUCGCCCUGGAAGCGCUUCGCACCGGCUUGAGGCAAGCCUUUGGGGUCUUCGGCUCCCACUAUUCCGGCAUCAACUUCGCCGGGAUGAGCGGGGGAUACGCCACCGGCUACUACGAGGCCGAGCUGGAUGAGAUCGACGUGUCGGUGCUCAGCCCGGCGGAGGCCUUGGUGAAGCUCCUCGAGGAUGAGGCCGUCCCGCCCGAAGAUCCCCGGACGAGUUAACUAUAUCGGGCUGGCGCCCCAGAUGUAAAUACGUUAGGGAAAGACUUGUUUUUUGUGAGGGCCGUAGAGGCCUUUUCUAUGAAUUGUCGUAAAAAAGUUUUUGAUUCCCUUUCUUGCUUUUUGGACUUGGAAAGUUUAGAGCACGUUGUCGGGCGUGUCAGUAAGCUUUGAUGAGCGAAGGCACCGUAGCCGCUGGGGCGUCGUUUUUUUUGCAGUCCGAUCAAUCUUGCCUGAACACCGUUCGUGCACUUUCUCCUUUUUAUGCCCAAAAGUUCAGAAAGAGGGUCGGCUCGGAAAGAGAAAGCGUUUUGAGAGGGUGUCAAGUGGCUUAGGUACUUGCGGCAGGUUGCGUGGUGGACGCGGAUAUCCUUCUCCCUGACAGAUCUGCGGCGCAUUUAUGGUGAGAUCAACAUGGGGACCCACAAGACCCGCGCCCAAGGCGGAUACUUGUCUGGAGGGCCCGGGUUAGCCCGACCCCCUACGCUUGGGGUCAGGCGAGGCGGAGACUUGCGGCGGGGGGUUGGACGCUCCUGACCCUAGACCUGCGGUCGGGCGAGGCGGAGCUUGGUCUUCCAGGGGUCGGGGGCGCCUUACCCCGGGAUGCGGGGUCGGGCGAGGCGGAGCGUAAUUCUUGCCUCCCAUGUUGGGCCGACGGCAAUCUUUGUUACCUUGGGUGGGCCUGGGCCUUUAUGUUUUGUUGUUUCCAUGGGCUUCGAGAGGUCGUUAAUAUUUCCCCCCAACACUAUGAGGAGGACUUGUGGGCAGAAAGUCAGCUACCACAAACUUGCCUCUGAAUAUUUGGAGUGCAAACAUUGGAUGGUGGUUGUGGAGAGCCCCAGCCAUACCUCGCACCCGUGGAGAGGUAAUUGUCGGAUUGCUUGGUUCGUCUCUAGAAUGCGACAAGGUCAGGCGCCACCUCUCACUGCUGCCAGUCAGAAGGCCGAGGGGCCAGUUUCAACAUAGUAAUGAGAAUCUCCGAAGGCCAAUAUGGUUAAGCAGCUAACCUCCAUGAUCAUAGACUUACGUUUAGAAAAUAGGAGGCUUAGCGAUGCGUUAACAGAGCAGAAGUUAGAAACAGAAGAACUUAAGGACGACUUCCGUGUCCUCCGCCUUGGUCUUUGUGCUAAGAUAAAGCGCUUGUACAAUGCCACGGGGAAUGACGGUCUCUACGAUGCAGCUCAAUAGACGUGCCCCUUGUAUCCUUUCCUUUAGGCACUUUAGAAUAUGUUUAUUUGUUUUCCUUCAUUUUAAUUUCCAAUAGAUUGUUAGCGCCUCCAAUUUAAUUUCAAUAAAGUGUAGACUCACCGGUCAUCCAACUUGAUGGAGUCCUUUUGUCACCUAGUUGUCUUUGGAAGAAGUAGCUGGGUACAAAAUAAGUGUGGGGGAGAGCCACAGACUCUCUAGAGCUGAAACAAUGCACAACACCCACAAAUAGAGAAAACCACGCUGCACCAGCACGUACGUGAAAGUGGAGCCAGAGCUGGACCCAUAGGGGUUUGGCCAACCCAAGGGGUGGCCCACUCGGGCCAUCUUCAUCCACCGCGUCGGUUUGUGUCUCUUUACCCCUGAUCUCCCUGAUUCAUGAGUUUGAAUGAAUUUUAAAUCUGAUCAACUAAUUCAAACUCAACUAAAAUGAAUCAACUGCUCCACCUGCUCUACAUGUUUUCUAUGGUUGGCUUGCAUAUGUUUUAUUUCAUGCUUAUCAUCUUGAUGCUUGUGAACAAAUAUCUUUAGGACAGCAUGCUCAUCUAAGUAGUUGAUGUGUAUGAUAUGGUUCGAUGAUAUGAUCUUCACUCUUAAUGCUUAAGUGCUUGGGAAAAUCUAUUUGAAAAUUUAAAAGCCUUUUUGAAAUCUCCUCUUUGAUGUGCCAAAGUCCUACCAAAGCCAUAUGAUAAGUUAUCUUGAAAAACCAUUUGCAUAUGUUGCUUGUCUUUGCAUUGAGCUUUGUCAAAUUGGUGUGACCCUUGUCACAAUUCUUUUCAUACUUUCAUGAUCAAGACUCAUGUGCACGCCAUAUACCCCUUGCUAUGCUUCUAUGAGAUGUUAGCAUUGUACCAUCCAUUCAUUCCACAAAAUAAAUGCUCCACCAUAUGUGUUGGUCUCCUUCUAAGAUUAUUGUUACAAAAGAGAUAUGGGCUAUCAAAAAAAAAUAUGAAUGUCCAAGAAAGUUGGACACAUGAAUGUCCAAUAAAAAGAAAAAGAAAGAUAGCCAUGUCCUCAGAAAUAUUUACAAAGGGAGAGAGAUCAUACAAAAAGGAGUUUCCAUUCCAUCCACCACAUCCAUACAUGUGCACAUCUUGAUCUGAUUGUAUGACUUAUUUUUCUCUUUGGAUCUGGUCUUUGACUUUGCAAUAUAUGUGAUGCAAGCAUGCCUUAUCCUUCAUAGCCUACCUUGAGCUCCACAUAUAGCCAUCAUUAGAAGUAGGAUGAAGAAAGGCAAGUCUAAUGCCUUGGUGAGGACAUAUACACAUUGAGUGAUCUGAGAGAAUCAAAUGAGGAGCUAAGCAAGGUUUUGUUUUGAAAACUAAUUGAAAAAUCCCAAGCUACUUGGCAUAAGGAGUUGAGGUGACUUGAUUCAAGACCAUUACAUUCCUCAACUACCCAAGAUGGCAUGAUAGACACUCCAAAGUUCACAAGUGCAGGUAUGGUUUGGAAUAUCUUUUAGGCUCGCUUCAUACCUUUGAAAGUUAUGUUUCACCUUAGUCCUUUCUCGUUCACUCAAGGAUAAGCAAAGGCUAAGUGUGGGGGUGUUGUUGAUGGCUCUUAAGUACAAAAUCUGCGCCAUCAACUCUUGCAUAAACACAUAAAAUAUGAGCAUCAACAAUAGUGGUAGGAGUUAUUACAAACGAAUUCCACAAGUCUUGGUGAAUAUUUGUAUGCAAGCCCAAUAGGAGAGAAAAGACACCUCAAAAGCAAGGAAACACACUCUCAACCAAUCAAGAGCAAGCACAUGGAACCAUGGGCCCACAACCAAAAGGAAAUCGACUACAUUCCAAACACCCUAUACCCACAUGAGAACCCAUAGGGCAGUGACCCAGAGCAAAGGUGAUGCCAGAGUGUAGAUGGUAGUUAGCAUGCCAAAUUUUGAACCGCAAGCGCUCGGAUUAGUUGUUUCUUUUCCCUUAGAGAUUCCCCCAAGGUUUAUCAAUCCAUGGAACAAGGGAUUUGCACGUUUCACUAAGCACUAAUCAAUGUAAUUGAAAGCUUUUCGAAUAAGAUAUGAUUAUGCUAACAAAGGAACUAAGCAAUCUAGAUUAAGAUGGAUAGAGAGUACAGGUUGUGAACAAGAUAGAUUAAACGCUUGUAGAUGCAAUCACCAUGCAUGAAUGAAUUAGAUCUAGGUGUUAUUGUGAGUGGUUGUGAACCAUGCCCAACACUUUCCCACCCGCAACAUUGUCACUACAUGUGGGUACUCAACUAUCGGAACAUAAGAACACAUCAAGAUGAUCAUUCUAGGUAAGCAAAUAAGCAACCCAAAGUAGCGCUGGCCAGCCUUUUCAUGAAAGAGCAUCAUCAAGAUAAGAUUGAUAACAAAAUAGAUCUCAACCAAAGGUUCAGCGAUUACAAAUCAAGAUCUUCGUAUAACCCCGAUGACAAAUAGAGGUAUUACCCCCAUGAUCUUACACAUGUUGAUGAAUUUUAGGGUAAAGGACACCCUGUAGAUCAACUGGACCAAAGAUGAUGAUGAACGGGGGCAGGGAAGGCCCAGGUUGAUCAGCCUGCGCACUUUUGAGCCGAUCAGCUCAGGGGGUUUCCUCCUCCCCUGGUGCUCCUCUUCGCGUGGCCUCCUCUGGAUCCAAUCUUCUCUUCAUUUCUCCUACUUGUGGCGGCAAUGGAUGGUGUUUGCAUGGUGAUUUCCUCUUCUCCCCAACUCUCCCUCCUUGAAGUCCAUGAGGGGGUAUUAAUAGUCUCCAAUAGGCGGCAGCUCUGGGUCAAUGUCAGUGAAAAAAUCCUAGAGAUCAUCGUACACUUCAUGCUGAGGAAACAAGAGGUUGACCGAGCCCUGGGAUAGACCAAGAGGAUCAUCCUAGAGGGUCCCAGGCUAAUCGGUCUAGGCCCUUCCUAGCCCUUCUAGUCCUCUCCUUCCUCGUGCUGGCUUUUCUCGAUGACCCUUGUCCAAAUAUCCAUGAAGCUCUAUAUACAUACCCCCUUGAUUAUGUUGUAUUUCCUGUCAAAAUACAAUGCUCCAAAAUACAACACAUAUGCAAUAAUAGGGUUAUUUCAGGUGCCAAUUGGUGGGUUAGUAUACGAAUAAGCAUGAAAAUACUGUUUAAAUGACACUAAAAGUGUGUCAAUAACGAGCACCAACAAUCCCCCCACGCUUAGAUCUUGCUCGUCCUCGAGCAAGUCUAGCGACUAAAAGAUCUUGAAUUAAACCUGAGCAAGCGAGUCAAGUACCUAGCCUUGAAACAAAAGAUUAGAGGAGCAGCAAAGAUAAUCAAAGUCUGGGUGUUCAAAGAUUUAUCUAAGCAAAGAUUCCCCUACAACUAUUAUUCAGAACCAAGUAACUUCAAAAAUCAACUACACUUAUUUUCUGGCUUUUUUCAGAGGGUUUUUCUUUCAUCAUAAAACAAUCUCCCUGCAACAAAAUUGAAAAAAGAAUUAUUUUCAAGGUGCUUACAUGUCGCUUAAAUGAAUGUUGGCUAUCCUACUUAUUUGCAAGCUCUCAUCUCUCAAAAUUCAUUCAAUUAUAUGGUGGAGUUUGGGUAAGGUUAGCUAGAAUCAACACGUAUAUUAUUGAAUUAAGAAAACCCUCUAACGGUGGCCUACCUUCCGAGCCAUUGAUCAUAAGAAUAUCCACAUAAUGUGAAGUUUUCAAGGAUGAGAAGAUAUAGAAUGGUGGACAUGUGCAAAGGCAAAGAAAUAUAGUGACUCUGAGGCACAAGCAAUGUCCUCGUCGUUGGAUUGCAUAUGGUUGUAAUGAAAAUAUGUUCCUUAAACAAGUCUAUCUUUUCUUUGCACCACUCUUGAUCUUCAUGACAGUAAAAACUCCUCCUUUAUUUCUUUCUCUCUUUUCCUAUUAUUUCUUUUUAUUUGUCUCAAUACUUUUAUUUCUUUAUUUCUUUAUUUUAAUCUCUUCUCUGAACCUCUUCUGAACACCACAUAAUAAAAAUAAGUUUUAGAUCCUUCCAGAGACCUUCCAGGAAUUUGCUACAUGAAAACCGAGGCAAGGAGACCCCAGGCCGAUUGGCCUAGCCACUCCUUUGCUCUCCUCUAGCUCUUCUUUCUGGUGAAGCUUCCUUAUCUUGUAUCUUUCCAAAAAUUUCAUAAAGCUCGACUAGAAACGGAACAGAUCUUCAUAUAAUGAGUUGUGUUCAAGGAAUUGGUAAUAAAAUUGAGAAAUUUGUGGUUCGGGUUUACGAAUUCAGUACAAAAAUAUGAUUGUUCCAAUGAAGAACUCUCAUUACUGAAUAUUGACGAGGCAAGCAUUCAAAGAUGGUAAAAAGGAUAUGAUCAAUUCUCAAAAUUAAAGCAAACCAAGAGAGAGCGAUCCUAAUUCAAUUCAAAGUGUCAAAUGUUGCUUAUGGUGGUAUGAAUAAAUAUUUUUAGGCAUUGGGUAGGAUAAAUAAAAACUCUCAACCUGGUUAAAAGAUAUUGAUCAAUCUUGUUUUUGCAGAGGUUUUAAAUAAAAAAUAAAAUUUUAAAUCACCUCCAAUUCAAAGCCUUACUCAUAAAUCAUAAUCAAAACUGAAGCACUUGAUCAUCAUAAAGCAUGGGUAUUGCAUAAACAAAUCGAUUACUAAAACUCCACAACUACGAUUUAGAAUUCAAGACAAUGCUCAUAAUCUAAAGUUGCAAAGAUAAAAUAAAAGACAACCAAGCCAAGGUAGACACUAAAAACACUUGCACGAUCCUUGAAUUUUAUUCAUGCUUCUUCUCACAAAGACGCUAAAGUAGCCAUGUAGGCCUAAGUCUUCCCAAAAGCUUAAGAAAACUACUACUUUAUCUACUUUUGGUUGAAAUAAAAAGACUAAUCUAGACUCUCACAUGAUUCGACUCGACCAAAUUAGAUCCAAAAACUCAUACGAGCGACGAUCUCCCCCCCCUCACGCUUAAAAUCUACGACCUCCUCGUCGUAGCCAUAUGGAGUACAAGGAAAAGAAGCUUGUAAACGCUCUAAUGACGCUACCCGCACUACUUGCACACGGGAUGGUUGCUGCUUCCUUCGCUUUGUUCUUCCUCAUGUUGCUGCACAUCCCGAAGAGCUUCCUCACGUUCCUCUGCAAGAACUUGAACUCGUCCUCCUGACGGCGAUCAUUAUCUUCUGCCUUUUGAUCCAGAGCUUGUAAGGCUUGCAUGAUGUCAUCGAACGCAUCGAAGAGGUAGUGGAUGUUCUUCCUGCAAGCUGUGGAACAUGUACGAUCAUGCUCCUCCGAUUCUGGCCCGUCGUCUUCUAGAUCCUUCUCUUUGCCCUUGUCUUGACGGUGGCUAUCUUGCUCCUUGCUCGCCUUCUUGCCUUCAGCCCAAUCCCAGUACGUGUUGUCAUCUUCUUCAUCGUCACGGCCUGCAGCACCCUAUGAUCCAUUGUCUAUCUUGUAUGAAAGAAUCAGAAGCUUGUUCUCCUCAGGGUGUCUUGCGCGGUGCAGCGUUUGCAAGUGCAAGACUUGCUAGUUCCUUUUACACAUUGUAAUGUUCAUUGCAUGCUCUAAUUGUUCUACAUUUGUAAUUUCUUGGUGAAGUUUGGUUACUGAUCCACUGUUUGAUUAACUCUUGGGCCCAAACACUGUACUACUUCUGAUUAGAUAUCUGUAUCUUGACUUUGACCAAAAAAAAUAUCCGGCAGUUUUUGCCAUUAAAGUUUCAUAAAUCAUCUUGCAAAAAUCGUACUAUACAACAAGGGACGGUUUAUUAUAAAAUAUACGUUCCCCUUAUCACAUGCCACUUCCACUCAAAAGGCAACGAAUCAGUUUUCAAUCCUGAGUGAGCAAUUUGCUUUUAUUACCGAUGCCUCCUAUUCCCUUGUGCACCAAGUUUAUUUUGGAUAGGGCUGCAAAAAACGACUAACCAGCUCGGAUUCUCCACCUGCAAAACCGCAUCUGCAGCAACCAACCCCACGCGGUGGAAAAAAAAACAAAACCUAGAAACCGGACGGGGGUGGAUGUGGGGCUCGGAGCCCAAGCAAAAAACGGAUCGGGAGCGCCGGAGCAGGCCAUCACCGGAUGUUAGAGAUAGAAAAUGGUUGAAGUUUGGAGUGGAAAUCAAACAAGCCUUGGAGCAAAGGAAAAAAAAAGAUCAAACCACUCAAGCAUUCAUUUGAUUUAGAAAAGAGAACAUUUGUUAAGGUGGGGAGUUGAAAUCAUCUUUUAAUUAGUUCCACGUAUCUGGUAUCAUUACAGUUGGUUUACUUGUGUAAGUAUAAGUAGCUCUGCCGAAGCCUUUGCUCCUAUAAUUUAGUAACUAGUACAAAUGGAUCAAUAGGAAAAUCAAGUUGCAAUCAUUUCUCAGCCAACCAAACCUAUGUAAAUCAAAUUAUUGUCCAUGCCCGGCAUGCACAGGUGCCUGCCAUGCAUGCAUUGUUGCUCCAUUGUAAUAACCAUUAUUGUCCAUCGAUGUUGCAGCGCAUGUGUGCACUGUGCAGACACCAAGCAUCGAGAUUAUGUACUAGUAAGGUGUUGAAAUAAUGGGCCUAGCCCAUAAGUAAUUUCAGAAUUUCAAAUAAAUCUCAAAGGCCCAUGUGGGCAAGAGGUGGAGUGGUGCAAGUCUUUAGUCCCACAUUGCUAGUCGAGGGGAGGGAUGACCAACUUAAAUAUGGAAGUUGUCUCCACUCCUCCAAGCUAUGUGUGAAGGGCGCGGGCGCGAGGCACUUGCGUGAAUGGUCCGCCGAAAUCUGGCCCCCCUUGCGGGGGCGCGGCUUCCUUUUGCCGUUUUAUUUUUUGGUUACUUGGUCGUUAAGUCAUGGAAUCCUAACCGGUUUAGAUCACGAUCGUGAAGGUUUUUGGGAAGCGCUCUGCGCGACUGCUCGAUCGCUUCUUCCGCUUCGUCAAGUUCUUCGUCGACUCCUUCACCACGGCUCGUCUACCUCUUCGUCGCUCGGGCCUCACUCGUCGUCGCGAACAACGUCAGGCUGCUGAUCGUCGUCGCCUGCUGUAUCCGGUAGUCGUCCAGGAGCCGGUUUUCAUCAAGAAAGAAACGUACGGUCUCUUAACUCACAUUAUGUCUUCCAUACUAGCUAUUAUGAUUGUUGCAGUCUGAUAGCUCUGGAUAGUAUGGUAGAAUGUCUGAUUCUAUUUGCAAUGAUAGACUUGUCUAGAUCUUGCGUAGACAUGUCUAGUUUAAUCUGCUGCUUGUUCAUCAUAUUCAUGAUUUAUUUCUGGAUUAAGUUAAAACUAAAAGUGCUUAUAUAUCCAACAUAAGGUACCAAGAACACGUGAAGCACCCGGGGGAGGCUGCUCCACUCCGCAUGCACAGGUGGGCACGGCACCACUACUCGUCUCCUUCAGGCUGAGGAUAAGUGAUGUACGCUGAUCAACAGACCACGACGGAACCAGCAAUAAUAGUUUCAGCCUGCCUCACAGUAAUUAAUAUAUCCUGUAUCCUCCGAGGACCCCUCCCCUUAAUCUUGGCCUAUUGCAUCCAAUAAUGAUAUGUGUGUUUAUCCAAAUUUACGGCACCUUUGGCGGGGGUUCCACCCAGCUCCGCCCUCUCCACCUUCGGUACUCCAUGGGAAACCAUUCCUUUGGAAUCAAGGAAGCUUGAACAGUAUAACGAAUAAAGUUUCAUAUAUCCAUUUGAUUUCACAUGAAAUAAAAUAUUCUGUCAGAACCAAUGGUUUCACUGAAGCUCCAGGCAGCGAGCGAAGGGGUGAGAGAGGAUAACGCUUACUGUGUGUUACCAUCGCGUGCACCAUGGAUGACCAACGCGCAGCCGAGAUGAAACGGCGGACCUAAACAGGUCCUCGCUAUUUUUGCAGGUUCUCGACCAGGCCAGUUCUUUAGGCCAACCUAUCAUUCACGAGUUAAACAUACGGUGGCUGGAGAAAUGUUCUAUUCUUUUAAACAAUACCAGCUGGUUCCUCCGUUUUUAUUCCACCAAUACAAGCACCACCUUGUAACAUUUCCUAUGUUUUUUUUCCUUUCGUCUGUUUUCUCACUACAUGCGUUGCUCUUUCAUGCAUUUUUUUCCAUUCCUGUAUUCCAAAUAGGUCUACAUGAACACAAAAUGAACUAGGGGACAGAAAAAGCCAGUGAAGUUAGUUUUGAGCUUCACCAGCUACUUGCUACAUAAAGUGUGCUAUAGUCGCAGAAAAGCUAAGCUGGAUCAGACGUGGCCGAAACAAUGCCAAAGAGCUAGGUCCCUAGCUGAUGGCAACACAUCAGAUGACUAGCCUGCUUUUCUGUAAUAAUGAUAUUGAGCAAUACACUGCAUGGCUAACCUGCUUUACAAUAAUUGUCAUUUUAUAAUAUUGGUCAUCACGAGAGAUGCACAUUGCAUACACCGGCCCAUCCCUAUAAAUAGCCAAGCCUUUCAGCCAUCUUGGGCACCUCCUCUCAGGGCCUCGUCUCACCAUCAGACAUCUCGUUCCCAGUUAUAAUUUGCGAGGUUAGAUCAGGCUGCGCCAUGGCGUCCGCAACUGCUGUCAAGAUCGUCGCCACCUUCAUGCUGGUGCUGACCAUGGGCCACCUGAUGGCCGAAGCAUCACCGCAGCCUCGGCGUGUGCUUGCAGAAACGGAGCAUGCUGCGGUGUCCGGGAAUCCUGGCCUCCCAGGUGAUGCUAGCGUCAUGCAGGUCCUCGAACCCGCCCUAGUUUCUCGGCUUGCCUGCAAACCAGAGUGCACAGUCCCUUGGCCUCCUUUUGUAUGUAUCUGCUAGAUCCUCUUCCUGGCUCAACGGAACUUCAGGGAAAUGGCUGUGACGUCGGCCAAAGAAUAAAUUGGAUGAACAUAAUAUACCCCGGGUAGUGUAGCUUGGGCUUUUGUUGAGCGUCUGGUGCUAGUUGUAUUUUGUUUGCUCAUGUGGCUUUGCUUCUGGUUGCAUAUUGGCUUUCCUAUCGCUCUCUGUUGCAGCUAUGGUUUCUGCCAGGUGUGUGUUAAUGCGGUUUGUAAGCGGUGCUUGUUCCUACCUUCUGUUUUCAAUAAAAGAAGUCGGAGUCUCCCUCCGACUCUUGUUAUCAGUCAACAAAAAUGAGUUGUAUCAUAUAUAUCUGCGUCUUUUUUCUACGUAUCUUUGGGCUGCUUCAGCUGGAAGUUUAUCGUAAGUACGUGUAUCAGGAUGAUCGUUUGAAUUAAAACGAAAUGAUAAUGUGUGGCUGCUAGAAAUGGAAUGAGCAUCUUACUAUAUUACUAAUUGGAAGCCUCCACGUGAAGCCACCUAGAAAUUCUAGGUGGACGUUUUAAAAAAAACAAAACUCAUAGAAGCCUCCACCACCUAGGAAUCCUAGGUGGACACUCUAAAAAGAGACAAAUCCUAGAAAUUCUAAAAAAAGAAAAAAAUAAUAACAAUAAGAUUUUUUUGCAGUCAAUUACAUAUAUUUUUUUGAGACACCGUGCUGCUAGCUCUUGCCAUUGCGACCAGUAAAGCAAGCAGAUAGUAAGAUGACAUGCGUGUGGAUUGAUUAAAACAAAUUCAGUUAGUUGAUUCUAAAUCGUAUGUAUCCUAAAAGGAAGAUAUGUGCGUGCAUGGUCCCUAGCGAUGACAUGUAGACAUGUAUUGCAAUUUCUUUUUUAAAAAACAUGUCUAUCUCUAAACCAACAAACAGAAAAAAUAUCAAUCUAAAUCUAAAUCUCUUCCGUUCUCACACGCCUAUUAAAGAGAAGACAACCAAUCCCAUCCAUGUUCCAUAGAAUCCAUCUAAAAGCUUGCUCACUGCGGACGGCAUUUGACGGCAAAUCAAUGAAAGAUCAUCCUCUCCAAAUAGCUGGACGGCAUCACCAUCUUUAUCUCACCAACCUACAGAGCUACAACGAUGUUGUAGAGAUCAACUAGGUAACCUACCAAUCACCCUCCCCUUUUCUAUAUGCUCUAAAGAACACGUGGAGUAAUUAUAGGCCUAUAGGAGCCGACUAACCUAGAUUAAUAUGAAAAAUAUUCCAAUAUUAAAAGCAAGCAGAUAGUAAUACUUGCCUUUGACCAUUUUUCUAGAACUGUUAUUCCUAUUGAAUGUUCAAGUGCUACGGCCAGGCAUCGAAUGCCUGCACGGAACCUUCCUAUUGAAUGGUUACUCUAGAGAUCAACGCACCGCGAGACAUUUUUAUGGAAUUUGUUUGAUUCCCCUUCUACAAUUAGAUUAAUUUUUCAUGGCAUAUAUUACUACUAUUAAAUUAUUUGUUUAUUGUCGGGCCUGCUGCAUGUGUGGUAUAUAUGACUUGCUUCUCACCAUUGUUCUCAAACUAUUAUUCCUAUCGAAUCUUUCUAUCGAAAUAUAUUUUAAUUACUUGAUUGUUGUUUGUGUACCAUAACUUCUGUAUAGAAAAAUUCCAUGUUUGUAGAUAAUGUCUUUUGUAUAGAAAAAUAGCCCAAUUAGAUCCAUCACCAUCUUUUGCUUAUGUAGUUGAACAAGUUGCAAUGUUGAACAAAACUUUAAGUGAAAUUAGACCAGGAAAAGGAAUUGUGGAACAUUAAGGCAAGGGUAACCAGAUUGUGGAAUGCAACCUUACUCAGUAGUGGCGAACAAUUAAGUCUUGACAUGAUCCUUAUUGAUCAAAAGGUAUGAUAGAUGUUCACUUUGAUUGCAUUAUUGGUAUAAUUUUUGGUUUACAAAUUAUUAAUGAUGAUGCAAAAUUAGGGAACCAUGAUCCACGGUGUUAUCAAUAAGCCCUAUAUGAAAAAGUUCAAACCAUUGAUUGAAGAAGGCAAUGUGUACAUAAUUGCAAAUGUCAGAAUCACACCAGAACCACAGAAGUAUCGGCCAGUGGAAAAUGACAGGAUAGUCAACUUCUUACCCACAACUGCACUAAAAACGAUCAAAGAUACUGAAGACAUUCCAAAGUAUAGUUUUAACUUCAUGAGCACGGAUAUGCUUUCAGCAAGAAUAAAUGUGGACAUGUACCUAUUAGGUAAAACAUUACUGGCUUUUCAAUUUUUACACUUCCACUCAUUAAAUGACCAUCUAAUAAUAAUACAUAUUUAUGUUUCAUAGAUGUUAUAGGUAUCUCAGCUCACAUUGGACCGAUAGAAGAAACAAGGACAAACUUCGGAUUUACUAAAAUCCGUGAUAUUGUGCUCCUGAUCGAGUAAUUCUCUUUUCUUUUGUAGAAAACAACUACAAAACUUUCAACAUUUACAUGUAUGUUAUAGAACUUCUGUUGAACUAAAAAAUAUCUUCUACAGUGCCCCUACAAAUAAUUAAUUUCGUAGUUGGAUAUUUAAAAUAUUUAUUAUUCACUUUUAAAUUUGUGGCCAUGAAGUUAAAGUUAGAUUUUGGGGAGACAAAGUUGAGGAAGUUGAUGAUAAGACAAAAUCCCAUGUCAUUGCAAUAACAUCUACAACUGUGAGUAAAUUUGGCAGUAAGUCUUCAUUCAAUAUGAGUUAUUCAAUAUUAGUCAUUCAACAAACUAACCUCGUAAGAAAAAUAAAUAAUUGAUGUUUUAUCAGGGUAUUCUCUAUCGUCAACCAAUGCAACAAAACUUUAUGUAGAUCUACCUAUUCCUGAAACUAAGGAUGCACAUGAUAGGUGAGAAAAAUUAGAUAUUGUUUUUCUAUUUUAAUCUAUGUAGCAUGCACUCUAACAUGAUACAUUCUUUCAUAUGAUAAAAAAAUGUUAGUUCAAUUGAAAAUAUUGUCAAAGAGAUUCAUAUUGAGGACCAUCUAAAAGGGACAUUGGAAGACCAAAUGCAGUACAAUAGAAGAACUUUAGAAGAAUUAAAUUUCAUAUUAUUUGAAACAUCAAAUCAGGUAUGGAUUAGUAUGUUCAUUGUACACUAUACUAUUUAAAGACUUACAUACAUAAUGAUGGUAUUGUUCCUACUUUCAGGAUGAGGUAUUUACUAUUGAAGCAACAAUAAAUGAAAUUAAUGCAACAUAUGGUUGGUUGUCACACCCGAUUUUAAGGACAAAAUUGAGUGCAUUAAAUACAUGUGCACCAGGAUCAAGUUACACACAUCCUAUGAGUACCGUCCUUCUUUGGCACAAAGAUAACCGGUGCUCCCCAUGGUGAUGAACUAGGCCGAAUAAACUAUUUUGCUGAUAAUUCCUCUAGUUGUUGUUUCAAUUCUUUUAAUUGUUCAACCAACAUUCUAUAAGGACGUUUGGAGAUAGGUGCAGUACCAGGUAAAAGAUCAAUAGCAAAUUCAAUGUCGCGGUCAGGUGGCAUACCUGGUAAAUCGUCGGGGAACACAUCCGGAUAGUCACACACCACUUUGAUAUCUUCCAAGGAUUUUCCAGCCAACUGAUUAACUGCACAAUCUGCUGCUGAGGGUAGAGUAGCUACAAACUCCACUUUCUCUCCAUCAGGACCUGUUAGCAGAACUGUCCUCUUGGCACACUGAAUCGUUGCAUCAAAAGCGGCUAACCACCUCAUCCCCAGAAUUACAUCGAUUCCACUGGACUCAAGGACGAUAAGAUCAGCCGGAAACUCUAUACCCAUUAUUCUCAGUUUAACUUGUGGACAGAUGUAUUGAGCCUUCAUUGACCCCCCAGGUGAACUCACUAGCAUAUGACGCCUCAUGGUAUGCAUGGGUAAAUUAUGCUUUGCUACAUAAUGACUAGUGACAAAAGAAUGCGAUGCUCCAGAGUCAAAUAAAACUGAUGCGGGGGCAGAGUUGACAAAGAACAUACCAAGCACUACAUCUGGAGCCUCCUUAGCAGUCUCGGCUUCCAUGUGGUUCACCUUGCCACAAACAAAGCUUUGCUGCCCCUGAUUGCCUUGUGGGGUCUGGUUCCCAUUCCUCGGUUGCUGCAUCUGAUUCUGCCGAGGAGCACUGCUGUUCUGCACGGGGGUAGCUGGCCCACCUCUCUUAGGACAAGAGCUGGCAUAGUGACCAACCUCGCCACACUUGAAGCAGGUAGGACCCACUGGAGCAUUGGGCCUUGUUGGAGUGCCAGUAGGGGUCAUCUGGCGGUUCUGCGUAAAGCUUGGGCGCGGAGUCUGCAUAGUCUGCAUCCCUGGAUGCUGGAACUGAGGGCUAGGGCGCUGGAAUGACUGCUGAGCAGGGCGCGGAAAUGAGUGCUGCCAAAAAUUCCCACUCGGGCCCCCUGCGCGGAACGGCGUCCCUUGCUGUGGAGCAAAGCGAGGGCGGGUGUUGCUUCCUGAAGACUACUGGGAAUUGAAUUUCCUCUUCAUCUCCCCGAGCUCGUUCCUCUUGUGUUCCAGGCCAAUUGCCUUGUCUAGCAUCUUCUGGAAACUGGGGAAGGUGUGCGACAUAAGCUGAUAUUGGAGUGGUCCAAUCAACCCAUCCAAGAAUAGCUCCUGCUUCUGCUCAUCAUCAGCAACAUCUUCGGGAGCAUAUCGGGACAACUGGACAAACUUGUCCCUGUACUCUGCCACUGUCAUGUUCCCCUGCUUGAGAGCAAGGAACUCCUUCUUCUUAAGCUUCAUCAAUCCGGAAGGAAUAUGAUGACUUCUGAAGCUAGUCCUGAAUUCAUCCCAGGUGAUGCCAUUAGCAUUGGCAUGGGUGGUGGUGUAAGCAUCCCACCAAUCAGCAGCUGGCCCUUCCAGGCGUCCUGAAGCAUACAGGACCUUCUCCCUGUCAGUACAUUGGGCGAUAUCCAGCAUCUUCUCCACUGUUUUCAGCCAAUCAUCAGCAUCUAAUGGAUCCGGAGAAUGUGAAAACGUCGGGGGCUUGUGGCUCAUGAACUCCCUAUGCCUGUCCCUUGGCGGCGGCUGCUGCUGGUUGUUGUUGUUGUUAUUGUUCAGCUGAGCUUGUAAAGCUGCCACGGUGUUGGUCAGUCCGGCGAGAAGCUGAGUCUGAGCUGCUAGAAACUGCUCCAUCCCUGCAGGUGCUUGUUGGUUCUGUUGCGGAGCGGUGUUGGGAUUGCUGCUGUUGUCCCUGUGGCGUGGCACUGUGGGACGGUCAACUCCUGAUCCGGACCUGGUGUUUACCAUCUGAGCGUUAGAGACAAUGGAUUUAGAUAGAUGUGUGAAAGAAUAACUGAGAAAGAUAAAGCGACCAGAUGUAAAAGUAACACAGAUUCUGUUAGCUCCAUUUAAUUAGGUGUGGUCGUCAGAAGAAGUGUCCAUAAAUUCUGAACAAUUACCAAGUCGUAACUUAUUAAAUUUGUAAACCAACCCAACUGGAAUCAUCUCAAUCGGACUUCUGGAUCUCGAGUUACAAAAUUAACAAGCUGACAGUGUCGGUCGAUAGGUUCAGAUUCUGAGUGCUUUACUAAUUCGCAUACACCUCCCAGACAGAUACACCAAAAAUUCUGAAAAAUUUACAGAUAGUACUCCACGAAAUUCUGAAACUAACCCCACUGGUUUCAUGUCAUUUGGACUUCUGUAGCUAGAGAUAUAAAUAAAAAAGUACUGGCGUGUCAGUUAAUGUCGAGAACAGAAUUGAAUGUCGCUUAGCUUGCGUGAUGGAUAGAUUUAGACAGAUGGUAGAUCAUGAUUAAGGAAGAUUAAAUACUGAUUUAGAACAGAAAUAAAACCCAACUAAGCACUUUAUUUAUUAAGACCAGUAUCGUGUGGCAAUUGCCCCACAUACCGCACUCAUUACAAAAUCCAACUCAAACAUGUAGCACAAAACCAAUCAUCUAAGCACACUUUAACUAACACACUCGAACGACGUCUAACGAUUACAAGAAUUUAAACUAAAACACUCCUAAUUUCCUAGAGGUCUUCUGCGGCGGUGCCGGGCGAGUCGUAGCGGGGACGCUUAGGCGACGGCGACGAAGCGGGAUGAACAGCAAACUCCUGCGGCGGCGGUGCUCCCGUCGCGGCAGCCAUAUUCGCAUCCCUCUCCCACCGGAGUUCCUGAACCUCCUGUUGAAGCUCCUGGAUGUGGUUGUUUGCUUCAUUCAAUGCGGUGAGAGCUGCCGACGUGUACUUGCGGAGGAAGUCUGUAGCCAUGUCAACCCCAUCGUUAGUAGCGAUGAAGGUUCUUGCUUCCCCACUAGCUCGGUAAGGAAGGAACCGAUGGUAAGUGUGCUGCAAUCGCGGCCGUUCCUUGUGGGAGACGACCUCAAGUGCCCUCCUGGCGGCCUCGGCAAUGCCGGAUUCCAUGGUCCUCCUUAUGGUCACAUCAUGGUGAAAAGCCUUCACCUCCCAUCCUCCCUCGUGCUCCUCACGAAGGACAACCUUCACCUCCCAAAAAGUGGGAUAGCGAGGGUGGGUGAACCGGGAGCACUUGUAGAGUGGCCUCAUGCCGUACCCCAAGCGGUGACAAGUCCACCUGAGUAUGUCGGCCAUGUGCACUCCUUGGCCAUAAUCUUCCUUCACCCAUUUGAUCCAUGUCUCGGGCUCGGGAUCUGCUUCGGGCUCAUCAUCCGUCAAGUCGACGACCGGUACGGGCGUCGGGGCUGGUGCAGGAGCGGGCGCCGGUGCUGGCGACGGUGCUGGUGACGGCGUGGUCUCCUGCUCCACGGUCACGGCGUCCCCGUCAGAGUCAUCCCCCGGAUGCUGGAAGAUCUCUUCCUCUUCUUCCUCGUCCCAAGGCUCCAUGGGGGCGUACGACGGCGCGAUGCCAUGACGCGGCGGACGGGUGCUCUUGCGUGCGGUCAACCGGGUGCGAGCCAUCUAACAGAAAGAAAGAAGAAAAUUUUAGAAUAAAAUUUUGAACAAAGCUAGAUAAUAAAAUAGCAAUAAGGAUGAGACAAAUCAAGUUUAAGAAUAAUUAAGUAGAUUUAAAUUAAGAAAGGUAGGAAUGGCUACUAGAUUAUUAUAAUCCUUAAAUACGACCAUUUUCUAACUAGGCUAACGUCCUACAGUCAACACGGCUCUGGUACCACUUUUGUCACACCCGAUUUUAAGGACAAAAUCGAGUGCAUUAAAUACAUGUGCGCCAGGAUCAAGUUACACACAUGUACGACAAUAGUGAAUAGUAAAGCCAGUGCUAAAUCGAAUAAAGAGAGUAUUAACCAUUAUUACAUGACCGAAUGUCUCAAAUAAACCACAAAGUCUAAUUAUUACGCAGCGGAACUCCAAAGAUGACGACGACUCCAUAGGCAGCUGACUGAAGAAACGUACGCCUAGAACUCCUCGAAGUCGUGGAAGUACUCCUCUUCCCAAUUAACUUGGUCUGAACAGCGGUUUUGCAAGGGUGAGUACACUUAUGGUUGGUACUCAACAAGUCGUGGGAAGUAGUGUAGUGUAAGGCUAAUUCAAGGUAUGGCUAAGGCGUAAAUAGCAUUCGCUUUUAAUUAAGUUGGUCAAAUUUUAUUAGCAUUUACUAAGUAUAAGUUCAUACCACCCGAAAUUAAACAUGAACAUAAAGUAAACCACAUGUGCAUGAAAUGAUAACAAAUUAAAUCCAUCUUCCGAUAAUAUUAUCAUGUGAGGGUCCAGGCCGCUCUUAACCGUGAGCACGGCUGAUUGAUCAGUUUAACACUCUGCAGAGGUGGCACAUCUUUACCCACAAGUCGCGUAAAAGUUCAAAAGAACUUUGGACCCAACCAUGCGGUGUUUGCAAGGCACCAUACCACACUUCCGAGGUGUGAUUGCAUAGGGACGCUACGAGGCCUUUACAAAGAUUCAUUAAUCAGUGGUAACCCGCUAAGGUUUCGGUGUCUGGCGUGCACCACCCAUCCCAGGUAAAAUGCAACGACUCAGUCCCCCCCCUUGAAUCAUCACGAGUAAGGUCACCCCAGACUAAGGUUUCUAAUUAAUCAGCCAAGACCAGAGCUAUUUAGUCUUGUGGUAGCACUGUUUUCCUGGGUGGUCGCUCCAUGUUCUGAUUAACAAAUAAUGAUCUUGUCUUAAUGAAAGGUAUAACAGAAAUAAGGCAAGAUUAAGCAUUGUUUUUAGUUAAACCACCAUGUACCAAGUAAGCACUAAGCAUGAGCUACCCAACAUAAAGUAAACCGGUUGGUCAAGGCAAAGGUAAAACAAUCUAGGCCAACCUUAAUUGGGACCCAUCAAUUUAAUCUUAAUAUGUGCACAGCAUAAAUGUUGAGUACGAGAAAGUAAAGGUGUAUAGGACAAAAAGGUAGUGAUCAAGGACACGACUUGCCUUCUUGGCCUUGCUCCUGCUGUUCGUACUCCUCGAAGGCUUGAUCGGCAACUCCCUCGAACUGCGGGGCGUCUACACGCAUCACACGAGCACAUACAAGCAAACAUGGGCAAAAGUAAGAAAACAGUAUACCAAACAUAGUCAAACAGAGAAAACAAGCUUGAAAAGAUGAUCUACGCUUUAAAACGAACACGCGGAUAUAAAGAACGCGAAAAACGGAGUUAAGAUGCAAAAGAUAUGAUUAAAACAAAAUCCAGGGACUUUUCUGUAAGAAAAACAAAACUUUUAGGGCCUAUCCGCGAAAACCGAGGGCUUAUACGUAAUUAUGCGUAUAAACCGAGGGUCUGAUGCGUAAAAACAUCAAACCCGGACGGCGGGUUGAUUUCUGGAAAGGUCAAGGGUUAAACCGAAAAAUGCGAGGGCAGAUCUGUAAAUACUUUCAACGCGAUCUGGACCGCGGGUUGAUUUGCGAAAAAGGCGGGGGCUAAAGUGCAAAAACUGCACGGCGCGGCUCGGUUGACCGGUACGCGAUCUUGAUUGACUCGCGUCCGGCCGUCGGAUUAAGAUCCGACGGUCGCGGUGAUCCGCGACAUCGCGGCGGCGGCGGCGAGCGGCGGCGAGCGGCGGCAAGCGGCGGCGGGUCGCCGGAGUUAGGCAAAAUAGCGCCACGAGGCACGGUUUAACGCGCGGGUUGCACCAAAAAAGAGAGGGGAACACGUCGAUCCCGUUUUGGGGGUUCUUGUCGACGGGGGCUCACCGGCGACGGCGAACGGCGGCGAGGAAGAGGCGGCGGCGCUAGGAGCUCGGGCGGCUAGGGUUUCGGGGAGCUGCGGCGCUGGUUUUGGGCGGAGGAGACUGGGAGGAGGCGGCGGCUUUUAUAGGGCUUGGAGAUAGAGCCGGCGCGGGUUCAAAUCCCCCGGAGGAGUCGGAGCGGAUGGAGUCCGGGGCGGAGACGGCGCGCGGCGGUUGCGGAGUUCUGACCGGAUUCGGCCGGAGGUGGGAGACGAUGGGUGGGGUCCACCCGUCAGUGGCGGAGGGGAGCGGUAGACGGGCCGGCGCGACCGUGGGCUGGCGCGCGCUCGUGGGCUGCGGGGAGCGGGAGAGAAGCGGCGAGCGGGCGCUGGCGGAGCAGGCCGAGCGGAGGUAGAGCUGGGCCGCGGAGAAAAAGGAGGAGGCCGGCGGGCUGCUUCGCAGGCCGGUAAGGAUGAGGCGGCCGGGCCGAAGAAGAAAAAGAAAAGGAGGGACAAGGAGCUUUCGGCCGAGGGAAAAGAAGAAGAAAAAGAAAAGGAAGAAGAAAAGGGAAAAGGUUUUGGAAUUUGAAUUUAAAUCUGAAAUUCAAAAUUUGAUUCAAACUCAAGCAACCAAAAAUUAUGCUCCAGCAUGAAUGCACAAAUAAUUCCUAUGAUGAAUUAAUUGAAUUAAAGAAAAUGAAUUUAAAUGCCUAGAAAUUAAAUAACACCCUAAUUUGAGCAAAUUUUAAUGAAUUUGAAUUAUUGAAAUUUUGGGUGUUACAUUGGUACUACAUCUCAUGUAGUAGAGGCGAUUGUAAGAAGCAACUUGAAAAGAAGUUUGAUCACUACUAUUGCAAUAAAUGUGACAAGAGAGCCGAACCUAAAGCCCAGUAAAUUAUUUAGUAGUUUACAAUCUUAUUAUAAUACUUCUAUUUCUAAUAGGAGAAUAAUAUUUUCAGAUUCAAAUUAAGCUUCAAAUAAGUGAUCCAACAACAAGUGCAACUUGUGUACUUUUGACAAGGAAGCAGAAAUGAUAAUUAAUGAAUGAGCAGAUUCGAUGAUCACCUCAGUUGAUCAUGAUAAUAAGUAGCUACCAAAAUCAAUUCAGGAAAUAUGUGAAGAAACAUUGAUUUCUCAAUUCAGAUUGACCGAGUACAACUUGACAAGUUUUAGACCUGAUUAUACUGUUUCAAAGAUAUUUUUUCCAAAAGAAAAGGGCAGUUCAAGAAUUGGUAUGGAAAGUGUAAAAAAGGUAACACUUUAUUAUUAAUUUUUUAUUGCACUUUUUUCUUUUGAAUCCGUAAUACUUAAUAAUUUUACUAUAUCAAUGAAACAAAUUCUAACCUAAAUUUAUUUUCUUUUUUAUUAUUUGUAGGAAGUAGAAGACAACUCAGACAAAUGCUACACGAUAACUACCGAGAAUGAAGAGGUAGACACUGAUGACUCUUUUACCGAGAAAGUAACAUUCGUAGAAGAAGCCAUAAGGACUGGGGAAAGAUUGGCUAGAAAAGUAUACUCACUUCCAUGUCAGUGUUCAUUCUAUUUACAAUACAUGCAAAAAAAAUAUUAUUCAUGCAAAAUUGCAGGUCUACUAAGCAUUAAAGGAAUAGCGGAUAGUGCAAUAUGUAAUCUGAGCAGCAUGCAUUACAAAGUGCUCUACUGCAAUUAAAUUAAAAAACAUGAUAUAUGUUGAAUUCUUAGACUUUAUUAUUAUACUUUUCUACGUGACAAUUCACAAUUUUUUAGAAAAAAGAAGAUCCCAGAAGAAGUGACCAUGAAAAAAGGUCUAUGACCAGCAAUAAGAAAAAAUGCAAGCAUAGAAACAAAUCCGUAGAAAACAUAGAAAAUAAGGUACUCCAUAAACAAAAGUAUUCUCUUAUAUUUUUAUUAAAUAUUUUUUUAACACUUGACAAGUUCUUUUUUAGGAUCAAUAUAUCAGCAAUUCAGAUGUCAUUGGAGAUGAAACCUUAGUUCAUCCAAAAGGUCAAAAAAAAACAUCUGAAGAAAGGUGUUUGGCUGAAAAGGAAAAGCAAAAAAGUGGUAAUGCAGACAAACACAUGCAGAAAAAUAUAAAAACAUGUCAUAGGGAGGCAGACCAAUCUUGCAAGGAGGUAUAGACGAAACGUGAUACACGACCUGCCUACCUUGUCGUGGAUACCCCAAGAAGAUGUCAUAGAGGUGCAGACCAAGCUAGCAAGGAGGUCGAAACGUGAUACACGGCCUGCCUACCUUGCCGUGGAUAUUAGCCCUGAGAUCAUUCUACUGUUCAAGGAAUAACACUCAAUGCUGCUGCUGCUGCUGACCUGGCUCCAUAAAGUUAUACUCCUCUAGGUGCUUGCACUAACUUUAUCUGAAGUAUUAUUCUCUCUGCACUGUAUAUAUGGUUAUGGAGUUUGCUGGAGUAUCCGGGGCGAAGAACCUACAUAAUACGUCUUGGAACUAAUUGACAUUGAUUCACAGACAAACUCUACAAGGUGCUGUUCUUGCCAUUUUAGAGCAUCCAAAGGACUAUAAAUAACAUAGUUUACCAUAUACCAUAUACCAUAUACCAUAAUAUGUUAGCUAAAAUAAGAGCAUACACAUGUUGCAGGAGUCCAAAAGCACCGGUUGAGGACCAGGUACAUUGAAUUACUAGAAAAAGACAGGGGACAAGGUUUAGGUAACCACAUGAAACAUUUGAAUUUAUUGUACUAUGAACACUUAGUUACCAUGCCAGGAGCACAUAGUUAACACUAACAUUUAGCCACUUUAGAUCAUCCCGAAUCACCAAUGACCCUCAAUAGUGACAAAUUUUGGUUUAAAUGCCAUCACCAAUGAUCCUCAAUAGUGACGUAUUUAGGUUUAAAUCCCGUCACUAAUAACCCUCAAUAGUGACCUGUUUUGGUUUAAAUCUCAUUACCACUGAUCCUCAAUAGUGAUGUGUUUUAGCAAAACAUGUUAUCAAUGACUUGUCAUUGGUGACGUGUUAAAACGCGUUAUCUCAAUGGCAAAUCAUUGGUGACGUGUUAUCUCAAUGUUAUCAAUGUUCUAUUCUUUUCAACAAUACCAGCUCGUUCCUCCGUUUUUAUUCCACCAAUACAAGCACCACCUUGUAACAUUUCCUAUGUUUUUUUUCCUUUUGUCUGUUUUCUCACUACAUGCGUUGCUCUUUCAUGCAUUUUUUUCCAUUCCUGUAUUCCAAAUAGGUCUACAUGAACACAAAAUGAACUAGGGGACAGAAAAAGCCAGUGAAGCCAAUUUUGAGCUUCACCAGCUACUUGCUACAUAAAGUGUGCUAUAGUGACGUGUUUUAGCAAAACAUGUUAUCAAUGACUUGUCAUUGGUGACGUGUUAAAACGCGUUAUCUCACUGGCAAAUCAUUGGUGACGUGUUUUAAAAAAACAUGUCACCGUGAGAGUCAUUGGUGAAGGGUAAUUAAAAUGCGUCACUAAUGUUGUAGCAUUAGUUAUGAUAAUUUAGUAACGCAAAAAUCUACCAUCAGUAUUGAGCUUUAGAGCCAUCGCUAAUGUGGGUUUCUUACAUAGUGAUGCAAGCUCUACAAGGUGCUGUUGCUGCCAUUUUAAAGCAUCCCAUGACUACAUGUUAAUAACAUAGUUUACCAUAUAUCAUAAAAAUAUUAGUUACAAUAAGCACAUACGCAUGUGGAAGAGUCCGAAUGCACCGGUUGAGGACUAAACACAUUGAAUUACUAGAACCAAAUGUAUGUUUAGAACAAAGACAGGGGUCAAGGUUUGGGUAACCGCAUUAAAAACAUUGGAUUUUACUGUACAUGAACACUUAGUUACCAUUACCAUGCCUUGAGCACCUAGUUACAACAAACAUUAAUUUAGCCACUUUAGAGCUUCCAGAAUCGCUAUAAAUAAUAUACCUACGCCGUACCAUGAAAACAUCAAGAAGAGAGACGGAUACAUGGACCACCAUCAAGCGAGUAGUGACAGCACGCACAAGAAUACCCGGAACCUGUUAGCUUGUCUGUAGUGAUCUGUUUUCUUCCCCAUAAAAUCCAUGAGUAUUGCCACAAAUAAUGAAAGAGGCUGACCAAGCUAGCAAGGAGGUAGAGCAAACGUGAUACACGGCCUGCCAAGAUUGCCCUGGAUACGCCAAUAAGAGCGACAGAUACAUGGAUCACACCAAUAUGGUGAAACGUAUAUUCAUCACACAAGCAAAGCUGGUCAGUUUAUCCAUGGUCAAAUUGUGGUCUUUGUUUUCACUUGAGAGCUAAUUGAGGCACUAUAAUAUGGGCAGGCCUAUCUUCAACAGACAUGACAGCUACAGGGAACUUGACAUAAUUUGCUGGGCCGCCUGUGCACAAUUAUUUGUUUUAUUGUCCUUGCAUAGAAUGCUAAAAUACUCUUUACAAAAUGUUGGAUCUAAUAUUUGAAAUAUAGAGUAGUAAUCAUAUAUUGAUCAACAACUUGAAAUUAUCUGUACAUUCUCGGUGAAGCUGUUGAACUAAUUUUUGCAAAUUAUUAAUUCAUCUCAUUACGUAAAGAAAAAAGUAAGUGGAUAAGAUAUUUCGUGGACCACAUCACUGCAAACAUGUCAUGGAGAGACAGACCAAGGAGGCAGGACGUGAUACACGACUUACCCUAGGUUGCCGUGGAACCGCCAAGAAGAGAUACAGAUACAUGGACCACACCAUCUUGGGAGUAGUGACAGCAUAUAUGCAGAAGAAUACCCCGUGCCUAUUUGCAUGCAUGUCUCAAGUGAUCUGUUUUCUUCAGAAAAUACAUGAGCAUUGCCAGAAAGAAUGGCAAGAGACAAACAUGUCAUAGAGACUUGCAUGUCUUGCCUUGGAUACGCCAAGAAGAGGGACACAUACAUGGAUAACACAAAUCUAGUGACACGUAUAUUCAUCACAAAGGCAAAUCUGAUAAUUUUAUCCAUGGAGCAGACCAAGGAGAAAUUGAUGACGGACAUGUGAUCUCUGUAUUCAGUUGAAAGCUAAUUGAGCUACACUAAUAUGAGCAGGACUAUAUUCAAGAGACUUGUUGAGAGCUACAGGGAACUUGUAAUAAUUUGCUGGGCGGCCUGCGCACAAUGAUUUGUUAUACAUAGUUGAAAUAUUUCAAGAAUUUAUCAACCUCAUACUCUGAAACCCUUGGUGCAAUGUACUCUGCUUUCCGAGGUAGACUGUUCACGUAAAAUGAGGUCAUGCGUAAGACGGAAUCGGAUUGGAUUCACAGGGAAUCAGAUUUGGAUAGCACCUUUUAGCAGGUUUUUAGUCAAAUGCAAAUUCGGAUCCACAUGUGGUUGAAUGCGAGUUCAAAAUUCUACUUGGAUAUCCAUUUAAUUUAGGUGAUAGCAAUUAGCACAAAAUGUUGGAUGAACAAAAUCAUAGUUAGACAUACAAUUACAUGUAUGGUUAAAGUAUAAUACAAUACACCAAGAUUAUUCCUUGAAAAUAUUUCUUAAAAAUAUUAUAAUAAAUGAAUAAAUAUAAUUGUGGCCACCAACAAAUAGUCGGUGGUCGCUAAGUUGGAGCCAUUUCUGGUUACUAAUGCGGCCUUCUCCUCGACCAGCGACGACAGCUGAGCUUGUUCCUUCUGACACUAAAUCAUCAGAGUCUUCCCUCCACUACUAUAGAAUGCACCUUUAGCACCAAUUGGGAAAUCCCCUUCAGUAUUGGAUGCUGCAACCAGUGCUAUAUAUCAAAAUGGAGACUAAAAGCCUCGGUCUUGGGUACCGGUUGCAUAACGCAUUACUAAAGGAGGCAAAAGAGAAAUGUAACAAAAAAAAUAUUUUGAAUUCCAAGAAUGUUUCACUAUUCAAGAUGACUAGCUGAGAGUCAACAGACAAGAUACUAGGAAUGUGGGUGCUUGAAUGCAUUUGUACAGAGGUCAUACUAUUUACAAACUCUUCUAUGUUUCCAUAUGACUACCUACUUCAAUGUCACGCGAGCCAUUCAGCUGGACACAUGGCACACUAGCUUGCAUGUCGAAUCCAUGAUUAAUUAUUUGCACUUGUGAUCUCUUACCAGUAUUUGUCCAGACUAGAAACGUGCAACACAUUUUUAGGAUAUGGACACGCAUAUAUUUGGACUAGUAUACAGGUCACCUUUGGAUGCGUACAAGGAUGACCGGGAGGGACUAAUGGAUACAAGGAAGGGACCAUCAGGAUUAAUAUUGACAUAUGCCACAUGACAAUCUUCAUUGUCAUGCAAUCCCUAUCAACAAUCAUGGAAUCCCUAGUGUACUAAUCCCUGGAGGGUUGUGUGGAAAUUUAUUUUACCUUGCGGUGAAAAUCUCAUGAGCAGUCAUUAGUUAAGCUGACUAGCUGAGAUAUAAUAGACAAGCUAGUAAGAUUGGGAGCAUCAAUGCAUCCAUACAGGGUCACAAUAUCCUUUCCAUUCACUUUUAUAUAUAACCCUACGAAUACAAGUCCAACGAAAUGCGGGCCUUUCGAUCAAGAUAAAUUAAAUGGCCCACUUGUAUUUCUAAUCCAGGAUUAACUAUGCCCUCUGUUCAUCUCUUGCAAGCACGUGCAACACAUUUUCACGAUAUGGACAUGCAUGGAGGUUAUUAUACUGUUUGGACAAACUCUGAUGUGCCAUGACCUAAAUGCUUAGGGCCUGUUUGGUUUGAGUUGCUUAUUAUAAGCAACUUAAAGUUGCUUAAAGUUGCUUAUUUGAAGUUGCUUAUUUUUAGUCUAAACUGUUUGGAUACCCUUGCUUAUGAGCAUUGAAUGAGUUGGACAUUGUCAAAUUUGCCCCAUGUGUUGCUACCCCUCCAAUUUGCCUCCCCACCCUUCUUCUUCCUGCACACGUCCGAUCCCGGGGGCCGACGGCGGGCAGGGAGCAGCAGCAGCUGGCCAGGGCGGCGGUGGGGCGGGAGCGGCGGCGCACACCAGCACGCGCUCGCACGCCAGGUGCUAGGGCGCGGCGAGGCAGUCGUCGUAGCCCACCGGGAGCGGGUGCUCGGGCGCGAGGCGGUACUCGACGGAGAUGCCGAGCGUCGGGCGCGCGGCGGCGAGCGCGUUGAGGAAGCGAUGGUAGUGCGGCGACGUCGCGGACUCCGCCACGAAGCCGCCGCCGUGGACGUACACCACCACGGGCAGCUUCGUCUUGCCGUCGGCGGCCGCGGCCGCGGCCUGGGGUGGCAGGUAGAGGCGGACGGAGCAGGAGCCGAGGUCGACGUCCCUGGAGUCGACGCCCGUGGCGGCGUCCAGGCUGGGCCCGACCGGCGGCGGCACGAGCGGGCGCUCGAUGCGGCCGCUCUUGUAAAUCCGACGGGUCUGUGCGGAGGCGGGCGGCGGGCGGGAGCGGCGGGUGGGAGCGGCGGCAGGUGGUGCGGAGGCCGGCGGCGGCGGGUGGCGCGGAGGAAGGGGAGCUGGUGAGUGGUGACAGGGGAGGGGGGGAGAGAGAGGGGGGGUAGGGUGCAUUGAAUGAGGGCAGGAGGUGUAAAGUGCACCUUUUAGUCCCCAUGAGCAACCAUAAGCAGCCCAAGAGUUGCUUAUUUGCUUAUAAUAAGCAACCUCAUAAGCAAGAGUGAUUGGUUUCAUAAGCAACUUAUUUGCUUAUUUUAAGUUGCUUAUGCAUAAGCAUGUGAAACCAAGCAGGUCCUUAACCUAUGGUUGUGGCACCACACAGUACAUAGUAUUUAAUAAUGCUAUUCGUUUGGUAUGUGCACAAGGGCACGCAUGAAAUGUCUGGCCCACGGUAAACAAGUACGGACGCUGCAAAUAAUCUACUCUGCUCGUCCAGUCCCUAGCCUAUAAAUAGAUGCCAUGCUAGCUCUUGUUGUGCUCACAAUUAAUCCUGACUACACACGAGCUUCUCUCCCUGGCCAAGACACAAUCAUAGUAUGAUGAAGAACAUGGCACUAGCCGGCAAUGGUAUGAAGAACUUAAUCCUCGCUGUUCUCUUACUGUGUCUAGUUAUAGGGCAGAUACAAGUGGAAGCUAAGAGCUGCUGCCCAUCCAUUACUGCAAGAAAUAUCUACAAUGCCUGCCGUAUCACGGGUACAUCCCGUCCAACGUGUGCAAAACUGUCAGGCUGCAAAAUUAUCAGCGGGGACAAAUGCAAGCCCCCUAACGACCACCUCACCCUUGACCCGGACACUGGUAAAUAAUAAAUUUAUCUCACUUGAUUUCUUCGUGUUUUGAGUCGUUAAUGUAUUUUCCAUCUGAUGAAACGUAUUGGUUUUGCAUUGAAGAGGAAGUUAAUGUGCUUAACUUCUGCAAGUUGGGGUGUGCGUCGUCUGUGUGCAACAACAUCAACGCUGGUAAGCACCUUUUGCUCAGACGGAGAAAACAAUAAUCAUUAAUUAGCGGCAGCUAGAAUCCUAUAAUCUAAUAUAUUUAUAUAUAUAUAUAAUUUUAUCAGCUCUGGGAAAUGAAGAGGCGAACGAUGCCGUUGAGAGUUGCGACCAAGCCUGCUCUAGCUUCUGCAACGUGCACGUUGGCGCUGCCACCGUGGUUGCUUAAGCAAAUGCAUCCAACUGGAUCGUCCUUGUGCUAAAUAAUUGGAUAUCGUAUCCACUUAAAGCUGCCUUGUGUAGUACGUUUUUGUUUGUGUCUCUCUUUAUAUUCCAAUAAGGUCGGUGAUCUUGAUGCCACACACUCAGACGUGUGUUCAUCUCCAGAUACUACUCCAUGCUACCUGCCCUUUGUGUUUUGUUCAAUAACUGGGUAUCAUAUCCCAGCCAGUGUGCCAUCUGUUUUGUGUUUAUUUCCUUCUAGUUUCAAAGGGGUUAUCAUGAUGUUACCUUCUUUCGAUAUGGUGCUUUGCAUGACUACUGUUGUAUGGUACCAUCUUGUUGGCCAAUAAAUACAUCUUAUCCUAUGACCCUUUGCUAUGACCCUUUGCAAAUAAGUACAAGAUUGUUAAAUACUCGGUAUAAAUUGACUACUGCUGUGAGUUCCCUUUCAGCUUAUCGUAGGCAUACAUUAUUGCUAGCACGGUGAAGACAACCAACACGAAUGGUCAAGUAAACGUACCGGUACUUUUGUAUACCAACACCCUUGCUUAAAUGUACCGGUGUUACUCCCCACUAGCACAUAUAUUCUUAUAUGCUAGCCGGCUUGAAAAUUAACCGAUUAAAAUAAUUAUUUCAAGACAGAAAUAACUUAUCGGCUUCUCGAAGCAUGUGUAAUGUGAAUUCAAGGACUUGAUGGAAGUUGAAUCGCUUAAUCUAGAUUGCUUUCAGGAUUUUGGGUAACUAAAUUUAACAUUUGCACAUACAAAUGUUAAUGUACAAAUAUUAAAUAUAGUUACCCAAGCAGAAUAUGAAGAUACUCUAUAGUAUAUAUAUACUAUAUAAAUCUAGUUAACAUUUAGUCUAAAUGUUAAAUCUAGUUACCUAAAAUCCUGAAAGCAAAAUGUAUAAAUAUAUAUCUUUUAAGGAAUCCCAAAGCAAGAGUUCAGUGGCAUUCUAUAGUCCCAUGCUGCUAGUUUGAGUUGGUCGAAGCCAACUUAAAUAGGAGAGCUCUCUCACUUCUCUAAAUACGUAACUGAAGGAGAGAAGGGGGCUUGGUUACACAACGCACGCACGCACGCAUAUUUGCGUUCUUUUCGCGUAACCAACCGCGUGACUUGAAACUUGCGACGUAGCGUGCUGCCAAGUCAAGUUGAUAUAACCUUUUUGCCGUAGGCGUGUAAUCUUUUGACAACGGUCAUUGGAGGUGAUAAGCACGCAGUCAAUACCUUAAUCCUGAG